UCACGGAUGCAUUGUUAAUUACCAUAACGCCUUUCAAGCAUUUCACUCAGAAAAAAGAAACAACUAUAAUAAAAUUGUGCAUGACGUCGAUUCAGAUAAUAUACAUGAGUUAAAAAAAGACACGUCCUAUUUGCGUAGUUCAUUUACCAGGUAAAGAAAGUACCUCAUCUCAUAACCGGUUUCCAGCUUCCUUGGAUAAACAGAUGUUCUUUGAGACUGCAUCGUACUCACUGGAGUUGCUUGUUUUGCUUGUUUCCUCUAGAUGAAGGGAUAGUCAAAUUCAUGAUUGCGCACAAGCGAUGUUUGGUCAAAAAGGUUGCUUUGAUCCAACCAAAUCUCUCUCGUAGAUGAGACGGACUCCGCACCUCUUCACCUCCAAACCAGAGCCCAAGGUUUUAAAUGUGAACUCAAGGUGAUGACAACUGUCUUGCCAUGUUGUACCAAAGUGUUCACCAGAUACAAAGGAUAUCCAAAGGUGCUCUUUCUCAAUUUGCCCUAAUUCUUCACUGCAGGCGAAGGAAGGACACCAGCCACCUACACCCAAAUUCCCAGGCUUCACUUCGCAACGAAGACCAUGUGCAGUGGUAUGGGUUCCGUAGUUCCAUUUACCAAGCAGAUUAGGUGGGAGUUGUCGAUGGACAGUGAAAACAGCACACAAUGCAUAUCCAAUCCACUCGUUCUUAUACCAGUGUCGAGGGAGCUCCAUGCUUACCACAGGCCUCUCACUUUGAUCACUAAACCACUCAGAAAUUUCACUGCCUGGAUAUAUAGCUUCAAAUUUAUUCCCUAUGUAAGGGAUUCCCUAUAUAAUACAAAAUUACAAAUAGUGAAGUUAAACAAUUGAUAUGUCCGUCUUAUAAUAAGUACAAUGCUUUUUUUUUCUUCUGUGUGUGUGUGUGUGUGUGUGAGAGAGAGAGAGAGAGAGAGAGAGAGAGAGAACCUCAAGGAAUCUCCUUAACGCUGCAAAUGCUACUUUGUUGCAGCCUUGGUCGUCAACCACUUCAAAGCAAUUAAUAAAACUGAAACAUGAUGACAGCCUUUCCUGUGAAUAACUGCCUUUUCCCUCAACACUGAAGUUCAAUUCUGCUGAAAUGUCCGGCAAUUUUUUAAGACUCUUACAACCACCCAAAUUCAAAAUCUGAAGCUUAGACAGCUCUGUGAUGCUCUUGGGAAGACUAACAAAACUGUUUUUACUUAGAUUAAGUGAUACUAUUGAGGACAAGCAGCCAAGAUUUUCCAGGAUUGUUACCUCCUCAAGAUUACAGUCACUGAGAUUCAGUACUGUUAAAGAAAGCAAACCAGAAUCAGUGGUCGGCAACAGCAAACUCAUUGGACUUGUCUUCUUUCUUCGCAUCGAUUUGCAACCACAAAGGGAUAACAAUUCAAGAUUUUCCAGGCGGGAAAUGGAGGAUGGUAGAUCAUUAAUAGAGGUACCGCCCACAUCAAGCUCCUUCAAACAAACCAUCUUUCCCAAGUUUUUUGGCAGUUCUUCAAGCUUUGAGCAUCCACUGAGAUUGAGACUUUUGAGGGAACGCAACUGGCAAGUACUGCUUGCAAGGGAACUGAGAUUUCUGCAAUCUCUCAGGUUUAAUACAGUAAGGCCAGUCAGACAUUCGAUUGAAGAAGGUAAUUGUUCUACAGCAGUCUUAUCUAAAUAAAGUUCCAACAAGUUUUCCAUAGGUCUCACAAAUUCUGGAACUUUAUUAAUUUUUGAACAACCAGAAAGAAUAAGAAUUUGAAGACUUUCCAUUUCAAAACAUUUGGGAAGGCGUUUAAGACUUCUGCAGUCUUUAAGAUUUAAGAAAAUAAGCCUUUUGAGCUCAGCAAUGGAUGGGUGGAUCAUCACCAAGUUUGUACAGCCUUCAAGAAUUAAUCUAUGAAGAUUUGGAGUAACCGUAAAGUCCGGGGUCCUGGUCAGGUUCUGGGAGUAGCUAACAUUGACGAAUUUCAGAUUGCCUAAGCACUGUUCAAAACAUUAAAGCACAAAAUUUAGUACUUCAUUAUAAAAAAAAAAUUAAAAAAAAACAACUUUUUAUGUGCUACCCAUAAUCUGACCUUUGUUCUAUUCCAAAGUUGUCCAACGCUGCUAUGGGACAAGUUAACUUCACAAAGUUGCUCAAAUUCAAAUUCUGGUGGGAGAAGUUUUGAAGGAUACCCACUCCAUUCAAGAAACUUUAAGGCAUUAGAAAGUUUUUUUGGCCCUUGGGCCAUUCGCAAAUUAUGAAUUCGGAGAAAUCUGAGAUUAUGCAUCGUUGAGAAGGCCUCCAAGUCCCGGCAUGCCUCUUCUAAUUUAGGCAAGUCUAAGGCUAUACCUUCAACCACAUUUGUUCCCUAACAACAGAGAAUUCAGAAUCAGUUCAAUAGACAGAAUAUAUAUAUUUUUUUAAAGAAGAAACGAUAACAAUUUAUUAAAACAAUAAUAUGAAUUACAAAAUAGUGGAUAAGAAAUCCUUGAUCCAGCAAACCUAAGACCUUUCAUCGUCCUUCAAAACCACUUACUGUAUUGUUCCUCAAUACAUGAAUGACAUCCUCAUGAAGCCACAACCUGCUUUGCUCUCCCGGAUCCACAACAGAGUCUUUGCGUACAAUUUGUUGUCCCAUUUCUUGUAUCAAGUCAUGCAUCAACACUUUGUUAUUUGAAAUAGUUACGAGAGAUCUCUCAACGAGAACUUCCAUCCCAACCAUCGCAUUAAAUCCAAAAUAAUCUAGUAUCUCUACCACUCGUUCCUUGUCCAUUCCUCGAAAGAAACAAGCAAUAUCUAGAAAUAUUCUUUUCUCGUCGUCCGGCAGUGCAUGAUAACUUGUUUCAAGCAUUUCAGAAAUUCUUCCAGUAGGAACAGACUCCAGUUUUUCCAAUGCAUUAUGCCACUCUUCCUGACUUUUGUGGAGCAAAUAGGAUCCCACAGUCUUGAGUGCUAAAGGAAGGUAUCCAGCUUUAUGAACCAACCGUGUAGACAGCUCCAAAUAAUCUUCUCGAAAUUCAUCAUUUUUAAAGGCGAUCUUCUUGAGGAGCUGCAAAGCCUCAUUCUCACUUAAUAAGUCAACUUUAUAUUUGCUAUCUACACCAUGCUCUCCUAGCAAAUUCACAUCUCUAGUCGUAAUGAUGACUCUGCUCCCCAAACCAAACCAUUCUUUGUUUCCAGCCAAUGAUUUCAGUUGGCCUAAGUUGACAACAUUGUCUAAAAUGAGAAGAACCUUUCUCUUACAUAGAAUGUUCUUUAUCAUUAUGGCUCCCUCGUUAACAUUUGGAACAUCUAUGUCUUGCCUCAAAGCCUCGUAAAGAAGUUUCUUUUGCAGUUGCAGAUCACCCUGUGGUGUUUGACUUACCCGACAAGUAAUCCAGGUGAAAAUUUCAAAUUCAUUGGAAAUGUUGUCAAAAAUCACUCUGGCGAUAGUUGUCUUGCCUAUCCCACCCAUUCCGCAUAUCCCUAUGAAGCGAACAUCAUUAGAUUUGUUGUCCAAAAGCCUAUUUAGUUCCUCUACUCUUGACUCAAUUCCCACUAUGUCCUCAAGAUAAGAUGGCACAGUUUGCAAUGUAUUCAAAACCCAUUGAACAAUUCGUUGGAUAAAUUGUGCCUCGUACCUAUGCAGAAGAAAAUAAAUGUCAAUCUUUCGGAAAUAUUUGAAAGAAUCCCGAGUGUAGUCUCUUAUGAGAGGACUAAAUGAAAAGCUAGCUAGCAACGAAAAUUCAUCUCUUUGGACAGCUUAACAUAUGUUAUCAUAAAUUACAGCAGGAAAGAAUACAAGCAUACAUAUUACAUAGCAAAAACUGAAAUAAAAUAAAAUUUAUUUGCUACUGAAAGGAACUACCCACCCAUCCUCGUCCUUGUAUAGGUCAAAUCCAGACAGAUUGGCUAAUUGACGAAGAGCAUCCCUCCAGGCGCGCACUUUGUCGAUAUUGUCUUUGAAACGUCCUUCAUGCUCGGCAAAAAAGUCACCGAAAUCGCCUGUCUGUUUUCGUACCUCGGAUGGGCUCACAUCAUAGAAGACAGGCAAAACUAUCUGGCGAGCCACUUCCUUGCAUUCCAUAAUUUGCUGAAGCUCAUCCAAGCACCAUGUUGACCUGGCAUACUUUCUUGAAAGAAUGACAAUUGAAAUUUUUGAACUUUUAAUUCCCCGAUAAAGUUCAUCAUCUCCAAAUACGACGACUCCUCGGUUACUCAGAGCAGCACGUAGUUGGUCUGCGAAAUUCCUGCGAGUGUCUUCGCCACUGAAACUGAGGAAGACAUCGUAAUCAGUUGUUUGCGCAGUCGCCGUGGAUCCCAUCGGAAUACUCGGCUUUCUUCUUUUUCUUGAUUGCGUGGUGGCGAUGGAUCCCAACGGAAAUCUCUGCUCUCUUCUUCCUUAAUGGAACCCCAGACCGAUCAAAUCCAGAUCUCUCGGUCUUCUAGCAUAGGAAUGGAAUAUGAAAUGUCAACGGCCAAUUGCAACCGUCCGAUGCGGAGCAGCAAAUCUCACCCGUCUAAUAAGUUCCAGUCGCCAUCCACUGUUGCUCUAGUUUCUCUCGUUUUAUUUUUAUUUUAUUUUAGGGAUGUGUUAUCCACACAUCCUUUUUACUUCUCUCACAUCCUUAUUAAUUUCUGUCAUUUGAUCUUCUUUAAUUCAUCCAAUCCGACGGUCGAAAAUUAAAAGGGUGUGAGAGAAGUAAAAAAGAUGUGUGGAUAUCACAUCUCUUAUUUUAUUUUUAUGUGUGGUCCAUUAUUAUUAUUGUUUUUUAUAGGAAAAAGAAAGUAUUAAAUAGAAGAACCCCUUACACAUUACACUCCAAAAGAAAAGCCAUAUUAGUUUCCAUUGGGAGAUAAGCAUCCCAAAUGCAAAGCUCCUUUCUCUUAAGCCCAACAGACGCUAUGGCAUUCAUAACAAAAUUUGCUUUCAUAAAAAUAUACCUUCACUUGAUAUCAUGAAAAUUUGUAGCACACCACCUGGGAUCCAUUAUUUUGAAUUAAGCACUUUUUUCGUAUUUACAAUACAACGUUUUUCACAGACAAACUUACCAUCUAAUCUUAAUUUCAAGCACACCCAUUAGUGCCAUCACCAUUUUCCAUUCAUAGCGGAUUCAGAUAAAGUCAUUCAUCUAUCACGAAAGUGAGAAAUUCAUUCUCAGAGUGAAGUGAAUUGAACUAUUGAAGUUCGUUUCUUCUUUUCUAUAUUUCCUUAUUUUUUUAGGUCAAAGUUUUAUUUGAACUUGUAAAAUUGUGAUUAGAUGGUGGGUAGUGAAAUGAAAUUGUAAUUAGAUACAGUUUCUCUCUUAAUUGAAAUUGUGAAAAGUUUCUCUCUUAAUUGAAAUUGUGAAAUGAUGGAAUUUAAACUCGGAAAAUUAGAGUCCACUUUUCAUGAAUUUUUCCGUGCGGCAAUUGUUGAUUUAUGCGCGUCAAGUAGCCAAGCAUAUCAAAUCCAAUUCCCAUCCUUCAAUUCCUGACUUGUUUUUCCACAUCCAGACAUACUAUAAAAUCGGUUUCUAGUUAAAUACACUUUUCUCUUUCUUUUUUUAUAGAAAAUCUCGACGGUACGAAGAGAAUUUUAUUGAUAUCGAAAGAAGAAGAAAAAAUGCCCCUAGUUAGGGAGACAUAAACUUAACCUCUCAUAACACAAGAAAAAAUUAUAAAAGAUACAUGAAAAAAGGAAGACAUAAACUUUACCUUUCUAGAAACAAAAACAACAAAGAUACAAGCAACAUCACAAGGUUAAGAUGAAAGACAAGAAGGUGAGACAAACUUGUAUGCCUAGAUGCACAUUUAUUUGAGAAGCGGAAGUUAAGAAAGCCAACAUAGUCUGAAGAACCGCCAUAGGAUUUGAAUCAUGCCAUACCAAAGUUGGAGAAGACAAGACCAUGUUAGCCAAAGUGUCUGCAACCACAUUUCCUUCACGAUAUAUGUGAGAGGAUAGAAUGUCAUCUUCCGAAUGCAAUCCAAACAAAUAGACUAUUGCGUACGAAAAGGCUAAUGAGGAUCAAAAUUAGUCGAUUGCAGAGUAGAAACAACACUAGAAGAGUCACUUUCCAGCCAAAGACAAUGUCGACCCCACUUAUAAGCAAACUCUACACCAAUAAUAACUAUUGAUAGUUCUGCAAAAAAAAAAAAGAGUUGCAAUGACAAUUCCUUGGCAGAAACCACCAUGAAACUGACCAUACCAAUCUUGAUAAACUCAUUCACAAGCAAGAGCAAUGGGUCGAUACUAAGCAAUGGUAGCAGCCAUGGACAGAGGGAGGUAAGUCCUGGGGGGAGGGCUUUAAACACCCAUUCUCCCUUUUUUUCCCUCACGUACUAAUGUUUAAGCCUUGCUGAGUUGCAUGUAUUUGGUUAAUUAGUACGAAUGAGCAUUAGAUUUCCAAUACAACAAUUAAAAACAAAAUUAGACAAUAGGGUAAUAAAAUUAGGCAUUUGUAAAAAUAAAAAAAUAAAAAAACUAGCUUUAUUUGUCCAAAAAAUGAGCUGAAAUUUUUAAGGUGCCCUCUCUUAGUUAAAUUUAUGGCUUCGUCCCUAGUAGCAACCCUUUCUACUUUAGGGGAUAAGGACCACAAAGUUGCAAUUAAUAUUUAGAUAAAGUCAGCCCCGCUUAAAAAAAUCUUGUACAAAUGCAAUAACAUCUAAAUCAACAAAUCCGAGCAUGAUUGAUAGAAAGAAGUAGGAAAAGAAUCACGUCCCGGAGCACUUGAGGGAUCCAUAGAAAAAAAAUGGCUUUUUUAAGUUCAUUAGCACAAGGUAAACAAGAAAGAGCAAGAUUUUCCUCUUCAUUAACCAUAGGUGGAAUUACACCACAAACAUCCUCAAUUCCAUUUGAAGUGAACAAAGAGUUAUAUAAAGACUGAUAAAAGUUUACCACAUGACUAGCAAUAUCAACAAGGGAAGAUAGCACAUUAUCACCAUCCAAUAGAGUAACAAUCCUAGAAGAAGAAAGCCUACCUUGAGCAUAAGUAUGGAAAAAAACAAUAUUACGAUCACCUUUAGUAAGCCAAAAAGUCACAUAUGAAGAGCAUCUAGGACAGUUGUCUUAGCCACAACUUCCUCAUUAAACCUCUCUUGAAAAUUCCCAUCAGAAAAACAGUAUUUUGGAUAUUAUGAAGUUUGUCCUUAGCAAUAGUGACAUAAAACAUAACAAACAUGGGACACCCGUAUGCAAUAGUUGAUUGCCAUCACUUAGCAACCAAAUUAGAAAAACUUGAAUGUAAAGUCCACAUGGAUUGAAAUCGAAAAGGUCGGGGGUCCUCCAAGAAGAGUAGCAAAAGCUGAGAAAACAAGACAAUUGUGACCAAAAACUACCUUUGGCAAAGCUGAACAAUUUGUAUGAGGCCAAGACUGUAACUAGUGCAAGAAGGUAAACCAAUUCCCACACACCCAUAUGGGUUUGCUCUCCAAUACAAGAGGAUAAACUAAUUACUCUCCAGUGCCAGAGGGUAAACUAAUUUCUCGACACCCAUCUGGGUAAGCUCGUCAGUGCAAGAAUGCUACAUAGCUCAAAAUAUUGAAUGCUUGAAUAUCAGCUAGGCAGCAAAUGGUCAGGGGGCAGUAGCCACUUUUGCACUUAAUAAUUCACUCAUCUGACACUUCAUCUUGAGCAGCUCCGAUCUUGGCAGUUCCAUCCUUGACUACUCCGUCUAUGGUAGCUAAGAAAUCAAACUUAAGCAGUUUCCUUAUUUUUGGCAAACAGCCCAUACGUGGCAGCCCAAACCGUUGGCCAUGCCACGCCACUUCCUCAGCCGAUGCCAAGCCAAUCCUUGGCUUUAAUUAAGCCGAGCAGCACAAGCAAUGGCCUCUGCCACACCUCCUCCUUGGGCCAUGCUAAACCGACUCCUGGCCCCUGUCAGUCGAUGUGUCGCACCACCCCAACGGCUGCCCCGUGGCAGCACCUCCCACAAAGAAGACAAAGAAAUCAACGGAAGACGAUUCUUUGCACGGGCAAGCAAAGAAGAAUGCUAGGGGAUGGGGAACAAAUAUCCUCUAGCUUUCUCUCUUUCUUGUAGGGAUAAAUAAUUGCUCUUCGAAGUUGAUUUAAUCCCCUACUUAAGGUAGGAUUAAAUAGGUAUUGGAGGUGAUUUAUUUCCCUUUCCUAAAAGAAUAUAAUUCCAAGUCCAAGAGAAAGUCUACAUCAAAGUUGGAGAUUUCUACACCUGCUGCCCUUUCCUGCGAGCAGCCCAGUAGGUAUUAAGGCAUUUGUGUAGCCAAAAAUAAUCACAAGGCGACACAUGGAUUUUUGGGAAGAAGAAGAUAAAAAUACCCUUGAGGCAUACUAAGAUUCUUACGGUCAAGCAACAGACACUCAUCACUCAACCAAGUCAAAAUUGCCAAAAAUAGGUAACAAUUCAAAGCCUAUUUCAUCCAUCCUCAUCAAAUCAUUUCUACAAGAUAAUUCCCAAUUCAUUCCUUUUAAAUUAUGUUGAUUGGCUAAUUAAUAGAUUUAUUACCUAAUUAAUCUAUUAAUAGCCAAUUAAACCACCAAUUACUCCCAAAAAACACACAUAAGGUCGGUCACCUUCUCUCCCAAGGGGGCCAGCCAUGCCUUAUAAUUUCUACCUCAUUUUCCCCUUUCAUUAGCUAAUCAAUUAGGCAAUUAUUCUAUUAAUUGACUAAGUAAUUAGUUAAUUAUUCCAUAACUCCCAAUUUAACACAAAUCAAGAACCUAGCCCACAAAGGGAGCUAGAUGGCCAGUCCUCUCUCAUCCAAGGAGGCCGGCCACUCUCCUAUUUAAACCCCAUCAUUCUCCUCAAAGUCCACUUCCAACUCUCUUGCUAAAAUUCUUUAAAAAUUCUCAAACACUUUCUCUCUAAAUUCUAACUUUGAUAUCAAAGAUUCUCUGACCAAAGCUGUCACAGCCCGUCCCGGAAUUAUAAAUACCGAGGACAUGAAAUUACAAAAGUGACCUUAAACGGGAUUAAGGUGCGUAAAUUCGACAUUUAGUUUUAUCUAAAGUUCCUAAACUAUGGUUAAUUAGAAUGUUAAUUUAUGUUAGGGACUAAAACUAGGUUGUAAUGUUGUGUUUGGGAUUUAGGUAGGGCCUCAUGCCCUGAUUCCCUCCCCAUUUUCCGUAUGCACACUCUCUCUCUUCCUCAGACCUUCACACUCUCUCUCUCACCCUCUCUAACUCUCGGGCAACCACCUAAACCACCUAAAAUCAACACCAACGCCGGAUUUAAAACCACCAUUGCACUCCUGAGGACUUCACGAUCACGUAGGUACCAGUUUAAGGUGAGUUUCAUUUCGAAAACCCUAGUUUCUAAAGACACCGUGAUUAUGUAUUGUUCAUGAUCUUUGAAGUGGUUGUGUUUUAGGCCAAACUAAGAUCAUAGUGAGCUUUAGGAAGUCCUAAGGAAGCUCGGAGUGGGUUGGUUGGAAGUUUUGGACGUCGGAAUACCUAGUUCGACGUUUGGCCGAAUUUCGUGAAAUUUUGGAAGGUAUGAUCCCGUGGUUUUUAGUGUUUAAAACCCUUCCAACGUGAUUGUACAUGUUAAAUGCUUCAAUUUGGUAUAAAAUUCGAGAAAAUUGGACGAAAAACGAGUGAGAAUAGUUAAAUAGAAUUUUUUCCCAGUUUUCCGGUGACCGGAGUCCGGCGAGGGUGAAUCGGAGAAGACGACGGCAUAUUCCGUUAUUUUUAACGGAAUAUGCUAACGCCGUUAGUUAACCUUAACGGAAACCGUUAGUUUUUAACGAAAUAUUCCUAACUGCCGUUACUGUGCCGUCAGCAUGCAUGUCACGUGGCCGCGCGUGGGGGGCGCGUAGGUCCGUGCCAUUUCAGGCGCGUGGGGGCGCGUGAAGGGUCAAAAAAUUAUUUUAAAAAUAUGGGGAUGAUCCUGAGAUUGUGUAGGUCAUCGUGGUAUAUUCAUAUACCCAAUUUGAGCAUCGUAUGAAGAAUUUAUUUACCUAGUUUGGUUUAGGUGCGUUAAUUGUGCGUUAAAUGACGUUUUUAGUUAUUUCACUUCUAGGUGGUACUUAUAACGAGGACGAGCACAUCCAGGGGCGUCAAGGGGGUUACGACCCGGCGACAUACCAGUGAGUGGGCAUUUGUUUUUAUAUAUAUACCUAUAUACUCGAUUUCCCCAGAAAUCAAAAUUAAAUGAAAAGUAUAUUGAAAUGAAAUGAAAUAUGAUUUGAUUGCCAUGCAUAGAAUGUUAUGAAUAUUAUGAACUGUCGUAUGAUGCAUAUAUGUAAGAUGGUGUUGUGGACGCACAAGUGAGUAUCAGGUGAGUAUUUAAUUACUGUUAUGACGAUGAUGAUAUAUAUUGAGCUCAUAUCCUGCACCAUGGUUUAGUGCUUAUAGUAUUCACCGCAUCGCACGCUGGCCUUGGAUCCAAGUAGAUGCUGGUCGCACAGUCCACGCGGAGUGGGUGCGACGGGCCAGUCGUAGAGUGUUAGUGAGAUUUCGACUGGUGGGUGACCUUAGAUUAUGUGUACAGAUGAUUGAUGAGAAAAGCACUAGAGCGUAAUAUUAACCAUUAAGUCGUAUAGACUACAUUAGGUGGUUCCGACUUAUGUGCAAAAGGCCGGACAGGUCACAGAGGUAACUCCGGCAGAGUGAGAGUGAUAGAUUUUGAGCUCUAGGUUCAAUCGUUCAGGACCAUUAGAGGGCCUCCGAUUGAUUACUUUCUUUUACCUAAUUUAUAUUAUGUCAAUGCAUUCAUACUAAACUGUUGAAUUUGGCAUGGUACAUUCUUUAUUGAAUCUGUUAUAAGAUUGAUGAUCGAGAUGGUUGAGAUUUAUAUAUGCUAUAUACUAUUUUUCUGGGAAAGUAUACAGGUUUUCAAAAAGGGGUUAUAAAUGUGGAUUUAGGAAAUGAUUUGGAAAAGCUUUAUUUUCGCCCACUCACGUUUUCUGUUUUUCGCCCCUCCAGGUUCUAGUUGAUAGUUGAGGCGUUGGUGGCCUACGAGGACUACUUCGGCGUUCUGACAUACUAAAUAAAUGUAGGAUUUCACCCGAGGGUGUUGUAAAUUAGUUAUGGUCCUACUUGACUGCACCUAGACGCUUAUGCUUUGUUUAUGUGUGUUUAGUACACUCUUAGGCACAUAGAAUGCUAGGUUGUUAAUAACUGCAAUUAGUGGUUUUCGUUGACUCGUAUAUUAUUAUUUAAUCGUUUCCGCUUGCGUUUAUGGUUACGUCACGCUCACGUGACGGCCAGCACGUCCUAGUCUUCGGGUUAGGGUGUGUCAAAAGCCCCCCUCCCACAAUUCAUCGUGGGCAUGUGAGGCUUUUGGCCUUGACCAAAUGUGUUAAUUGUUUUGUAAGUGUAAUUUUGUCCAAGAUCAAAGAGGAGGAAAUUUGCAUCCACACAACCCCUUCAAACCGCACCAAAAAAUCAAAACAUCCAUUCGAAACCUCAAUUUCUGAAACCAAUUUCAAGUUCGAUUCAAGUUUCAAACAAUAAUCAAUACAUCAAAUCCAAAAUUUCUCAACCCAAAAACUUCAUUUGAAGACGAAAACCUGAAAACAUUCGAGAUGUAUAUUUGCAGAAUCCAAAUCAGAGAAACACAGGUAUGAACCUAGAACUUCUUAUAUUCUUGAUGAUUUCUUACUUUGAUUUACUACAUAUGUAUAUUUGCAUUUUGAGAUUCUAAAAAAUAAAUUAUAUUUCCAAUUCAGAGUAUUCUGAUUUGCAUCCAGACGAAAAUGAACAAAAAAAAAUUGGGAAAUAAAAGCAACAUAGAAGAAAUAGAGGUACAUACUACAAAAUUUCUAAUAUUCUCGAUGAAUUUACAGUAAUAUGUAAGUUUGCACGAUUCAUAUUCAUUGAAUGGGCAAUGUUUCUGCAAAAUGGUAUUUUUUUUACUUCACUUUGAUAACGCUUGUUUUCUUAUAACCUUUAAAUAGUCUUUUCUUGACCUCAUAUGUUGAUUACUUAAAUAACUUAAAUAAAUAUAAUCAACAUUCUAUUACAAUGGUUCCAUAAAUAGUACAGUUUUUUUGUUUCUAUUUGAUUAACAAUAUGGAUCCAUAAUCAAUAUGGUGUUUUAGUUUAUUCUCUUAAAUAACAUGCCCUAUUAUGGAUCCAGAAUCAAUAUAGUGAAAAAGAAGGACAUUAUUGAAGCGUACCAAAAAUACUCUAAGACGAAACUCCUGAAGGGCGAAAGCUACUGCUUUAAUUAUAUGUGCACAUCUCAUCCAAUCCCUCUUAUUUGCAACCUCCGUAACAUACAUCACAUGGAACUUUAUAACAAUUUGUGGGGCAUUGGACCAAAUCAACAAAUAUAAUUGAGCAAAAGGAGUGAGAGACUACUUGUUCAAGAUGAUUGACAAAUCCAAGAAAAAGAAGAAAAAUGGAGGAGAAUUAGCAACAACAAGCGGAUGCACUGUCAUUAUUUUGGUAAAAAAUUAGAACUAAAGUUUUAAAAGCAUGAAUUCUGUCUUAUAAAUUUCACAAGAAACUAAUUCAAAGUUCUUAUUUCAGCAUUAUUAGAUUUAUUUUCACACCAAUCUUGUGGAGACAAUAAGUAGACGAGAAAACAUGAUUCCUGCCAUUAGAAGAUGGACAUAACCUACAAAGCAAUUCUUGAACUUUCGAUUGCCUUGCGGAUUAGUGAGUUAUUGGGUUCUGCCCCAUAACGUACAUCUUUGUGUCUACAUACGACGACUCCGUUUCUACUCAGAGCCGCAUAUAGAUGGCUCGCGAAACUCAUGCGGGUGUCUUGGCCACUGAAACUGAAGUAGACAUCGUACUCAUUUGUAUGCGUGGUGGCCAUGGAUCCCAACGGAAAUCUCUGCUCUCUUCUCUCUCUUCUUUCUUAUGGAAACUCAGACCGAUCAAAUCCAGAUCUGAGAGUCUUCUAGCAUAGGAAUGGAUAAUGAAAUGUCAACGGCUAUACAAUCGUCCGAUGCGCAGCAGCAAAUCUCCAUUAUUUUGACUUGAACUACAUAUAAGUAUUGUUUUUUUUUGUUAGAUACAUAUUAAUAUUGUUCAAAACUACAUAUUAAUAAAAAAAAAUUGUUCAUUAAAAAAUAGUAGAAAGACUAUUUAGUUUUUUAUCUCAAUAAAAAAAAUAAAGGAAAACUAAUGAAAAUGGCUUGAAAACUCUGAGUUUUAAUGAUAAGGACAAAAUAAAGAGUAAAGUGAAUAGUACCAGAAUUGACUUUUUAGUGUAAAAAUAUGGUUUUUCGUUAAAGUGAACAGUACCGGGAGCUUUUCGUUAAAGUUCCCAAAAAAUAAAGACAGUAACGUAAUUUUACAAAAUAAAAUUUUACUUUUUUGUUUAAACAUCACUUACAGGUACUUUUAACAUUUUCAAAUUGCCAAAACUCGGUAAUGUCUACAAGAAACAAAGAAUAAUUAGAUCCAGAAAACUCAAACAAGGUAAUGAAAUAUAUUCUAACAAGCAAGGUCAAUAAUAAUGCAGAUGUAGGUGUAUACCUUUUUUUCAUUCCAGAGCUGUUUAAUUCUACUAUGACACAUACUAAGUUCAACGAGCUCUUCCGGGUUGAAUUCUGAUGGGAGAUCUUCUAGAGGAUAAUCUAUCCAUUCAAGAAAUCUCAAGGAAUUAGGGAGACUGUUGAGUCCUUCAGGAAGGUGCACGUUAUGGACUUUGAUCAAUCUAAGAUUAAACAUCUGAGAAAAAGCUUCAGGAUGGCAUUUGACCUCUUUUGAUUCAAGCAAGUCUAGGACAAUGCCUUCAACCGUCGGUGUCCCCUGAUAACCAAGAACAAAACAACAAGUGAAUUGCAGUAUAAUAUGCACAUUAUAAGUAAAGGAAGAUGAGUAAAACAAACUUUUUUUUUUACAUGCCUCUUAAUUGUUAGAUUAAUUUAUAUUUGACGUAUUAGAUAAGCUCUUACCGUUUUUUCCUUCAAAACAUGAAAGAUGUCCUUAGAAAGCCAUAAUCUGCUUCGUCCACCAGGUUGUUUAGAUUGUUGAACAACAAUUGUUUGACCCAUUUUUUGUAACAAAUCAUGCAUCCACACCCUGUUAUCUGAAAUUUUUAUCAGAGACUUCUCCAUAAGGACAUCUAUGUCAAUACCUGGAUUAAAACCACAACUGUCAAGUAUUUCAGAUACUCGAUCUUUGUCCUCUCCUUUAAAGAAACAUGCGAUGUCAAGGAAAAUCUCUCUCCCUUGCGGAUCUAAUCCCUCGUAACCUGUUAUAAGAAUCUUCAUAAUUUUUUCAUCCAAUGUGAAAUCACCCUCUAGUUUGCGCGAUUGACUGCUCCAUGCAUCUAGAUCUCUUCCAUACAAAAAAGACCCCAAGACUUCAAGAGCUAAUGGAAGGCCACUGGCAUAGUCCACAAAACUGUCAGACAGAGCCUUAUAACUUUCAGGCGGAUUCUCUCUACGGAAGGCUCUCAAGCUAAAAAGUUUAAGAGCAUCAACUUUACUCAGCUCCGGCACCUCAAAUACUUUUUUUACACCAUGUGAAAUUAGCAAGCGUUCAUCUCUAGUGGUAAUAAUGAUUCUACUCCCCUGACGAAACCAAUCUGGUUUUCCACAUAGCUCUCUUAAAUGGUUACUAUCGUCCACGUCAUCAAGAAUGAUGAGAACCUUUUUCUCAAGUAAGAAACUUCUCCAACUGGCAGCUUCACCGGCAUCCCAGUCUUGUAUAUUUUUUUUCAUAAGGCUAUUGGAAAGCUUCCUCUGUACACUGGCCAUACCGUGUGCCUUAGAAUCCUCUCUAACUCCGCCAUGAAAGCUUUUGGCUUGAAAUUUAUGACGAAUCCUCUCAUAACAUGCUUUGGCAAGGGUUGUCUUACCUAUCCCACUCAUCCCCCAUAUUCCUAUAAAGAGAACAUCAUUUGACUCUAGUUCUAAAAGCACAUCAAGUUCCUUCAGUUUCGAAUCAAUGUCAACUAGUUUUUCUGCAGGCUCCAAUGAUAAAGGUCCUACUUCAUUCCGUACAUUUUCAACAAUGUUUUGGAUGAGCUCUGGUUCUUCUCUACAAGAAGAAAAAAAAGACAAUGUUCAAGAUAUGACCUAAUACACAAAGAAAUAAAAGAGCCACGGACUAUUUUGUUUUCGUCUACCUGAAGUCAUAGUACCAAGUGGUCUCUGCGUCCAUUUAUAAGAGGGUGGUUUGGUAUUGAACCAAAUUAGAGACGGUUUAGGAAAAGGGGAGGACAAAAAAGCGCAGCAGUAUUGGAUUUCAAACAUAUGAAUUCUUAACUGGAUCAAUUUUUUCCCCUUAUACUCUCAAAUGGACCAAAUAUAUGGUAAAAAGAAAGGCUCUCUAGGAUGGAACUUUAAACAAAGUCUACAAGGACACGAUGUUUCCUCAUUAAGUUGUGCAGUUAUGGGAUUAAGUGGUUAUCAAGCACCUUCAUCACUGUGCAAAAAUUAAAUGAUAUGAAUUCUACGAUUUUCCUAAAACUUAUCAAAUAUUUUUCAUGCAUCAGGCUUUAGCCGAAUUGAACUGGACUUUAGCAAAACUCAACCGAAUUAUAGAAAAAUAGCAAGAAUGAAGGGUCAAGUGCUGAUUUGCGAAAGCUUUUGAAUUGAGUGAAAGAGAAAAAAACAAGUAAUGCCAACCUAUUCUUUGAAGUACACCCUUUGAUUUUUGCCACUUUUGUUAAGGCAGCUUUCCAUCGUCCCACCAUCUCUUUGUCAUCCUUAUACUUCUCUUCGAGUUCAGUGAAGCCUUUCCCAAAACUCCCAGACCUAUCUCCAACAUCGCAGGGUUCCACUUCGUAGAAAACUGGUAGAACUGCCCCUCUCUCUUCCAUGCAUUCAAGAAUCUUUACGAGUUCGUUCAGGCACCAUUUUGAAGAAGCGUAGUCUGGAGAGAUGACAAUGAUGGCAAGCCUCGACUUUUCAAUUGCCGAGAAGAGUUCAGAAACUUUCCUUCGUAUUUCAAGAUCUUUGUCAUCAAAGAAAGUUCUUGUAAUUCCUUGUUCUUGCAAUUUAUCAAGUAGAUGGGCGGUAAAACCUAACCGCGUCUCACCCCUAAAACUCAAAAAGACAUCAUACUUCCAUUCAAGAUCUGAAGGAACAGAUGAAGUGGCUCGUUGGGUGGUCGAUGCCAUUGAAUACACGCUAACUGGAAUGGUGGUACUAGUUUUUCAAGCAAAAACAUGACCAGAAAAACAAUUCAGCAUUCAUAAUAUUAUAUUAGCCAAUAACAUGAACAGAAAUAACCAUGAAUCAGAAAGAUGAGCAAUAACCUGGGUGUAUGUAGAAAACCAAGUCACAGAUCAAGUCAGAGGGGUCAUGAGAGGACCUGAAGAUCCGUCAGAAAAAAGGAAACACUGUCUCUCUGUACUUGCUACAAGUCUCUCUGUAUGUCGUCGUCAACGGAACUUCACCGCGUAAGCUUGAUGGACGUGAUUCAACUGCUUCUUCUAUCCGACGGUCAAACCGCGUAAGCUCUAUUUUACCUCUUUUUUAUUUUUAUUUUUAUUUUAUUCGUUUGGUGAACUGUAAGCUCCAUUAUUUUAUUUUUGUGUGGCUCCAUUAUUAUUUUUUAAGAAAAACUAAUGAAAAUGAUUUUAAAACUUUAAGUUUUAAGAUAAAAUAAAAGGUAAAGUGAAUACUACCAUGAUUAAUUUUUUAGUGUAAAAAUAUGAUUUUUCGUUAAAGUGAACAAUACCGAGAGCUUUUCGUUAAAGUUCUCUAUUUUUUAUACUAAUGCAGAGCACACCAUUGUUGAAUGUUUCUAACAAACACAAAAUUUAACUGCAACUUCUUUUUCUUCCAGAAACACAAAAUUUAAUUUUCUUUAAGUUGACCCAGUGCGUUCACUUAGACAACGGUGUUGUUUGAAUAAAAAUAACUCUUAAAAAAAUCUUUUUUAUGGCAAACCAGAAAUACACCUGAAGUUUCUUGAACUACAUUAUCUGGAAUCAACACACUUAAAUUUAUCUAGAGUGUUAUAAACUCCUUUAAAAUAUUGAUGGUCCAAACCGAUCAUUUUGAAGCGCUAACUUAUUAGUAAGCAAAUACGUUUCUAGCUACACGUUGGAGCACAUUUUGCAAGAUUCAUGAUGAUCCAAACCGAUCAUUUUGAAGGCCACCAUUGAAUAAGGAUUAUUCGUGUAAAAUCUCACUCAAAUUGAGCAUUGCUUAGAUAUCUAGCUAAUGGCAACAAUAUAAGCAAACGAACAUGGUAAACAAUAAAGAAAAUCAAAGGGCUCAAUCAUUCCAAUUUAGGUAAUUUUUUGCAAGAAUGAUUUUGUAUUGAUUUUUUUUUUCUUCAGAAAACUAUUAAUCAUCAAAGUCCCAAGGGAGGGCGAACAAGAAACCAAAUCAGCAGGCCAAACAAAGGACCGUGGGCACUGCCGUUACUCUUAAGAAUGGAAUGGCAGAAAAGAAUUUUCUGUAUUAAUUCUCAAUGAAUAUACAAGCUGCGCUAGGGUUCUUAUACAAACUGCAAGAAUACAAUCACAACUUCUAACUCCUACAAAUCAGCUAAGUAAAUAUUUGUACAAAGGGAAAGAAUAAAUCACUGAUAGUCAAUGAUUAUCAUGCUACCAAAUAGGAAGGAAACUAAUCAUAUCUCAACACUCCCCCUCAAGUUGGCGAGUGAAUGUCAAAAACUGCUAACUUGCUCAGCAAAAAACGAAAUUGAUCUUUUCCUAAAGGCUUCGUCAAUAUGUCUGCAACCUGCUUUGAAGAUGGAACAAAUUUGGUGACUACCUUUCCUUCUUGAAUUUUAUCUCGAACAAAAUGGCAGUCAAUCUCUAUAUGGCGUGUCCGCUCAUGAAAAACAGGAUUAGAGGCAAUGUGAAGAGCUGCUUGGUUAUCACAAUGUAAAAGAGCAGGACCCAUAUCUUUAAUGUGUAAAUCACAUAAAAGACUUUGUAACCAGGUGAGCUCACAACAGGUAGCAGCCAUUGAACGGUAUUCUGCUUCUGCAGAAGACAAUGAGACUGUCUUCUGUUUUUUGCUUUUCCAUGAAAUUAAAGAAUCUCCAAGGAAAACACAAUAUCCGGUAGUAGAACGUCGAGUUACUGGACACCCUGCCCAAUCAGCAUCACAAAAAGGCCUUCAAUCUUAACGAACUUUGUGAGGAAAACAAAAUACCUUGGCCUGGAGUGUUCUUCAAGUAUCUCAAAACACGUAAAGCUGCAUCAUAGUGAGGCUUGCGAGGAUGUUGCAUGAAACGACUUAACGUGUUUACUGCAAAAGUAAUAUCAGGCCUGGUAAUAGUUAAAUAUAUCAAACGUCCUAUCAAUCUCCGAUAGAUGGACGGAUCAUGAAGUAAAUCUCCUUCAUCAGGAAGUAGCUUUAGAUUCUGUUCCAUGGGGAAACUAGCUGAGCGUGCUCCCAAAAAACCAACAUCUUUCAAAAUGUCCAAUAAAUAUUUUCUUUGAGAAAUAAAGAUCCCCUUUCUUGAACGAGCAAUCUCUAUUCCUAAAAAAUAUUUAAGGGCUCCUAAAUCUUUGAUGCGGAAGCGUUUAUUCAAAAAAGAUUUAAGAGAACCAAUAGCCGUCAUGUCAUUACCAGUGAUCAAGAUGUCAUCAACGUAAAUAAGGAGAGCUGUGAACGAUUUGCCAACUUUUCUUGUAAAAAGGGAAUAAUCGGCUUUGGACUGUGUAUACCCAGCUGCAGAAAUGGCUUCAGAAAAUUUAAAAAACCACUGCCGAGAAGCCUGCUUUAAUCCAUACAAAGACUUGUGAAGGCGACAUACUAAAUGCUCCCCCUGUCGCUGAAGACCAGGAGGUGGAACCAUAUAUAUUUCCUCAAGGAGAUCACCAUGGAGGAAAGCAUUGUGGACAUCCAUUUGAUGGAGAGACCAGCCACUAGCAGCCGCAAGAGCAAGGAGACAACGAAAGGUAACCAACUUGGCAGUCGGGGAAAAUGUAUCCUGAUAAUCAACACCCUCAAUUUGAGUGUAACCCUUGGCCACUAAACGAGCUUUGUAACGCUCAAUAGUGCCAUCAGACUUGUGCUUGAUUUUGUAGACCCAACGACAACCAAUAGGGAUCUUGCCAGGGGGAAGAGCAGUCAAAGACCAAGUGGCAUUAGCUUCGAGAGCCUGAAUCUCCGAGGCCAUAGCGUCGCGCCACCGAGGAUCUUUAGCAGCCUCUGCAUAUGUGUUAGGUUCAAUAGGAAGAGUAAUAUUGGCAAUAAAACUUUGAUAAGAUGGAGAAAGAUGUUGAUAAGAAAUAUGCUUGCAUAAAGGGUGACGAGUACCUUUGGCAGAAGAACCUGGAGUCGAUGCUUGGAGUGGGGAAGACGAGGAAACAUGAGAGCAAACAUAGUCAUCAAGAUAAGUAGGGGUACGUUUAGGCCUAUCAGAAUGUCGUAUUGAGGGGGGUGCAAGAGGGAGACCAGGUGACGGAGAAGGACUAUCGGUGACGGUGUGGUCUAGGAGAGGUGGAGCAAGGGAGGUGGAUGGAGACUCAAUGGCAACAGGAGGGGCGGAAGGCUCAAUGACGACGGGAGUAGGUGGCAUCUCAAUGGCAUCAUAAGGAGGAGGAGGCAAGACAGGUUCAGGAGGUUGGGUUGAAGAAGUGGUGAUAAAAGGAAAAUGAGACUCAUGAAAAAUGACAUCGCGGCUGGUGAACACUUUGUGAGUAGAAAGGUCGUACAACUUAUACGCUUUUUGACCAAAGGGAUAUCCUAUAAAGACACAUUUUCUGGCUCGUGCAUCAAAUUUAUGAAGAGGGUGAACAUUAGUGGCAUAGGCUAAACAUCCAAAAAUACGUAAGUGUGCGUACGAUGGAGGAUGACCAUAAAGAACCUCAAAAGGGGAUUUAUUUGACAAAAGUGGUGUGGGUAAGCGAUUUAUGAGAUAGAUGGCAGUAAGGACACAAUCUCCCCAAAAAUACAAAGGUAAGUGACUUUGAAAACAUAGUGCCCUAGCUACUUGCAAAAUAUGACGAUGUUUCCGCUCGACUACUCCAUUUUGUUGUGGAGUAUAUGUGCAAGAACGUUCAAAAAUCACACCGCUCUCGGAAAAGAAAGAAUGUAGGGACAAAAACUCACUACCAUUAUCAGUUCGGAUUUUCUUAAUUUUGUGAUGGAAUUGAGUUUCUACAUAAGAAAAGAAAGUCUUAAGCAACUGUUGUGUUUCAGAUUUAUUUCGCAUAAAAAAGAGCCAAGUGGUGCGAGAAAAAUCAUCAACAAUGGUUAGGAAAUAUCGAGCCCCAUUAUAUGUAGAAAUUUUGUGCGGUCCCCAAAUGUCACAAUGAACAAGCUCAAAAAUGUGUUUACUGGCAAUAUGACUUAAUGGAAAAGGCAAUCUAGUUUGUUUUGCCAAAGGGCAAACAUCACAAGGUUUAUUUAAAUGAGAAGAAACAUCUAACAAUUGCUUAGCUAAAAGGUGGAGUCGUUGUGGAGAGGGAUGACCAAGACGACGAUGCCAUGAAAUGGAAUUAAUGCAACUGGAUGACGGUGAAGUGGUGCAGCGAUUGUUUGGUUUGGUGAGAUAGUAAAGACCGCCACGUUGUCUACCCCAUCCAAUCAUCUUUCUCGUCUCCAGGUCCUGGAAGAUACAAAAAUCCGGAAAAAAAGUUAUGGAACAUCGAAGGGAUUUUGUUAAACGACUAACGGAUAUCAAAUUAACCAAAAAGGAGGCAAUUCGUAAAACGUUAGUUAAGGAAAGUUUGGGAUCAAAAGUAAAAUUGCCAAUACUACUAAUUGAAACCCUUUCACCAGUCAGAAGUUUUACUGGAGGCAAAGACUUGUUCACAGUAGAGUUCGAUAAGGGAAGUGCCGUAACAUGAUCUGUAGCGCCACUAUCAAUUAUCCACUCUUGUGAAUGAUGGGGAGACAAACCUGUGACGGCAUUGGUCUGUGCUUCAGAUGGUAGAUUUCCAGCCAUCAUAGCAAAGAGUUGUUGAAGCUGCUCAGGAGUGAAAGUCAUCGGUGUUGCUGAGGUAGAUGAAGAAGUGGUAGAAGUUGAAGCUUGAACAUGGUUGGUCGCUGGUUUUCCCUCCUUACUGCGGCCCUUUCCCUUGUUCUUUUUAUGAAGACGAUGGUCCUCGGGAUAUCCAUGGAGUUGGUAGCAAGUCUCCUUAGUGUGGUGAGCUGUGUCACAAUAAUCGCAAUGGAGCGGUUUGCGAUUCCCUUGGCUGCCACGACUUUGUUGAUUGCCGCGACCACCUUGAAUGGCCAUGGCUACUCCUUCCAGACUUGGUUGUGGGACGGCUGUAAUUCCAUGUUGCUUCUCCUCUUGAUUAACCAUGGAAAAAACUUUGAGCACCGAAGGCAAUGGCUUUACAAGCAGAAUCUGACCUCUCACUGCUGCAUAUGAAUCAUCAAGCCCCAUUAAAAAUUGCAUAACCUUAUUCUGCUCAUCUUUCUCGUUACGGUCGUUCAUGGCACCACAUGAGCAAUUUUUAUGGCUGCCAUAAGAAGAUAACUCAUCCCAUAAACCCUUCAAUUGGGAAUAAUAGUCAGACACAGACAUCUGAUUUUGAGUGAGAUAUGCAAUGUCACGCUGAAUCUCGAAAAUUCGUGGGACGUUGUCUUGCGAAAAACGAGUCUUGAGGUCCUCCCAAACAUCAUGUGCAGUGUCGGCAUAAACCACACUGUUGGAUAACCCAGAACUCACAGAGUUUAAAAUCCACAUGAGAACCAUGUCAUUACAACGCUGCCAAAGAGCAGCUUCAGUUGCGUUCUUGUCGGACGGCUGCUUCACAGACCCAUCAACAAAACCAAAUUUGUUCUUUGCGCUAAGAGCAAUGCGCAUUGAACGAGACCAUGUGCUAUAAUUGUUUCCAGUAAGUAGAGUGGAAACAAGAUGCAUCCCUGGAUUAUCAGAGGGAUGAACAUAGAAGGGGCUUGAGGGAUCGUUCGACGCCGCAACCGACUUGGAGUCUCCCAUAGCCAAAAAAGAACGACUUUUCUUACAAGAAAAAUCGAAGGAAAAAACGAGGAGAAACCAAGAAAAAAAACGUCCUAGGAUCUUGGACUCUCUGGUACCAUCUUAAGAAUGGAAUGGCAGAAAAGAAUUUUCUGUAUUAAUUCUCAAUGAAUAUACAAGCUGCGCUAGGGUUCUUAUACAAACUGCAAGAAUACAAUCACAACUUCUAACUCCUACAAAUCAGCUAAGUAAAUAUUUGUACAAAGGGAAAGAAUAAAUCACUGAUAGUCAAUGAUUAUCAUGCUACCAAAUAGGAAGGAAACUAAUCAUAUCUCAACAGUUACAGACUUCUAACAGAACGCAAAGAACCUUCCGACGUAUGCCUCGACCUUCACCCGGCAACGAUUUCUGGCGAGCAACCGGGCAAGAAGACAGAUGCUGCAUCUCCAGAGACAAUGCUACUUGUAAAGAGGAGAGGACUAACCCACAAGUUAUGACAAACCUACCAAUAUUAAAUUUCAAUAUCUCGAGUCCAUGUGGAUGGUACGACAAUUUGAUCCAUACAUACAACAAAGACACACACAAGAAAGAAAAAUUUGGCCAACCGUUAAAAACAAACUGAGAUCAAAGAAAUCAAACAAUAAGGUACAUCAAUACAUUAAAUUAUAUGCAAUGCCUGCUGACAUCUCGGAAAUAUACCAACUAAACAGCAUACAACAACAACAACAACAACAACAAAGCCUUUUCCCACUAAGUGGGGUCGGCUAUAUGAAUCCUAGAACACCAUUGCGCUCGGUUUUGUGUCAUGUCCUCCGUUAGAUCCAAGUACUCAAGUCUUUUCUUAGGGUCUCUUCCAAAGUUUUCCUAGGUCUUCCUCUACCCCUUCAGCCCUGAACCUCUGUCCCGUAGUCACAUUUUCGAACCGGAGCGUCAGUAGGCCUUCUUUGCACAUGUCCAAACCACCGGAACCGAUUUUCUCUCAUAUUUCCUUCAAUUUUGGCUACUCCUCCUUUACCUCGGAUAUCCUCAUUCCCAAUCUUAUCCUUUCUCGUGUGCCCAUACAUCCCACGAAGCAUCCUCAUCUCCGCUACACCCAUUUUGUGUACGUGUUGAUGCUUCACCACCCAACAUUCUGUGUCAUACAACAUCGCUGGCCUUAUUGCCGUCCUAUAAAAUUUUCCCUUGAGCUUCAAUGGCCUACGACGGUCACCCAACACGCCGGAUACACUCUUACACUUCAUCCAUCCAGCAUUUUAUGGUUGAGAUCUCCAUCUAAUUCUCCGUUCUCUUGCAAGAUAGAUCCUAGGUAGCGAAAACGGUCACUUUUUGUGAUCUUCGCUAGAUUGCUCCGGUCAUUAGUGUGGAUAAGUAUAUAAAUGGAUAGAGAUAGGAAAGCAAACAUAAGAUGUACGUGGUUCACCCAGAUUGGCUAAGUCCACGGAAUAGAGGAGUUCUCAUUAAUUGUGAAGGGUUUACACAAGUACAUAGGUUCAAGCUCUCCUUUAGGGAGUACAGGUGAAUGAUUUAGUACAAAUGACAUUAGGAAAUAUUGUGGGAGAAUGAUCUCGUAACCACGAAACUUCUAAGUACCGGAGUGUGGUAUCGUCUUAACUUUCCUUAUCAUUCUCAUAGGUAGAUGUGACAUCUUCUCUGGAAGUACUCUUCCUCCAUCCAGGGGUGGUAUCUGUAACUGGUGGAGAUGCACAAGGUAAUGUAUCAAUGUCACUUGAAGCUUACUUGUAGUUUCAGGCUUGGUCAAGCGCGAUACAAACCAUGUAGUAGGAGUCCCCCAAGUCGCCGAGCUAGGGGAUCUGCUGAAAGAGGUAACAGACAAGGUAAACAAUCAGAGCUCCGACUGAUUGUUCACAUUCUCCCUAUCUUGCAGGCAACAUGAAGGAUAAAGAGAAGAAAAAUGAGAAGAGAUGAUAUGGGAUACUUUUGCUUUUGAAGAAGUAACUUUCCACAGGCUUAUUCUUAAAUUGGGCUGGAGGGUUUUCUGGUUUCCUCCAGAGUAUAAGGCCGACUGAAGAAUUUGAAGGUCAAAACAAGUCCAUCAAAUCUAGAGUACGUUCGACCCUGCUGAUAUGGGAUACUUUUGCUUUUGACAGAGUAGUGGAUGUAUCGGCACGUGUGCUGUUACGCUUGUCUCCACAUGCUUCCUUGUAUCCUUCUCACUUGCCCUAUCUGUUCCUCAGGCAGAUGCGGUAUCUUCCCUAGAAGCAUAAGAUGUUGAAGAUGAGUACUCGAGAGCAAUGCCAGGUAAGUAAUCAGGUAAGGGGUUCCAGGCAGUCAGUUCCUGGCUGGAAGCUUGAUUCCAAGUGCUGACUGAUUGCUCUCUUUCUCCUUGUCUUGCAGGUAAGAACAAGGCCAAAGGAAAAGACAGGGAAAAAGCAUGAUAUGGGAUACUCUUGCUUUUAACCCUGAUGAUAUGAGAUAUUCUUGCUCUAGUAUAGCUUGUUUACAGAGGUAUUAUCGGGGGGAAAGAAAGCUGAAUAUUUCGAAAGGCUUCAUUGGGAGUGCCCUCUCAGAUAAGAGGAAGGGUUGAGCAUUUUUGCAGGUCUGCCUGUCCGUUGGGGAUGGAGGUCGACAUAUAUAGGAGUCUCCCUAACAUCAAGUAAUAAUGUUAUUCCUUUACCCUGCUUGGUCAUAGCACGGUAGUGGGAGCUGCCAACUUCACAAGUUUUAACUCUGUCAGAGCAAUUUGAAAAAGUGGUCUGUGGUAUCUGGAAAGCUGAUGUUGUGUGUGAAGAUUACAGACAAGCUUUAUCCAAGGAGAUCCGGCUCUUGAAGUUGGGAAAGUGGUGCCUCUUCGGUUUUCGAACAAGCAAUCCUGUCGGGGAUCUGGCUCUCGAGAUUCGGAGAACGAUGCCUCUUCGAUUUUUGAGAAAGCAAUCCUGCUGGGGGUCUGGCUCUCGAGAUUCGGAGAGCGGUGUCUUCGAUUUUUGAGAAAGUAAUCAUGUUGGAAGUCUGGCUCUCGAGAUUCGGAGGGCGGUGCCUCUUCGAUUUUAGAGCAAGCAAUCUUGUUGGGAGUGUUUUCUCGAAUGUGAGUAAAGGUUGGGCAUGUUUGCUAGUCUACCUUGCCACGAAACACAGAGGUUAACACACAGGGAAUUUCCAAUUAUCCAGCAGUGGUACUGUUCUCUUACCCUCUCUUCGAUUUUUGAGAAAGUAAUCAUGUUAGGAGUCUGGCUCUCGAGAUUCGGAGGGCGGUGCCUCUUCGAUUUUGGAGCAAGCAAUCUUGUUGGGGGUGUUUUCUUGAAUGUGAGUAAAGGUUGGGCAUGUUUGCUAGUCUACCUUGCCACGAAGCACAGAGGUUGACACACAGGGACUUUCCAAUUAUCCAGCAGUGGUACUGUUUCUUUACCCUCUCUUCGAUUUUUGAGAAAGUAAUCAUGGUGGGAUUCUGGCUUUCGAGAUUCGGAGGGCGAUGCCUCUUCGAUUUUGGUGCAAGCAAUCUUGUUGGGAGUGUUUUCUCGAAUGUGAGUAAAGGUUGGGCAUGUUUGCUAGUCUACCUUGCCACGAAGCACAGAGGUUGACACACCGGGACUUUCCAAUUAUCCAGCAGUGGUACUGUUCCUUUACCCUUGUGGGUAAUAAUAUGGUAGCUAGGCCUUCAAAAUUUAUGUGUCUAAACUUUGUUAGUGUUGUUUCUUUGCUAUUCUUUUACCCUUCUUGGUCAGAGCGAUGUAGUGAGAGCUGUAAGCUUCACGUGUCUCAACUUUGUCAGAGAAUUUUGGCAAAGUUAUAUGUGAUACCCAUGAGCUACUGUUGCGUGUGGGAAGUGGGUGAUUGAACAGUACGAUUCAUGUGCUUUCUACCUCGCCAGAAAUCUUCGACAGAAUGCCCAUAAUUUCCGCAAAGCUGAGUGUGCGUGUGACAGGUGCUGACAAGGCUGGAAAAGUAGUCUCAACUUUGUCAGAGAACUUUGGCAAAGUUAUAUGUGGUACCCAUGAGCUACUGUUGCGUGUGGGUAGUGGGUGAUUGAAUAGUACGAUUCAUGUGCUUUCUACUUCGCCAAAAAUCUUCGACAGAAUGCCCAUAAUUUCCGCAAAGCUGAGUGCGUGUGACAGGUGCUGACAAGGCUGGAAAAGUAGGUGCCUCUUCGAUUUCUGAGAUCGGCCCUCGUGGUCUCUGAGCAGCCCAGCUUUUGAGAAAGCAAACCUCUUCGAUUUUUGAGAUCGGCCCUUGUGGUCUAUGAGCAGCCCAGCUUUUGAGAAAGCAAACCUCUUCGAUUUCUGAGAUCGGCCUUCGUGGUCUUUGAGCAGCCCAGCUUUUGAGAAAGCAAACGCCUCUUCGAUUUCUGAGAUCGACCCUCGUGGUCUCUGAGCCGCCCAGCUUUUGAGAAAGCAAACGCCUCUUCGAUUUCUGAGCAGGCGCCUCUUCGAUUUCUGAAGCUUCGUCGAGUGCAGAUUUUUAUAGGGGCUGACAUUAAGUUCCAAAGCACACUUGAAUAUCCACCAGUAGAAGCUCCAUUCUUGCACUUCUAAGAUCUUGAUUUGUCCGACCUUUUCUCUCUUCAACACCUUUGAAAAUGUCUGGCCCCUCCGACCGUCGUUUUGACUUGAACCUUGUUGAAGAGGCAACCCCGCCUUCUCUAGACAACAUAUGGCGCCCAUCCUUCGUCUCCUCUACUGGUCCUCUUACCGUUGGGGAUUCCGUGAUGAAUAAUGAUAUGACCGCUACGGGUGUGGCCAGGAAACUUCUCACUCCCAAAGAUAACAGACUACUUUCCAAACGGUCUGAUGAGUUGGCUGUUAAGGAUUCUCUGGCUCUUAGUGUUCAGUGUGCAUGUUCUGUGUCUAAUAUGGCCCAACGCCUAUUUGCUCGAACCCGCCAAGUUGAAUCAUUGGCUGCUGAAGUGAUGAGUCUCAAACAAGAGAUUAGAGGGCUCAAGCAUGAGAAUAAACAGUUGCACCGGCUCGCACAUGACUAUGCUACAAACAUGAAGAGGAAGCUUGACCAGAUGAAGGAAUCUGAUGGUCAGGUUUUACUUGAUCAUCAGAGUUUUGUGGGUUUGUUCCAAAGGCAUUUAUUGCCUUCGUCUUCUGGGGCUGUACCGCGUAAUGAAGCUCCAAAUGAUCAACCUCUGAUGCCUCCUCCUUCUAGGGUUCUGUCCAGUACUGAGGCUCCGAAUGAUCCCCCUCCGGUGCCUUCUCUUUCUGGGGCUCUACCGACUGCUGAGACUUCUCCUAAGCAACCUUUGUGAAGGCUCCCUCUUGUUUGUUUAUUUUGACUCAAGUAUAUGUACAUAUUUGUAACUUAUCGGGGAUAUCAAUAAAUAAGCUUUCCUUCAUUUCAACGUAUUGUGUUAAAUCACCAAAGCCUUCUUCGCUAAGUUCUUUGAAUUUUCUUUUGUUGAAGCUUGUAUGUUGAAGCUUUGUGAAUGGAGCAUGUAGGUUGAGGUAGUGUUCCCUUAAUUUCCCGAGCGAUGACAACUUCUCGGUUGGAGACUUGGAAAAUCCAAGUCACUGAGUGGGAUCGACUAUAUGAAUCUUAGAACGCCAUUGUGUUCUGUCCUAUGUCAUGUCAUCCGUUAGAUCCAAGUACUCUAAGUCUUUUCUUAGGGUCUCUCUCAAAGUUUUCCUAGGUCUUCCUCUACCCCUUCGGCCCUGAACCUCUGUCCACAAACCAAAACCGAAAAAGUUCCUACCAAUAUUUAUUUAGCAACAUGUAAUCUCAUGAUCUCAUGUGUAAGUGAGGAACAAGGUCCAGAGCCGGACUGACCGAUACGCUGAUGGGGCACAACUCAAAAUGACCUAUUCGGAUUUGAAGAAGAUGACUUGGCUUUUGCAAAAUCAACUAGAUCCUUGAAAAGAGCAUCUUCCUGUUUUACUUGUUUUGUUGGGGUAGACGAAUUAAGGGAGAGAUUCUGAGUCUGUCCCACUAAGUUGUCAUAAGAUGAACCAGAUCCACUGCCUGGAACGCCUUGUUUCUCAAAAAACUGUUGUCUCUGGUUAUACCUGGAAGGCGGAGGUGGAAGGCUGACAGGAGAUUGACCAUUGCCAGGAGACUGAGGAUUCCCCAGAGACUGAGUAUCCCAAGGAGCAGGAGGUAGCCCAUCUAUAGAUUUGCUUCUAGGAGCCGGUUCAUCAUAUACAGGCUUUCCAGUGAAUAUAGGUGAUGGAGUUGUGUUUUGGGAAGAAGGGUGUGAAGGUGAUAGUGGAGUCAAUCGUGAGGUGGAGCUGGAAUGAACUGGAGCGGCAAAAGAUGUGGAUUCUGAUGUUGCAGAGGAUCCUUCAGAUUUGUAGGCUUCUCCACUGAGAUAAUCAAUCACACCAGGACCUAGAGUGAUUGGCCUUUGCGAAGACGGUGGAAGAGGAAGAAGUGGGCUGACUUGCACAGGUUCAGCCUUGGCAUUGGCUGAUCUCUGGCCCUGUCCUUGUGAAUUAUCUCUUGAUGACCUGCAAUGCAUCUUACCGAAUUUUACUAAGAGGAUAAGAAUAUUAAAAGUAAAAAACUAACAGAACUUGCAAUAUUCAUAUUCUGAAGCGCACACAUACAAGUAAAAUUGGUAGAAACAAAAACAAGUGAGAAUGAAAUGACAAUGCAAAUAAAACUUAGAAGUGUUCCUCUAACAAUCACCUGUGCGCUAGUUGGGAAAAUUCAUCCUCAGACACAUCAUCCUCAUGGUUCACAUUCACAAGUGGCACAACUGAAGAUUCUGCUCCUCUUACUGUAGUUGUAGUUCCUUUCACAAUAUCGUCAUGCCGAGAAAUUACACGCUGCAGAUCAUCGUUCAGUGCCAAUCCCUGACAUAGAAGCUCCUCAUCUCUGAGAGGAGAGCAACCACAACUGUCACUAUUGCAUCAAAUGUAUGAGUAAAACUCAAAUCCAUAUCAAAUCACUUACGCAGUCUCAUUCACAAGAAGCCUGACACGCUUUUGGUAUGAACGGCACUGAUCAACAAGGUCAACAAUCACUUCUUCCUUCAAACCCUGCCAUAGUAUUUCAUUUUGACCAUUUAUGACCAUUAAAUUUGCACACAUUAAAAGCCCGGAUGGUAAUAUUACGAUUUUGGUUCAUUUUUUAUUUUUAGUAAAAGCCGAAGAGGAAUUGUAUGGAGAAAAUAGGGAGAAAGAAAGGGCUCAGAUGGAUGAGCAUUAAAAUGAAUAUGGAACGGUAUUUAAACCACAAAUUAAAUCAAUCUCAACUAUUCUAUUUUCUCCUUCAAGUUUUUAUUUCACCCAUUCCCCUUCAAUCAUCCAUACCUCCUCCCUUCUACAAGCACAAGAAAAGUGCAGCCCUUAAAGGUACUAAUUUGCGAGUAAUUAACCACCUAAUUCCAACUCUGCUAAAAGUCCCAACUUCAAAAAAUUUUACAAUCACAGUAAUUGACACCUCUGGAUAGCUAGCCUUAUAAAUAAAGUUUUGUUAUCAAUAUAUCUCCUCAAAUAAUUUACAUACAGUGCAUAAGUAAGGAAAAGUAUGGACCAUAAAUAUUCUCCACAAUUGACCAUAUACAACUUUCAGAAUUUUCUACUGUGGGCACAUAUGAAACUUUCACCGCUAGAGAACUCCACACACAAAAACAAAAAAAUAGAAUCAUUGGCCUCUCAACAAAAAAAAAAUUCUAGAAAAACAUAAAUAAGAAAUUAUCCUUUAAUAAUACCUUUUUGGAAAGAAAUUAAUCAGAAGUAAAAAAAUAAGGUAGAAAAUAUAUUACCUCAGGAUUCUUAGCAUCCAAGGCAUUAAGCAUUUCCAUCAACACAUCUGCAAUUCCACGAGCAUACUGAAUCUCUGGCAAGCUGAUUAAAGACAGUUCCAAUCAGGAUGGAUCUAUCAUAGCUUCAAUAAUAAUUCAGACAAUUUUUACCAAAAAUAAAAAAGCAUCCCAAAGCAUAAAAAACAGAUAGCAUCUGUUACAAUAUCAUUAUGUUGGAAUUGUCUGUAUAGGUAAUUAUGGGGGAUUCGGGAAAGAUGGAAUAACUAUACAACAACAACAAAGCCUUUUCCCACUAAGUGGGGUCGGCUAUAUGAAUCCUAGAACGCCAUUGCGCUUGGUUUUGUGUCAUGUCCUCCGUUAGAUCCAAGUACUCUAAGUCUUUUCUUAGGGUCUCUUCCAAAGUUUUCUUAGGUCUUCCUCUACCCCUUCGGCCCUGAACCUCUGUCCCGUGGUCACAUCUUCGAACCGGAGCGUCAGUAGGCCUUCUUUGCACAUGUCCAAACCACCGUAACCGAUUUUCUCUCCUCUUUCCUUCAAUUUCGGCUACUCCUACUUUACCUCGGAUAUCCUCAUUCCUAAUCUUAUCCUUUCUCGUGUGCCCACACAUCCAACGAAGCAUCCUCAUCUCCACUACACCUACGUGUUGAUGCCUCACCGCCCAACAUUCUAUGCCAUACAGCAUUGCCGGCCUUAUUGCCGUCCUAUAAAAUUUUCCCUUGAGCUUCAGUGGCCUACGACGGUCACACAACACGCCGGAUGCACUCUUCCACUUCAUCCAUCCAGCUUGUAUUCUAUGGGUGAGAUCUCCAUCAAAUUCUCCAUCUUUUGCAAGAUAGAUCCUAGGUAGCGAAAACGGUCGCUCUUUGGUAUUUCCUGAUCUCCGAUCCUCACCCCUAACUCAUUUUGGCCUCCGUUUGCACUGAACUUGCACUCCAUAUAUUCUGUCUUUGAUCGGCUUAGGCAAGGACCUUUAGAUUCCAACACUUCUCUCCAAAGGUUAAGCUUCGCAUUUACCCCUUCCUACGUUUCAUCUAUCAACACUAUAUCGUUUGCGAAAAGCAUACACCAAAGAAUAUCAUCUUAAAUAUUAAGUUUGUGAUCUUCGCUAGAUUGCUCCGGUCAUUAGUGUGGAUAAGUAUGUAAAUGGAUAGAGACAGGAAGCAAACACAAGAUGUACGUGGUUCACCCAGAUUGGCUACGUCCACGGAGUAAAGGAGUUUUCAUUAAUUGUGAAGGGUUUACAUAGUAUAUAGGUUCAAGCUCUCCUUUAGUGAGUACAAGUGAAUGAUUUAGUACGGAUGACAUUAGGAAAUAUUGUGGAAGAAUGAUCUCGUAAUCACGAAACUUUUAAGUACCGAAGUGUGGUAUCGUCUUCACUUGCCUUAUCUGUGUCAUAGGUAGAUGUGGCAUCUUCUUUGGAAGUACUCUUCCUCCCUCCAGGGGUGGUAUCUUUAACUGGUGGAGAUGCACAAGGUAAUGUAUCAAUUUCACUUGACGCUUACUUGUAGUUUCAGGCUUGGUCAAGCGCGAUACAAACCAUGUAGUAGGAGUCCCCCAAGUCGCCGAGCUAGGGGAUCUGCUGAAAGAGGUGACAAACAAGGUAAGCAAUCAGAGAUCCAAGCAAUCAGUCCCAUAUCAGAAGUUUGAUUUCGAGUUCCGGCUGAUUGUUAUCAUUCUCCUUAUCUUGCAGGUAGCAUGAAGGAUAAAGAGAAGAAAAUGAGAAAAGGUGAUAUGAGAUAUUUUUGCUUUUGAAGAAGUAACUUUCCAUAGGCUUAUUCUUGAACUGAGCUGGAGGGUUUUCUUGUUUCCGCCAGAGUAUAAGGCCGACUGAAGAAUUUGAGGGUCAAAACAAGUCCAUCAAAUCUAGAGUACGUUCGACCCUGCUGAUAUGGGAUACUUUUGCCGUUGGCAAAGUAGUGGAUGUAUCGACACGUGUUCUGUUGCGCUUGUCUCCACAUGCUUCCUUGUAUCCUUCUCACUUGCCCUAUUUGUUCCUCAGGCAGAUGUGGUAUCUUCUCGGGAAGCAUAAGAUGUUGAAGAUGAGUACUCGAGAGCAAUGGGGUUCCAGGCAGUCAGUUCCGGACUAGAAGCUUGAUUCCAAGUGUUGACUGAUUGCUAUCUUUCUCCUUGUCUUGCAGGUAUAACAAGGCCAAAGGAAAAGACGGGGAAAAAGCAUGAUAUGGGAUACUCUUGCUUUUAACCCUGAUGAUAUGAGAUAUUCUUGCUCUAGUGUAGCUUGUUUGUAGAGGUAUUCUCGGGGGGAAAGAAAGCUGAGUAUUCCGAGAGGCUUCGUUGGGAGUGCCCUCUCAGAUAUGAGGAAGGGUUGAGCAUUUUUGCAGGUCUGCCUGUCCGUUGAGGAUGAAGGUCGACAUAUAUAGGAGUCUCCCUAACAAGGAGUAAUACUAUUCUUUUACCCUGCUUGGUCAUAGCACGGUAGUGGGAGCUGCCAACUUCACGUGUUUUAACUCUGUCAGAGCACUUUGAAAAAAUGGUCUGUGGUAUCUGGAAAGCUGAUGUUACGUGUGAAGAUUACAGACAAGCUUUAUCCAAGGAGAUCUAGCUCUCGAAGUUGAGAAAGCGAUGUGAGGAUUACAGACAAGCUUUAUCUAAGGGGCUCUCGAAGUUGAGAAAGCAGUGGCUCUUCGGUUUUCUAACAAGCAAUCCUGUCGGGGAUCUGUCUCUCGAGAUUCGGAGAACGGUGCCUCUUCGAUUUUUGAGAAAGCAAUCUUGCUAGGAGUCUGGCUCUCGAGAUUCAGAGAGCGGUGUCUCGUCGCUUUUUGAGAAAGUAAUCAUGUUGGGAGUCUGGCUCUCGAGAUUCGGAGGACGGUGUCUCUUCGAUCUUGAAGCAAGCAAUCUUGUUGGAGUGUUUUCUCGAAUGUGAGUAAAGGUUAGGCCUGUUUGCUAGUCUACCUUGCCACGGAGCACAGAGGUUGACCCACAAGGACUUUCCAAUUAUCCAGCAAUGGUCCUGUUCUUUUACCCUUGUGGGUAAUAAUAUGGUAGCUAGACCUUCAAAAUUUAUGUGUCUAAACUUUGUUAGUGCUGUUUCUUUGCUAUUCUUUUACCCUUCUUGGUCAUAGCGAUGUAAUGGGAGCUGCAAGCUUCACGUGUCUAAACUUUGUCAGAGAUUUUUGGCAAAGUUAUCUGUGGUACUCGUGAGCUGAUGUUGCGUGUGGAAAGUGAAUGAUUGAACAGUAACAUUCACGUGCUUUCUACUUCACUAGAAAUCUUUGACAGAAUGCCCGUAAUUUCUGCAAAGUUGAGUGUGCAUGUGACAGGUGCUGACAAGGCUGAAAAAGCAGGUGCCUCUUCGAUUUCUGAGAUCGACCCUCGUGGUCUCUGAGCAGCCCAGCUUUUGAGAAAGCAAGCGCAUCUUCGAUUUCUGCGAUCGACCUUCAUGGUCUUUGAGCAGCCCAGCUUUUGAGAAAGCAAACGCCUCUUCGAUUCCUGAGAUCGGCCCUCGUGGUCUCUGACCAGCCCAACUUUUGAGAAAGCAAACGCCUUUUCGAUUUCUGAGCAGACGCCUCUUCGAUUUCUGAAGCUCCAUCGAGUGCGGAUUUUUAUAAAGGCUGGUAUUAAGUUCCAAAGCACACUUGAAUCUUCACCAGUAGAAGCUCCCUUCUUGCAUUUCUAAGAUCUUGAUUUGUCCGACCUCUUUUCUCUUCAACACCUUUGAAAAUGUCUGGCCCCUCCAACCGUCGUUUUGACUUGAACCUUGUUGAAGAGGCAGCCAUGCCUUCUCUAGACAACAUAUGGCGCCCAUCCUUCUUAUCUCCUACUGGUCCUCUUACCAUUGGGGAUUCCGUGAUGAAGAAUGAUAUGACCGCUGCGGUGGUGGCCAGGAACCUUCUCACUCCCAAAGAUAACAGACUACUUUCUAAACGGUCUGAUGAGUUGGCUGUUAAGGAUUCUCUGGCUCUCAGUGUUCAGUGUGCAGGUUCUGUGUCUAAUAUGGCCCAACGCCUAUUUGCUCGAACCCGCCAAGUUGAAUCAUUGGCGGCUGAAGUGAUGAGUCUCAAACAGGAGAUUAGAGGGCUCAAGCAUGAGAAUAAACAGUUGCACCGACUCGCUCAUGACUAUGCUACAAACAUGAAGAAGAAGCUUGACCAGAUGAAGGAAUCUGAUGGUCAGAUUUUACAUGAUCAUCAGAGGUUUGUGGGUUUGUUCCAAAGGCAUUUAUUGCCUUUGUCUUCUGGGGCUGUACCGCGUAAUGAAGCUCCAAAUGAUCAACCUCCGAUGCCUCCUCCUUCUAGGGUGCUGUCCAGUACUGAGGCUUCGAAUGAUCCCCCUCCGGUGCCUUCUCUUUCUGGGGCUCUGCCGACUGCUUAGACUUCUCCUAAGCAACUUUUGUGAAGGCUCCCUCUUGUUUGUUUAUUUUGAUUCGUGUAUAUGUACAAAGAAGAUAAAUGAUUUGAAGUCUAUUGUUCAAUUUCUUAUUAGCACAAAAUUCAAUCAAGCAAGGAUGAAUUCUUUCAUAAAUUACAGUUACGGAUCAUGACAUUCAACAAGCAGUAGCUGAAAUAAUUGUACAAGCAUAAAAAAUAUAUGCCGAUUGACAUCUCUUACUAAAGAUUAAGACCCUAGGACUGACGGGACUUAUAAUAGUAAGGAUGUAAGAGACAUCCUCAUGUCAAGGGGAGAAUUGAUGAAUACUUGACAAGGUUAAGGCCUUUCAGAUAUAUAGUCAAAUUUUUCUGCAGUAUUAAAGCAUGCACAACACAUUCAAAUUUGAUAAUGAGAAAGGUAUAAAAUUUUUUUUUUUUUGAAGAAGUUGAAGAAAUAAAAAAUGAAAGAGAAACAAUCGAAUCGCCAAUUUAUGCAGUACAACAUAUGUAGAACAUGUCAUACUGAGGGUUUUAAUCCUGGGACAUUUUCCAAUUGCCUACAAAUAUUUUUAACCUCUCUCAUGCAAUCAACACGCAAGUUUAUAGUUGUGACAAACAUGCAUGUGAAGGAAACAAUAAUUGUUUGAACAGGGAAUAAAUACCAUACUCAAAAGGCCCAAAAAUGUAUGUUUCCAAGAAAACCAUAUUCUCAGCUAGUACCUAAGGCCCGAUGCAUCCGACUGGAGAGAAGCCUGAAUGGCAGCAUCAUCAUAUGAUGUAACAGGAGAAACUACUGGCUGGGUCUGGGGCGGAGUAAAUAUUGGUACACUGUUCUCUUCUCUUGGUGGAAAUUCAACUCCUGCAGACUGUCGGUUAUUCAUUAAGAGAGUUAGGGUGGAAGAAGAAACAGAAUAAAGAGAAAAUAAUUAAAAUCCACAGUUAUACUAAAUAUUGAAUAGCAAGCUUUCCCAUAACUGUAGGAUUACAUCAAGGCUCAUCCUUAAGUCCUUACCUUUUUGCGUUGGUAAUGGAUGAGUUAACAGGACAUAUUCAAGAUGAUAUUCCUUGGUGUAUGCUUUUCGCAGACGAUAUAGUGUUGAUAGACGAAACUCAGGAAGGGGUAAAUGCAAAGCUUAACCUUUGGAAAGAAGUGUUGGAAUAUAAAGGUCUUCGCCUAAGCCGAUCAAAGACAGAAUAUAUGGAGUGCAAGUUCAGUGCAAAUGGAGGCCAAAACGAGUUAGGGGUGAGGAUCGGAGAUCAAGAAAUACCAAAGAGCGACCGUUUUCGUUACCUAGGAUCUAUCUUGCAAAAGAACGGAGAUUAGAUGGAGAUCUCAACCAUAGAAUACAAGCUGGAUGGAUGAAGUGGAAGAGUGCAUCCGGCGUGUUGUGUGACCGCCGUAUGCCACUGAAGCUCAAGGGAAAAUUUUAUAGGACGGCAAUAAGGUCGGCGAUGCUGUAUGGCACAGAAUGUUGGGCGGUGAAACAUCAACACGUACACAAAAUGGGUGUAGCGGAGAUGAGGAUGCUUCGUUGGAUGUGUGGGCACACGAGAAAGGAUAAGAUUAGGAAUGAGGAUAUCCGGGGUAAAGUAGGAGUAGCCGAAAUUGAAGGAAAGAUGAGAGAAAAUCGGUUACGGUGGUUUGGACAUGUGCAAAGAAGGCCUACUGACGCUCCGAUUAGAAGAUGCGACUAUGGGACAGAGGUUCAGGGCCGAAGGGGUAGAGGAAGACCUAGGAAAACUUUGGAAGAGACUCUAAGAAAAGACUUAGAGUACUUGGAUCUAACGAAGGACAUGACACAGGAUCGAGCACAAUGGCGUUCUAAGAUUCAUAUAGCCGAUCCCACUCAGUGACUUGGAUUUUCCAAGUCUCCAACCGAGAAGUUUUCCUCACUCGGAAAAUUAAGGGAACACUACCCCAACCUACCUACAUGCUCCACUCAGAAAGCUUCAACAUACAAGCUUCAACAAAAGAAAAUUCAAAGAACUUAGCGAAGAAGGCUUUGGUGUAUUUAACACAAUACGUUGAAAUGAAGGAAAACUUAUUUAUUGAUAUCCCCGAUAAGCUACAAAUAUGUACAUAUACAUGAGUCAAAAUAAACACACAAGAGGGAGCCUUCACAAAGGUUGCUUAGGAGAAGUCUCAGCAGUCGGUAGAGCCCCAGAAAGAGAAGGCACCGGAGGGGGAUCAUUUGGAGCCUCAGUACUGGACAGAACCCUAGAAGGAGGAGGCAUCAGAGGUUGAUCAUUUGGAGCUUCAUUACGCGGUACAGCCCCAGAAGACGAAGGCAAUAAAUGCCUUUGGAACAAACCCACAAAUCUCUGAUGAUCAAGUAAAACCUGACCAUCAGUUUCCUUCAUCUGGUCAAGCUUCCUCUUCAUGUUUGUAGCAUAGUCAUGUGCGAGCCGGUGCAACUGUUUAUUCUCAUGCUUGAGCCCUCUAAUCUCCUGUUUGAGACUCAUCACUUCAGCCGCCAAUGAUUCAACUUGGCGGGUUCGAGCAAAUAGGCGUUGGGCCAUAUUAGACACAGAACCUGCACACUGAACACUGAGAGCCAGCGAAUCCUUAACAGCUAACUCAUCAGACCGUUUGGAAAGUAGUCUGUUAUCUUUGGGAGUGAGAAGGUUCCUGGCCACCACCGCAGCGGUCAUAUCAUUCUUCAUCACGGAAUCCCCAACGGUAAGAGGACCAGUAGGGGAGACGAAGGAUGGGCGCCAUAUGUUGUCUGGAGAAGGCGGGGCUGCCUCUUCAACAAGGUUCAAGUCAAAACGACGGUCGGAGGGGCCAGACAUUUUCAAAGGUGUUGAAGAGAGAAGAGGUCGGACAAAUCAAGAUCUUAGAAGUGCAAGAAUGAAGCUUCUACUGGUGGAGAUUCAAGUGUGCUUUGGAACUUAAUGCCAGCCCCUAUAAAAAUCUGCACUCGACGGAGCUUCAGAAAUCGAAGAGGCGCCUGCUCAGAAAUCGAAGAGGCGUUUGCUUUCUCAAAAGCUGGGCUGCUUAGAGAUCACGAGGGUUGAUCUCAGAAAUCGAAGAGGCGUUUGCUUUCUCAAAAGUUGGGCUGCUCAAAGACCACGAAGGCCGAUCUCAGAAAUCGAAGAGGCGCUCGCUUUCUCAAAAGCUGGGCUCCCCAGAGACCACGAGGGCCGAUCUCAGAAAUCGAAGAGGCACCUACUUUUCCAGCCUUGUCAGCACCUGUCACACGCACACUCAGCUUUGCGGAAAUUAUGGGCAUUCUGUCGAAGACUUCUGAGGGAAGUAGAAAACACACAUGAAUCUUACUGUUCAAUCAUCCCACUUCCCACACGCAACAAUAGCUCAUGGGUACCACAGAAAAACUUUGCCAAAGUUCUCUGCCAAAGUUGAGCACGUGAAGCUUGCAGCUCCCACUACAUCGCUCUGACCAAGAAAGGGUAAAAGAAUAGCAAAGAAACAGCACUAACAAAGUUUAGACCCAUAAAUUUUGAAGGUCUAGCUACCAUAUUAUUACCCACAAGGGUAAAGGAACAGUACCACUGCUGGAUAAUUGGAAAGUCCCUGUGUGUCAACCUCUGUGCUUCGUGGCAAGGUAGACUAGCAAACAUGCCCAACCUUUACUCACAUUCGAGAAAACACUCCCAAUAAGAUUGCUUGCUCCAAAAUCGAAGAGGCACCGUCCUCCGAAUCUCGAGAGCCAGACUCCCAACAUGAAUACUUUCAAAAAAAUCGAAGAGAGGGUAAAGGAACAGUACCAUUGCUGGAUAAUUGGAAAGUCCCUGUGUGUCAACCUCUGUGCUUCGUGGCAAGGUAGACUAGCAAACAUGCCCAACCUUUACUCACAUUCGAGAAAACACUCCCAACAAAGAUUGCUUGCUCCAAAAUCGAAGAGGCACCGCCCUCCGAAUCUCGAGAGCCAGACUCCCAACAUGAUUACUUUCUCAAAAAUCGAAGAGACACUGCUCCCCGAAUCUUCGAGAGCCAGACCCCCAGCAUGAUUGCUUUCUCAAAAAUCGAUGAGGCAUCGUUCUCCGAAUCAAUCGAAGAGGCGCUCGCUUUCUCAAAAGCUGGGCUGCUCAGAGACCACGAGGGCCGAUCUCAGAGAAAUCGAAGAGGCACCUACUUUUCUAGCCUUGUCAGCACCUGUCACACACGCACACUCAGCUUUGCAGAAAUUAUGGGCAUUCUGUCGAAGACUUCUGGUGAAGUAGAAAGCACAUGAAUCUUACUGUUCAAUCACCCACUUCCCACACGCAACAAUAGCUCAUGGGUACCACAGAUAACUUUGCCAAAGUUCUCUGCCAAAGUUGAGCACGUGAAGCUUGCAGCUCCCACUACAUCGCUCUGACCAAGAAAGGUAAAAGAAUAGCAAAGAAACAGCACUAACAAAGUUUAGACACAUAAAUUUUGAAGGUCUAGCUACCAUAUUAUUAUUACCCACAAGGGUAAAGGAACAGUACCACUGCUGGAUAAUUGGAAAGUCCCCUGUGUGUCAACCUCUGUGCUUCGUGGCAAGGUAGACUAGCAAACAUGCCCAACCUUUACUCACAUUCGAGAAAACACUCCCAACAAGAUUGCUUGCUCCAAAAUCGAAGAGGCACCGUCCUCCGAAUCUCGAGAGCCAGACUCCCAACAUGACUACUUUCUCAAAAUCGAAGAGAGGGUAAAGGAACAGUACCAUUGCUGGAUAAUUGGAAAGUCCCUGUGUGUCAACCUUUGUGCUUCGUGGCAAGGUAGACUAGCAAACAUGCCCAACCUUUACUCACAUUCGAGACAACACUCCCAACAAGAUUGCUUGCUCCAAAAUCGAAGAGGCACCGCCCUCCGAAUCUCGAGAGCCAGACUCCCAACAUGAUUACUUCCUCAAAAAUCGAAGAGACACUGCUCUCCGAAUCUCGAGAGCCAGACCCCCAGCAUGAUUGCUUUCUCAAAAAUCGAAGAGGCAUCGUUCUCCGAAUCUCGAGAGCCAGAUACCACAGACCACUUUUUCAAAGUGCUCUGACAGAGUUAAAACAUGUGAAACUGGCAGCUCCCACUACCGUGCUAUGACCAAGCAGGGUAAAGGAAUAGCAUUACUACUUGUUGUUAGGGAGACUCCUAUAUAUGUCGACCUCCAUCCCCAACGGACAGGCAGACCUGCAAAAAUGCUCAACCCUUCAUCAUAUCUGAGAGGGCACUCCCAACGAAGCCUUUCGAAAUAUUCAGCUUUCUUUCCCCCCGAUAAUACCUCUGCAAACAAGCUAUACUAGAGCAAGAAUAUCUCAUAUCAUCAGGGUUAAAAGCAAGAGUAUCCCAUAUCAUGCUUUUUCCCUGUCUUUUCCUUUUGGCCUUGUUUUUACCUGCAAGACAAGGAGAAAGAGAGCAAUCAGUCAGCACUUGGAAUCAAGCUUCCAGCCAGGAACUGACUGCCUGGAACCCCUUACCUGAUUACUUACCUGGCAUUGCUCUCGAGUACUCAUCUUCAACAUCUUAUGUUUCCAGGGAAGAUUCCGCAUCUGCUUGAGGAACAGAUAGGGCAAGUGCGAAGGAUACAAGGAAGCAUGUGGAGACAAGCGUAACAGCACACGUGCCGAUACAUCCAUUACUCUGUCAAAAGCAAAAGUAUCCCAUAUCAGCAGGGUGGAACGUACUCUAGAUUUGAUGGACUUGUUUUGACCCUCAAAUUCUUCAGUCGGCCUUAUACUCUGGAGGAAACCAGAAAACCCUCCAGCUCAGUUCAAGAAUAAGCCUGUGGAAAGUUACUUCUUCAAAAGCAAAAGUAUCUCAUAUCAUCUCUUCUCAUUUUUUCUUCUCUUUUAUCCUUCAUGCUGUUGCAAGAUGGGGAGAAGGUGAACAAUCAGUCGGAGCUCUGAUUGCUUACCUUGUCUGUCACCUCUUUCAGCAGACCCCCUAGCUCGGCGACUUGGGGGACUCCUACUACAUGGUUUGUAUCGCGCUUGACCAAGCCUGAAACUACAAGUAAGCUUCAAGUGAAAUUGAUACAUUACCUUGUGCAUCUCCACCAGUUAAAGAUACCACCCCUGGAUGGAGGAAGAGUACUUCCAGAGAAUAUGCCACAUCUACCUAUGAGACAGAUAAGGCAAGUCAAGACGACACCACACUCCGAUACUUAGAAGUUUCGUGAUUACGAGAUCAUUCUCCCACAAUAUUUCCUAAUGUCAUUUGUACUAAAUCAUUCACUUGUACUCACUAAAGGAGAGCUUAAACCUAUGUACUUGUGUAAACCCUUCACAAUUAAUGAGAACUCAUCUAUUCCGUGGACGUAGCCAAUCUGGGUGAACCAUGUACAUCUUGUGUUUGCUUUCCUAUCUCUAUCCAUUUAUAUACUUAUCCACACUAAUUACCGGAGCAAUCUAGCGAAGAUCACAAAAAGCGACCGUUUUCGCUACCUAGGAUCUAUCUUGCAAGAGAAUGGAGAAUUAGAUGGAGAUCUCAACCAUAGAAUACGAGCUGGAUGGAUGAAGUGUAAGAAUGCAUCCGGCGUGUUGUGUGACCGUCGUAGGCCACUGAAGCUCAAGGGAAAAUUUUAUAGGACGGCAAUAAGGCCAGCGAUGUUGUAUGACACAGAAUGUUGGGCGGUGAAGCAUCAACACGUACACAAAAUGGGUGUAGCGGAGAUGAGGAUGCUUCGUGGGAUGUGUGGGCACACGAGAAAUGAUAAGAUUGGGAAUGAGGAUAUCCGAGGUAAAGUAGGAGUAGCCGAAAUUGUAGGAAAGAUGAGAGAAAAUCGGCUCCGGUGAUUUGGACAUGUGCAAAGAAGGCCGAAUGACGCUCUGGUUCGAAGAUGUGACUACGGGACAGAGGUUCAGGGCCGAAGGGGUAGAGGAAGACCUAGGAAAACUUUGGAAGAGACUAUAAGAAAAGACUUAAGAGUACUUGGAUCUAACGGAGGACAUGACACAAAACCGAGCGCAAUGGCGUUCUAGGAUUCAUAUAGCCGACCCCACUUAGUGGGAAAAGGCUUUGUUGUUGUUGUUGUUGUAAGCUUAUAAGUAUUGCUGGCCAAAAUGAUGGAAAUGUUAUUUUGGACCUAUUAAACAUCAUCAAAAGGUAGAAAGGUAAAUGCGUUGAAAUCUAAUUGUGUGAAAGCUGAGGCGUAGUUGCCUCUUUUGUCAGACAAGGCAAGGCAUAAGCCUCUCGGACAUGAAAUCUUAUAGGAAGCAAAUAAAUAAUGCAAUACUAAUAAGUUGAAGUGCUAGUGAGUAACUGAAGUAUAAUAAGAAAUCCCAAUAUGACCACAUAUAAGUUAUAACAGUCAUUCAAGCAUAACAACCAAUCACAAAAAUAAAAUACUCAAUUGGUCAUACAAAUAUUCAAAACCCCAAAAGAUAAACUCAGUUCACCACAAUACUUGUGAUGAAUAGAAACUAACAUCACUAUCAUACUGGUCCAACAGACUGAUGUGAUAAGGGACGCAUAGCAGUGACUUGCACUAGAGGAGAGUUUGCAAGAUCACUAUUACUUCCAUUGUUCACAACAUUUACUAUCAUCUGUCAAAGCUGAAGGCACUUGGGCUGAACAUGUUUACCCAUUAAUCUUAACUUAACUAGGUCAUAUAAUUAAACAGAAAUGUUUAAAAACAUGGCCUAUUAAGCAACUCAAAAGAAAGAUGACAGCAAAGAAUGUCACUGAUUGGACCGGGUCAGACUGGUGAUAUCAUAAAUAUAUAACAACAUGAUUCUAUUCUCUAUAUACUAUAUCCAUUCUUCGACAAAUGAAAGAAAUAUCCUAUAAGGCAGUUUUAAAAGGAAAUACUUUUUAGAAGACGGUCUACUUUGAUUAGUAAAUUGAAAAUUAGUAAGAUAGUUCCAUGGGAACACAGCACAAGUACAAAUGCAGUGUACAUAGUACAGAUUACAAACAAAAGCUUAACAUGAGUAUAACAAAGAUGUGAUAAAACAAUUACCCUCAAUUCAUUAUAUGCUGCAUAAUACUGGGGAAAUCUUCCCCUUGGUCCCCCAAAAGCUUCUUGCCAUGUAUCUAUCAAAAUAGUAUCUUUUCCCUAACAUUCAAGUCUGGCUGCAUAAUGGAAUUAGAAUAACAAAGCAGAAAGAAAGUUAGUAUCCUAUUCAUGCACAAACUGGAAAGAAAAAAGGAAGCAACAAGUUAGUGAAAACAGAAAACAAAAGGUUGGGAGAGAAAUGCAGCACCUUCUUCUUUACUAUUUUGACCAUUUCAUGCAAGAUAUCACGCUCAACGAUCUGCUGAAAAACAUUCUCACCACAGUUCUUGCUCACAGUCUCCAAUGCCUGCAUCGAAUAAUAAAUUAGGAGAAGGAAAAAGACACCAUUGCUCAGAAAUGGCUUGUUUUGUGCUGAUGAUAGGCUAAUGCAAGGCAAUCAUUGAACCACAACAGGUCCAUCAUAAAUCACAAAUUUAUUGACAUUUUCACAUGUAUACAUAUUUUGGGAUGGGAAGGGUACCACAAGCUUUACAUCAUGAAUUUAAAAUUUUAAAAGAAAGAUGCAAAAACAUGACAAGAAAUAACACAAAAAAUACUGAAAGUCUCACAAAGAAAAGGAAUAGUACUAACAAAAAGAGCCAGGAGUUGUAUUUUUGGAUUUUUGCUGCCCAGGCGCUUCGUAUCUUCAAGGCCUCUUUUGCUUGCCUGAAAGUUCAAACCAGUUCAUUGGCAAAACAAAGCAUUCCGAAUAUUUAAAUUAGGAAAGAGAUUCUAUGGGAAAAAUAAUCCACAACAAUAGAAAAUAAAGAGGAUAGUCUUCUGCAGAGUUUAAGAGCUAAGAAAUGUCCAACAUAUAAAAGAAAGCCCGAUACACCAAGAUGCUCAUGGAAUCUAUUUGAAAAAUAAAUUACUCCUUCUACGAAGUUUCCAGUUCAUCCCAAAUCAAUGUAGCGAAAGCAUUCUACUACCCUGUCAAUUUUUUAAAGUGUUACUUUUCAGGAGGACAUGAUUUCCUUAUGAGAUGAGCCACAUCUCCCUUUCAGGAGGAGAUCUCCUCUUCUACCAGGAGCCAAGUAUUAAACUUCGUGUGUAUGUGCGUGCACAUGUAUAUAUGAAUACAUAAUAAGCUCUGAGCACUUUAAAGUUUCAACCAACGACUACGAUAUCAAUAUUUCAGAAAAGAUUCAACGUACUCAACAAUUUAAGAAAUGCGAACUCUAAACGGGUGGAUAUACCUAUAUAUAAUAUUCAAUCUAAAAAAUGAAAUUGAGGGAAAACAAAGUAAUCAUACCCAGGGUCAAUAUUGAUAAUAUCACAUAAUUUGCCCAGUCUGGGCCAAUCAACAUAUCACUUGUUGCCCUCUCUGCACAGGCCGCACCAUUACCAGCCAUGUCGUAAUCCCCUUCACGCAAGUCUUUUUCCUUAAAACUUCCUAAAUCAGAAGCCAAAAACAAGUUCAACUACGCGCAAUUCAACAUUUGUGAUGUAAAAGAACUUAAUAAAUGCUAGAAACGGAAGAUCAUAAGACACCUGUAUCACUAAUUAGCUCGAUGUCAGUAAUCUUGUUCAAUUCCAAAAGUUCCACAAAUUAUUUCUUACCCACCAAGACAAAACCUAUGAAAAUCCCAAUUUAAUUACGAUAAUUGAAAACAGCGGAACUAUACAAAAUUGAUCCAGAAAAUAUUAAAAACCCGAAAUCGCAAACAAAUAGGGUCUAUAAACAAAUUCAACUAUCUGCUCAUCCCCAUCACAAAUACGUAUCCCAAAUCAAAAUAACAAACAAUCAGAUCGUCAACAAUGUACGCUUAACACCAAUACAAGUCCCACAUCAAGAAACCCACAAAAAUUUGUGCCCAUAAAACACAGACAAGCAAACCCAAUUGGAUAUUAGUACUAAAAUUGAAAAUCAAAAUUCGAAUUAGCAAGAUAAUGGUCCUGUGCUUAAAGUUAAACCCAGUUGACAAAACGAUCAGAGAAUAAGGGAAAGGAAUGAGAGAUUUAUGCGACCAAACCAUUGCUGAAUGUUUACUUGCUUGAUGCUGCGUGGUUAGGCUUAGUCGACCUCACUCCAUCUUCAUUGCUUUGCUACUUGAAAUGAGGGAUUCCAAACAUAUUGGCGAAGCCGGCCAAUGUACCCUUCAAUCUGUUGGAAAUUCAAAUUAAAAGUCAUGUGAUGUCUAACUAUCUGUCCAUGUGAUGCUAGCUUUUCUUUCCAUGUUGUAUCCCGCAAAUAUAAACAUCAUUACUCCUCCAUCUGUUAACCGAAAGCUGAUUUAAAGACAGCAUAGAUGUGGGCUGCUGUGUGCUAGCCGAAAGGUUGUGUUUGCAAGCUGGAAGGAUGCAAUGCAUGUGUGUGCCAACUAUCCAAAGUUGCUGCAUGUGUUUGAAAGGGUGGAAGGAUGGUAAACACCAUCAUUCAUUACAUGUUGUUGUAUUGUUUAUCAAUUUCUGUUUUGUAUAAAUAGGCCUUCUUGCUAGGCUUUAGAACAUCAAUUCCAUUCCAAUUCCUUUCUCAUUUUCAGCUUGUAAGCUAUUGGUUUUGUAAACUCUCUUUUCAUAUAUCAAAGUCCAAGUGUUUUGCCGAAGCUUGUCCCUCCUUUCUCUAUUUCUUUGUCCAAUUUUAUUGAGAGUGCAAAGUGAGAGGUGUGAUAGAGUUUGUAAACUUAUCAUCCACAUAUUUUGGUAUUGAGUUAGUAAACUUUUCAAUACCAACAAUUGGUAUCAGAGCCAGAAUACCAUUCUGGCAAGUGCAGCAGUUAUGGCAUCCAACUUAGUGCAGCUCCAAGUUCCCACAUUGAAGAAAGAAAAUUAUGAAAGAUGGUGCAUCCAAUUCAAAGCAUUGUUUGGAUCACAAGAGCUAUGGGAAGUUGUCAGUAGUGGGUAUGUUGUACCCACUACCGAGCAAGAAGCCACAUAUACUGCAGAUCAAAGGAACACUCUCAAGGAUUUACGAAAGAAGGACCAGAAGGCGUUGUAUCUUCUCUAUCAAGGAUUAGAAGAUUCAACGUUCGAGAAGGUUGCAGAAGUAACAACGAGCAAGCAAGUAUGGGACACACUCAAUACAAUCUACAAAGGAGUAGAUCGAGUCAAGAAAGUGAGGUUACAGUCACUUCGAGUAGAUUUUGAAACUGCUCACACGAAUGAAGGGGAGAGCAUCUCCGACUAUCACUCAAGGCUCAUUGUGAUGGUAAAUCAGAUGAGGAGAAAUGGCGAGAGACUCGAUGAAGUACGAGUUGUGGAGAAGAUACUCCGGUCACUUACAUCUAAGUUUGAGCAAGUGGUGACUGCCAUUGAGGAAUCUAAGGAUUUGGAGGCGAUGAGCGCAGAUGAGCUACUAGGAUCCCUCCUAGUUCACGAGCAACGCAUUCAGAAGAAUGCAAGCCCCACAACACUAGAGCAAGCUUUGGAGUCAAAAUUGAAAAUUGACAAACCAAAUAAAGGUCGUGGGCAGUGGAACUCACGUCGUGGGAGUUCAUCCAACCGUAGCCGAGGACGAGCCCGAGGAAGAGGUCGAGGCUAUGAACAAAACCGAGGUCAAUCUCAAGAGUGGAGAUAUACCCAAGGAAAGGCGUAUAUCCAAUGUCACACUUGCAAGCAAUAUGGACAUUAUGCAAAUGAAUGUUCAUAUAAAAAUGGUGAGCAUGUCAACAUGGCAGAAUCAAAUGGAAAUGCUGGUGAGGAAUUUACAGUCUUACUAGCACACCAUGAUAUCAGUAGCCAACAAGAUGUUUGGUAUUUAGACUCUGGUGCAAGCAACCACAUGUGUGGAAAGAAAGAGUUUUUUGCAGAACUCAAAGAUGGGCCUUAUGGAUCUGUGAGUCUUGGUGACUCUUCAAGGUUACCAGUUGAAGGCAAAGGAAAGAUCAAAAUCAUCCAGAAGGAUGGUAAAGAAGAAUACAUCUUCGAUACCUACUACAUACCAGGUAUGAAGAGUAACAUUCUGAGCAUUGGUCAACUGCUCCAGAAAAGGGUAUGUUAUACAUAUGGAGGAUAUGUUUCUCACUCUCAGGAAUGCAAGGAGAAAGCUUAUUACAUGUGUUCAAAUGUAAAAAAACCGAAUGUUCCCGUUGAAGUUGAACACAAAGAUUGGGAGUUGCAACAUCGAUGUAAUGGAAGAUGAGUCAUGGAAAUGGCAUCUUCGAUUUGGCCAUCUUCAUUUCAAUGGCCUAAAGUUGUUGUCAAGUGGAGGAAUGGUUCGUGGUCUACCCCAGAUUGAAGCCACAUACAAAGUAUGUGAAGGUUGUGUGCUUGGCAAGCAAGCACGACUAUCAUUCCCUGUUGGUGAUACAUGGAGAGCAAAGGCACCACUGCAGAUGGUACACACGGAUAUAUGUGGUCCAUUGGAUCCUAUGUCUUAUGGAGGUAAUAGGUAUUUUAUUACUUUCAUUGAUGAUUUUAAUAGGAAGACUUGGGUUUAUUUUCUCAAGGAGAAAUCGGCUGCCCUAAGAAUCUUCAAGGAGUUCAAGGCACUCACAGAGGCUGAAAGCAACCACAAGCUUGUGGCUGUGAGAUCAGAUAGAGGUGGAGAGUACACCUCUAAUGCUUUCCAAGCAUACUGCAAGGAGCAAGGAAUUAGGCAUCAACUGACUGAUGCCUAUACCCCACAGCAAAAUGGGAUAGCCGAAAGAAAGAAUCGAACCAUCCUUGACAUGACAAGGUCCAUGCUUAAGGAGAAGAAUUUACCAAAAGAAUUGUGGGCAGAAGUUGUAGCUUGUUCGAUUUAUUUGUUGAAUCGAUGUCCAACAAAGAGUGUCAAAAGGAUGACACCACAAGAGGCUUGGAGUGGAUACAAGCCGAGUGUUGCACACCUAAGAGUUUUUGGUGUGUUGCAUAUGCUCAAGUUCCAGAAGCCAAGAGGAGAAAGCUCGAUGAUCGAGGUGAGAAGUGUGUGUUUGUGGGCUAUAGUGAAGAGUCCAAUGCAUACAAGCUCUACAAGCCACUAACUGGCAAACUAGUGGUUAGUAGAGAUGUCAUCUUCAGUGAGGAAGAGGCAUGGAAGUGGAACAACAAAGAAGUCAGUAAAGAGAAGAUCGUCUCCACUGAUUUUGAAGAACCAGAAGUUGUACCACCUGUUGAGCAAUAGCUUGCUUAAACAAUCACAACAACUCCAGUGCACAGAAUUGCAAGGAGUGGUCCUACAUCUAGUGAAGAAAGCAGCUCCUCAACUCCAGUGAGGCUAAGAAGUCUUACCGAGAUAUAUGGACAAGAAGAAGAAGAAGAAACCAACCUUUUCUGCUUGUAUGCAGACCACGAGCCUCUCUUAUUCAAUGAAGCUGUGGAAGAAGAUCGUUGGAGAAUAGCCAUGGAGGAAGAAAUCCAUGCCAUCGAGAAGAAUGACACUUGGGAGUUGACAAAGCUCCCACCAAAUCAGAAGGCUAUUGGUAUCAAGUGGGUGUACAAGAUCAAACGCACUGCAGAUGGGAGUGUGGAUCGAUACAAAUCAAGGCUUGUAGCAAAAGGCUACAAAAAAAAGUACGGAGUGGACUAUGAUGAAGUCUAUGCUCCAGUUGCAAGACUUGACAAGGUAAGAUUGCUAAUCUCUCUUGCCGCUCAUCAUAAAUGGAAAAUUUAUCAACUAGAUGUCAAGUCAGCCUUCCUUAAUAGAGUUCUUGAGGAAGAAGUGUACGUGGAACAACCAGAAGGCUUUCAAGUACAAGGAAAAGAAGAUAAGGUGUAUCGUUUGAAGAAGGCGUUGUAUGGCCUCAAGCAAGCACCACGAGCUUGGAACUCAAGGAUUGACAACUACCUUCACCAAAAUGGAUUUCAGAAAUGUCCAUACGAGCAUUCAGUUUACAUGAAGAAUGGUGCAAAAGGGGAGUUCUUAAUUAUUUGUCUCUAUGUAGAUGACUUGUUGUUUACAGGAAACAAUGAAGCAAUAUUUUGUGAGUUCAAGCAAUCCAUAUUCAGUGAAUUCGAGAUGACUGACAAUGGAUUAAUGUCAUACUUUCUUGGCAUAGAGGUGAAGCAAGAAAGUGACGGUAUCUACAUCUCUCAACAAAAGUACAUGAGAGAUAUAUUGGAGAAAUUCAAUAUGGAUAAGUGCAAUAUUGUCAACACUCCAGUUGCAACUGGAUUGAAGCUGUCUAAGGAAGGAGAAUGUGAGUUUGUAAACUCAACCGUGUACAAAAGCUUGGUUGGAAGCCUAAGGUACCUUACAAUCACAAGACCUGAUAUAGUUUAUGGUGUUGGACUCGUGAGUCGAUACAUGGAAACACCAAGGGAGUCUCAUUGGCUGGCUGCCAAGAGAAUUUUGAGGUACAUAAGAGGUACUCUAAACUAUGGUUUAUUUUAUAAUUUUGGUGAAGAUGCAAAAUUAUUUGGUUAUUCAGAUAGUGAUUGGGGAAGUGACAAAGAUGAAAGGAAAAGCACAACUGGCUAUGUGUUUUUUCUAGGAUCAACAACUUUCUCAUGGACUUCAAAGAAGCAAUCAAUUGUUGCUUUGUCAUCAUGUGAAGCUGAGUAUGUUGAUGUAGCCUCAACAGUGUGUGAGGCAAUUUGGUUAAGAAAUCUAUUGAAGUCAGUGUGUCAUCCACAAGUGGAAUCGACUGUGAUUCAUGUGGAUAACAUGUCUGCAAUCAAGCUUGCAAAGAAUCCUGUUCAACAUGGAAGGAGCAAACACAUUGAUACCAGGUUCCAUUUUCUAAGGGACCAUGUGAAGCAAAAGACAAUUGAGCUUGUCUAUUGUCACACGAAGGAACAAGUGGCAGACAUCUUCACUAAGCCACUACCAGUUGAAUCAUUCCGACUACUACGUGAAAUGCUAGGCAUGAAGGCGUUUUAAUUUGAGGGGGCAUGUUGGAAAUUCAAAUUAAAAGCCAUGUGAUGUCUAAUAACUGUCCAUGUGAUGCUAGCUUUUCUUUCCAUGUUGUAUCCAACAAAUAUAAACAUCAUUGCUCCUCCAUCUGUUAACCGAAAGCUGAUUUAAAGACACCAGAGAUGUGGGCUGCUGUGUGCUAGCCGAAAGGUUGUGUUUGCAAGCUAGAAGGAUGCAAUGCAUGUGUGUGCCAACUAUCCAAAGUUGCUGCAUGUGUUUGAAAGGGUGGAAAGAUGGUAAACACCAUCAUUCAUUACAUGUUGUUGUAUUGUUUAUCAAUUUCUGUUUUGUAUAAAUAGGCCUUCUUGCUAGGCUUUAGAACAUCAAUUCCAUUCCAAUUCCCUUCUCAUUUUCAGCUUGUAAGCUAUUGGUUUUGUAAACUCUCUUUUCAUAUAUCAAAGUCCAAGUGUUUUGCCGAAGCCUGUCCCUCCUUUCUCUAUUUCUUUGUCCAAUUUUAUUGAGAGUGCAAAGUGAGAGGUGUGAUAGAGUUUGUAAACUUAUCACCUACAUGUUUUGGUAUUGAGUUAGUAAACUUUUCAAUACCAACACAAUCUACCACAUCGCUAAUGGAUUGGGUCGCUAUUUUAUCCAACUCUUCCACAUCGCCCUCGUACACCAAACGAGUGCCGCAACUCUUCACCAAGCAGGGGCCUGAGCUUUUGAAAUGAAAAAUUAACUGACUGAAACUGUUUUGCCACUCUGUACCAAAGCUUAUACCACGAGACACAUAGAUCAGCCAAAUAUGAUCUGACACGGGCUGGACAUCCAAAGAUAGGAGAGGCGCAGGGUACUCUUCCUUUCCAUUGACUUCCAAAACACCAGAGAGCUCCCAUCCGCUCCCAUAAACUUCAAAUACAGCGCACAGAGCAUAUCCCAUCCACUUGUUAUCACGCCAUUGCCGAGUUAGGUCAACGCUUACUUCUGAUCCCAUACUUUGACGAGUGAACCACCUAGGAAUUUCCUUUCCAGGCAUGACAAUUUCACAUCUAUCUCCUGCAUAAGGGACUCCCUGUACAGGUGAAACAGUGAUGUUAAGCAAUGAGAGAGAGAGAGAGAGAGAGAGAGAGAGAGAGAGAGAGAGAGAGAGCGAGAGAGCACCUUAAGAUAUCUUUGGAGCAUAGUAAAUGUAAUAUGAUUGUAGCUUUCUUUCUCAAGCAUUCCAAAGCAAUUGAUGAGAUUGAAGCAUGACGAAUUCAAUCUGUCCAAAUUUGAGGGACAUUCCAGCAUUUCCAGUUUAGUACAAUCAUCUGCAGUUACUUGUAGUAAACCUACAUCUGAUGAAAGAACUGGAAGGUGUUGAAGCUUCCUGCAACGACUCAAGCAUAAAUUCUCAAGUUUAGAGAGUUGGCUAAUGCUUGUAGGAAGAUUAACAAAAUUGUUUCCACUUAAGUUCAAUGAUACCAAAGAUGAUAAGCAGCCAAUAUCAUUGGGGAUUGCUCCUUCACAAAGAUUGUGACCACUUAAGUCUAAUUCCAUUAAAGAACAAAGGCCUGAUAGAGGAGGCAAGAACAAACUGAUGGGAUGAUGACGGCUCCCUGGCAUUAAUCUUAAAAGGAGCGAGAUAAGCCAUGGUCGUUGUGAUGGCCCUUCCAUUCCAUGAAAAAUCAAUGCUUUAAGGUUUUUCAGAAGGGCAAUGGAAGAUGGACAUUCCUUUAUAGCAGUUCCACUUAAAUUAAUCUUCUCCACAAACUCUAAUUUCCCGAGGCUUUCUGGCAAUUUGGCAAGAUUUGAGCAUCCAGAAUCAUCAAGAAUUUUAAUAGCCCUCAAAUUUCCAAUGGCACUAGGAAGACAUUUCAGAUUUUUGCAAUCUCUCAAGUCCAACAAAGAAAGGCUGGUUAGAUGUUCAAGUGGUGAAGGUAUACAUUCAAUACCAGUCCCAUCUAAAGAAAGCUUCCGUAAAUGCUCCAUAGGUUCCACAAAAUUUGGAAUCUUUUUAACGCUUGAGCAGCCAGAAAGAACAAGAACUUCUAGGUGCUCCAUCUCAAUCUCAUCCGGAAGAAGCUUGAGACUUUUGCAAUAUUUAAGAGUCAAGAAAGUAAGCUUUUUGAGAGUUCCUAUGGAAGAGUGAAUCUCAUCUAAACUUUCGCAUCCUUCAAAGUCUAAUCUCUCAAGAUUCUGAAUCCCUUCAAAAUCAGGGGUUCUAGUCAAACUUUUGGAAUGACUAACUUUAAUGAUUUUCAACUUGUCAAAAUUCUGUAAUGUUUACAAGAAAUGUAGAAUAAUUAGAUCCAGAAAACUCAAAUAAGGUAAUGAAAUAUAUACUUUAACAAAUAAGGUAAAUAAUAUUGUAGAUGUAAGUGCUUACCUUUUUUCCGUUCCAGAGCUGUUCAAUUCUACUAUGACACAUGAUCAGUUCAACAAGCUCAUCCGGGUCGAAUCCUGAUGGGAGAUAUUGUAGAGGAUAACCUCUCCAUUCAAGAAAUCUCAAGGAAUUAGGGAGACGGUUGAGGCCUUCAGGAAGGCGCAUGUUGUGGACUUUGAGCAAUCUAAGAUUAACCAUCUGAGAAAAAGCUUCAGGAGGGCAUUCCACCUCUUUUGUUUCCAGCAAGUCUAGGACAAUGCCUUCAACUGUUGGUGUCCCCUGAUAACCAAGAAUAAAAAAACAAGUGAAUUGCAGUAUAAUAUGCACAUUAUAAAAGUAAAGGAAGAUGAGUAAAACAAACUGUUUUUUUUUUUUUUACGUGCCUCUUAAUCGUUAGAUUAAUUUACAUUUGACGUAUUAGGUAAGCUCUUACCGUUUUUUCCUUCAAAACAUGAAAGAUGUCCUUACAAUUGUUUGACCCUUUUUUUGUAACAAAUCAUGCAUCCGCACCCUGUUAUCUGAAAUUGUUGUCAGAGACUUCUCCAUAAGGACAUCUAUGUCAAUACCUGGAUUAAAACCACAACUAUCAAGUAUUUCAAAUACUCGAUCUUUGUCCUCCCCUUUAAAGAAACAUGCGAUGUCAAGGAAAAUCUCUCUCCCUUGCGGAUCUAAUCCCUCGUAACCUGUUAUAAGAAUCUUCAUAAUUUUUUCAUCCAAUGUGAAAUCACCCUCUAGUUUACGCAAUUGACUGCUCCGUGCAUCUAGAUCUCUUCCAUACAAAAAAGACCCCAAGACUUCAAGAGCUAAUGGAAGGCCACUGGCAUAGUCCACAAAACUGUACGACAGAGCCUUAUAACUUUCAGGUGGAUUCUCUCUAGGGAAGGCUCUCAAGUUAAAAAGUUUAAGAGCAUCAACUUUACCCAGCUCCGGCACCUUAAAUUGUUUUUCUACACCAUGUGAAAUUAGCAAGCGUUCAUCUCUAGUCGUAAUAAUGAUUCUACUCCCCUGACCAAACCAAGCUGGUUUUUCACAUAGCUCUCUUAACUGGAUACUAUCGUCCACGUCAUCAAGAAUGAUGAGAACCUUUUCUGAAGUAAGAAACUUCUCCAUCUGGCAGCUUCACCGGCAGCCCAGUCUUGUAUAUUUCUUUUCAUAAGGCUAUUGGAAAGCUUCCUCUGUACACAGGCCAUACCGUGUGCCUUAGAAUCCUCUCUAACUCCGUCAUGAAAGCUUUCGGCUUGAAAUUUAUGACGAAUCCUCUCAUAACAUGCUUUGGCAAGGGUUGUCUUACCUAUCCCACCCAUCCCCCAUAUUCCUAUAAAGAGAACAUCAUUUGACUCUAGUUCUAAAAGCACAUCAAGUUCCUUCAGUUUCGAUUCAAUGUCAACUAGCUUUUCUGCAGGUUCCAAUGAUAAAGGUCCUACUUUAUUCCGUACAUUUUCAAUAAUUUGUUCGAUGACAUCUGGUUCUCUACAAGAAAAAUAGACAAUGUCAAGAUAUGACCUAAUACACAAGGAAAUAAAAGAGCCACAGACUAUUUUUGUUUUCGUCCACCUGAAGUCAUAGUACCAAGUGGUCUCUGCGUCCAUCUAUAAGAGGGUGGUUUGGUAUUGGACAAAAUUAGAGACGGUUUAGGAAAAGGGGAGGACAAAAAAGCGUAGCAGUAUUGGAUUUCAAACAUAUGACUUCUUAACUGGAUCAAUUUUUUCCCCUUAGACUCUCAAAUGGACCAAAUAAUGGUAAAAAGAAAGGCUCUCUAGGAUGGAACUGUAGGCAUAAACACAGUCUACAAAGCCUCAAUGUUUAGUCAUUAAGUUGUAUUGGGAUUAAGCGGUUAUGAAGCACCUUCAUUACUGUGCAAAAAGUAAAUGAUAUGAAUUCUUCGAUUUUCCUAUAAGUUAUUGUAUCAGGCUUUAGAAGAAUUGAAUUAUAAAAAAAAUAGCAAGAAUGAAGGGUCAAGUGCUGAUUGCUAAAGCUUUUGAAUUGAGUGAAAGAGAAAAACAAGUAAUGCCAACCUAUUCUUUGAAGUAGACCCUUUGAUUUUUGCCACUUUUUGUAAGGCAUCUUUCCAUUGUUCCAAAAUCACUUCGGCAUUCUCACUCUUUGUCAUUCUUACACUUUUGUUCGAGUUCAGUGAAGCCUUUCCCAAAACUCCCAGACCUAUCUCCAACAUCGCAGGGUUCCACCUGGUAGAAAACUGGUAUAAUUGCCCCUCUCUCUUCCAUGCAUUCAAGAAUCUUUACGAGUUCGUUCAGGCACCAUUUUGAAGAAGCGUAGUUUGGAGAGAUGACCAUGAUGGCAAGCCUCGACUUUUCAAUUGCCGGGAAGAUUUCAGAAACUUUUCUUCCUAUUUCAAGAUCAUUGUCAUCAAAGAAAGUUCUUGUAAUUCCUUGUUCUUCCAAUUCCUUAAGUAGAUGGGCGGUAAAACCUAAGCGCGUGUCGUCGCCCCUAAAACUCAAAAAGACAUCAUACUGCCAUUCAAGAGCUGAAGGAAGAGAUGAAGCGGCUCGUUGGGUGCUCGAUGCCAUUGAAUACAAGCUAACUGGAAUGGUGGUAUUAGUUUUCCAAGCAAAAACAUGACCAGAAAAAUAAUUCAGCAUUCAAAAUAUUGUAUUAGCCAAUAACAUGAACAGAAAUAACCAUGAAUCAGAAAGAUGAGCAAUAACCUGUGUGUAUGUAAGAAAAUGAAGUCACAGAUCAAGUCAGAUCAAGUCAGAGGGGGCAUGAGAGGGGCUACAAGUCUGUCUGUAUGUCGUCAAGUCCAAUCAAUGCUUAGGUACACCAAGUUGCCUAGUGGCCGUCGUCGUCUAACGAAACUUCACCGCGGAGGCUUGAUGGACGUGAUUCAACUGCUGCUUCUAUCCGACGGUCAAACCGCGUAAGCUCUAUUUUCCCACUUUUUAUUUUAUUCGUUUGGUGAUUCAACUGCUCCAUUAUUUUAUUUUUGUGUAGCUCCAUUAUUAUUUUUUAUACUAAUGCAGAGCACACCACAGUUGAAUGUUUCUAACAAACACAAAAUUUAAUUGCAUGCACUUCUUUUCUUCCAGAAACACAAAAUUUAAUUUUCUUUAAGUUGACCCAGUGCGUUUACUUAGACAAUCACCUGUGCACUAGUUGGGAAAAUUCAUCCUCGGACUCAUCGUCCUCAUGGUUCACAUUCACAAGUGGCACAUAAAAAUCAGGUGUUGAAAUUAGAGAUAAAAUGUAGAAGAUACUGUCGGCAAAAGCAAAUAAUUUUUGUUUUGUUUUUUUUUAUUUUUUUGUUUUUGUUUUGUUUUUAAUAUAACCUAAGAAAUAAACUGCAGCUAGAAAUUGAAAGUAAUGAAAUAAAAAUGAAAGAAAGUAAAGAAAAAGUUACUUUAAGUCUGUAGCUAGACGUCGCAGAAGCCCGGUGGCUAGAUCACUGGUUCCUUCAGAGUCAAAGACUCGCUUGUACCAAACUUCUUUGGGAAUGACUUUAGUAGAGACUUCUUGACCUUGAGCACACAACCCCUGCCCUCUAGUUCAAUGUCCACAUUACUGUUUUGAAAAACUUGCUUAACCAUAUAAGGUCCCUUCCACCGAGACUCUUGUCUCCCUGGAAUUAACUUGAAACUGGAAUUUAACAACCACAUCUUUCUACCAGGCUGUAUUUUUGCAACUUUUUAUUCUUUCCCUUGAUAUUUGGAUGUUUUUGGUCAAUCUGGUGGCCUAGAUAGUUGUCAAACAAAGUUGGUUCUGCUUUUGAUUUUUACACUUCAACCGCCCGAACUUUUUGCUGUUGCACUUUACUAUCACACUCACGAAUCACAUCUUGAGUCUUUAUGAGCAGAUGGUUAGUUAAUGAUCUGGUCAUAAAUUUGGCCUUAGGUAAACCAUCUAAUGCAUCAACACGCAUGCAUUCUUUCUUGUCACUUGGAUGUGUGAUGACUUCAAACAAAUUGAAAACAACUGUUUGAUCUUCAACCCGUAGUGUUAAUGUUCCUGCUUCAACAUCAAUAAGAGUUCGGGCUGUUGCCAUGAAGGGUCGUCUCAAAAUGAUGGGUGUUGUCAAAUCUUCAUCCAUGUCCAACACCAUAAAAUCAGCUGAUAAAUAUAAAUUGUCAACCUUAACAAUAACAUCUUCGAUGAUUCCUCUAGGAUAGGUAAUUGAACGGUCAGCCAAUUGAAUAAUGUUGGAGGUUGGCUUCAGCUUGCUUUCACCUAAACGUUUAAAAACAGAAUAAGGCAUUAAGUUUACACUAGCACCUAAAUCAAUUAACGCACUUUAAAAAUCAAAAUUGCCAAUAGUACAGGGAAUAGUAAAACUCCCUGGAUCUUUCUUCUUUGGAGGCAAUUUGUGUAGUAGAACUGCACUGCAUUGUUCUGUGAGCACAAUUUUCUCUGUUUCCACGAGCUUUUUCUUCUUAGUGCAAACAUCUUUCAAAUAUUUAGCAUAAGAAGGAAUCUUGUUAAUCGCUUCCCACAAUGGUAAAUUAUUUGAACUUUAGCCAAUGUCUGUAUGAAGUCUUUUAACUGCUGAUCCUUAGCCUUUGGUAUUAACCGUUCUGGAUAUGGUACUGGAGGAUUAUAAACACGCUCAGAAACCUGUUUUGGGACAGUUUCUGCACUGGUCAGAUUCUGUUUUGAUGCAGAAUUGGCAGGUUCUACCCUUGUUUUUGCAGAUUCUGUAGAAAUUUUCACUGCUGGCAGAUUCUGUUCAGUGCCAUUUUCACGGUUGUCAUAACUUUUACCACACCUUAAAGUCCGUAUUGCACAACAAUCCUCUGUACCUCUUGGAUUAUACAUCAUUUGACUAGGAAACCUUCCUUUUUCUCUGUCUGAAAUCUGUGCAGCUAGCUGCCCAAAUUGUAACUCUAAACUUUUAAUUGAUGCCUCAAUAUUCUGAAAUCUUUGAUUGCUGCCUUCCAUGAAUGUUUGUGUUGUUGCUGCCAGUUUAGUCAUUUGAUCCUCCAAUGAUGGUUUGGAUGGUACAAAAGGUUUUUGUGCUUGUUGGAAUGGUCUUGCAUUAUUUUGAUUGUCACCCCAUUUGAAAUUAUGAUGAUCAUUCCAUCCUGGAUUGUAAUGAGUUGCAUAUGCAUCAUUCCUAGGCCUUUGAUAACUGUUCAUCAUAUUAACAUGUUGCUCGACAAGCUCUGGGUAAGAUUCUUUAUGUGGACAGCCCAAUAUGUCGUGUGUAGCCAUGCUGCAGAUAGUGUAGAUUGUUGAUGUAGGUUGCUGCUGCUGUGUAGAAUUUGCUAUCUGUUGUAAAAUAAUGUCAAACUUUGCAUCAAUUUUUUUCUCCAUUUUUUCCAUUUGUGCAGACAUAUUAGAGGAACCUGCUGAUAACUCAAAAAUGCCCCUUUUUUGUGAAUGUUCUGCUGCCCACUCUUGAGAUUCUGUAGCCAUUGUAUCAAAUAAUUCAAAUGCUUCUCUUGCAGAUUUAUUUGACAAUGAACCCCCAUCUGAUGCAUUAACAUGACUUUUAGAUGUAGGAUUAAGCCCAUCAAAGAAAAUAUUCAUUUGUUUAUCUGAAUCAAUAUUAGCAUGUGGACACUUUAUAUACAUUUCUGUAUAUCUCUCCCACGCUUCAUGAAAUUCUUCGUUUGGCUUUUGAGUGAAUGUCAUAAUCUCCCGCUUGUAAUUUAAUGUCUUGGAUGCCGGAUAAUAUUUGUUCAGGAAUUUUGUAUGCAAUUGUUGCCAAGUAGUAAUGCUAUUAGCUGGUAAAGUGAACAACCAAGUUUCUGCCUUAUCCUUCAAAGUAAAAGGAAAAAGACGUAACUUAAUAGCCUCGACAGAAAAACCCCUGAUCAAAAUAUUUUUGCAACCCACGAUGAAUUUUGCAACAUGUAAAUUCGCAUACUCGUUAGGCAGCCCACAAAAAGUAGGUAAAAUUUCAAGCAUAUGGUGCUUGAUCUCAAAUGAAUCACCAUCUUCAUGGGCAGGAUACACAAUACAAUUAGGAACAUCAUUGACUCAGGCAGCCAAUGACUCUCUGAGUGGCCUGCCUGCAGCAGGCAAUUGCAACGCCAUUGUGAUUUUACUGCCUACAAAACCAGCAAACAAUUCCUGCAGGAAUGUGCCUUGCACUGCACAGUCCCAAACCAAAUUAUUUUCUCUCCCCUGUCUAUGCAGUGUGCGUUCGGGUUCUGGACCAAACUGUGCAAUCUGGGCAGUUCCUGAUCUAGUUUGGACCAUGCAAUUUACAGAAUCUACAAUCACACAAAAGCGUUAAAAUAAUUUGAAUUUUUUGUUGUCUUUUUUUGACGAAAAAUAAUAUAAAAAAAAAUAAUCAGAAAAAGUUUAAACAAAAAUUAUCUAAAAUAGUCCCCGGCAACGGCGCAAAUUUCUUGAUAGGAUUUUUAACGUCUAUGCAAAUAGGGUCAAAAUCACAUGAAAUACUUGCAAGAAUACAAGGAUGUUGUAGUAUAGAUGCUCAUGCACGGUCGUUUUCCUCAAUGAUUAUUUGGAUAAUUUAUGUAGAAACAAUUCCUAAUUAAAUAUUUAGAGUUAAAACUUGAGAAAAGAGAGUUUGAGAGUGGGUAAUAUUAAAAGCGAAUUUUAAGCAAAAACUAAUAUAAUCAAAGAAAAGAGUUUUAAAUACCAAUUUAUAAAGGCACCAGGGUUCCACCAUCACCUAGCAAUUUUAUGUAUUUUUACCAAUUACUUAUAAUUUAGACAUGCCACUUCGAAGGUUAGGUUUUCCUAAUACAUAUUCUCCUCGUGAUAGUCAAGCAAGAACAUAUAUCUAACAUGCAAUCCGUAUGUGAUAUUCAGAUCAAAUAUGAAUAUGCAAGACUCAUUAAGUUUUAUGAAAACCUUUUGAAGAACCAUGCAACCCCUAAGAACGUGAUAUUCGCCUUAGAUGAAAUUACAAUUAUCAAUCACAAGAAGCAAUACUCAAUCCUCCGGUGAUAUUCCGACCGAAUUGCAUCCAAUUACUUGUCUAAACAUCCUAAUAGUGGCCAGUCAUCAAGAUAAUUAGAUAGUUUAAAACAGUGAUCAAUAAUUCAAAGUGUGCAUGCAAUCAAUCAUAAGCAAUUAAAUAAAAAUUACAUAUUCAUGCUAAGGCUCAAGGUUUCGCCCUAGCAAAAGGAAUUAGUUAUGCAUAUUCAUAAUUGAAAUCAUAGAGCUUAUUAUUAAAAAUAAAAGGAAUGAAAGCACCUUAAAGUAGAAAAUCUCCAAGAACCCUAGCCAAGUUCUUUGUCUCUAAAGUUGAAUAAUAAUAAGCGUAGAAAAAAACUAUAGACGGCCAAAGCAAUAUAUUUGCUCAGCCCUUACAAACCCUAAGACAUAGGUUUCUUAUUCCAACUAGGAAACUAAAAAUAAAAUAAAAUAUCUUAGAAAAUAAAACCCUAAUUAAACUAGGAAUCUGCCAAGUACUUGUCCAGCCACGUUUUAGCCUCAGAUCUCCUCCAAAUCCAGCCCAAGAUAGCUUGUUUUAAAUAAGAACGUUCCGAACAGAUCUCCAGAAGGCCACGAAACCAUUCGAGGUCAUCUUGGGCUCCAAAAACGCAAUUUAAGCCCAGAAACGUCAUUUUUCAGCACCGCGCAUCGCUCCUUUAUUUUAUCGCCAAAAAAUAACCGCUUGAUGGAAAAAUCCCAAUUUUUGAUACGAUCAAGCUAAGUGACUCACGAACGUCUUCCAACUGGAAUUACUCCAAAAUUCGUCCAUUUGACCACGUUUUGCUUCAGAGGAAGUCGAAAGUCCUAUAUUGAAAAUACAAUUCAAAGUAUCAAAAUUCUUCUAAAAUAUGAACCAAAAUAUACCAAGAAUAGGGUUAAAUAUAUAAUAUAAAAUUCACUUAUCAAAGCUCCUCAUCUCUGAGAGGAGAGCAACCACAACUGUCACUAUUGCAUCAAAUCUAUGAGUAGAACUCAAAUCCAUAUCAAAUCACUUAUGCAGUCUCAUUCACAAGAAGCCUGACACGCUUUUGGUAUGAACGGCACUGAUCAACAAUCACUUCUUCCUUCAAACCCUGCCAUAGUAUUUCAUUUUGACCAUUUAUGACCGUUAAAUUUGCACAUAUUAAGAGCCCGGAUGGUAAUAUUAUGAUUUUGGUUCAUUUAUUAUAUUUUAGUAAAAGCCAAAGAGGAAUUGUAUGGGAGAAAAGAGGGAGAACAAAAGGGCUCAGAUGGGUGGGCAUGAAAAUGAAUAUGGAACGGUAUUUAAACCAAAAAGCAAAAUCAGUCUCAACUGUUCUAUAUUUCUCCUUAAAGUUUUUACUUCGCCCAUUUCCCUUCAAUCGUCCAUACCUCCUCCCUUCUACAAACACAAGAAAAGUGCAGCCCUUAAAGGUACUAAGUUUCGAGUAAUUAACCACCUAAUUCCGACCCUGCUAAAAGUCCCAACUUAAACUUUUUUUACAAUCACAGUAAUUGACACCCAAUUACUAGCCUCCUCCACCUCUGGAUAACUAGCCUUAUAAAUAAAGUUUUGUUAUCAAUAUUUCUCAUCAAAUAAUUUACAUACAGUGCAUAGUAAAGAAAAGUAUGGACCAUAAAUAUUCUCCACAAUUGACCAUAUACAAGUUUCAGAACUUUCAACUGUGGUAAGAGUCCCAUAUGAAACUUUCACCGCUAGAGAACUCCACACACACAAAAAAAAAACAUAGAAUCAUUGGCCUCUCAACAAAAAUAUUUCUAGAAAAACAUAAAUGAGAAAUUAUCCUUUAAUAAUACCUUUUCGGAAAGAAAUUAAUCAGAAAUCUAAAAUAAGGUAGAAAAUAAUAUUACCUCAGGAUUCUUAGGAUCCAAGGCAUUAAGCAUUUCCAUCAACACAUCUGCAAUUCCACGAGCAUUCUGAAUCUCUAGCAAGCUGAUUAAAGACAGUUCCAAUCAGGAUGGAUCUAUCAUAGUUUCAAUUAAAAGGAUGAUUUUUGCAGCAGAAGAACAACAUUGACACCAUUCAAAUACAAACAUAUAAGACAAUAACAUAUGUUUCAACUCUUCUUCCAGCCUUGAAAUAGAUUUGGAUGACUAAGAACUCCUACUCUCAAGCCUUUGGUGACACGCCCCGAUCCCGAUAUUCCCAAAAUACCAGGAUAAGCACAUGCUGGUUGACACCUGACGAAAGCCAUUUAUUGAAUGCAAAUGUUGAGAAUAAGGAAUAAAUAAGACUUAGAAAUAUAAAAGAAUAAUGAAUAUGCAUUUAAGGAACGCGUUCAGAGAAUACAACUAACUAGAACACUAAAAGAAAUAAUAUAAAAUUCAAAGAAUAAAAGAAUGGGUCCUACACCGAGAGGACUCGAAGAUGCCGAUGCGGAAGUGCCUUGACGUCAGGAUUGUAUGUCUCGAUUCUAAGUCCUGAAGGGGGCGCAAAACAAACAUGAGUGGACCAAGUUGCUAUAUAUAUAUAUAUAAUAAAACAGUUAUCAACAUACUAACCCCCAGGUUUUAUGAAAACACAUAUAUAUCAUGAUAAACAUAUGUUUUCCGAAACCUAGCAUGUCGUGCAAUGUCUCAAAUCAUAACUUGUAUAUAUAAUAAUCACUAGUGAAUUGUCCGAUAACCCCCAGGCCCCAUGCCGACUCCCCGUCUCUGAGCAGACAGUCAAAGGAAAAUACACUUCAAGUCCCAUGCUGGCUCCCCGUCCCUGUGCUAAAUAGGCAGAGGAAACACACUCCAGGCCCUAUGCCAACACCAAACCGUCACCAGGGACGGACCAGAAUCUAUCCCUACGUCCCGUAGCGGAAAUGACCACUAGGUAAGUACAAAAUCAUUGAACAUAUAUAUAUUGAAAAACAACUUCAUAGUAUAAAGUCAUCCAUCAUCUAUACUAUAAAGAGGUGUUCGAAACAUGUUCUAAAUAUUAUAUCGUCAUCCAUCGGAUAUUUAUAAGAACACGGGUUAUAGGAAAAAUAGGAAUAAUUCAACUAGCCUCAAUAAGCAUAUUAUCUCAUAAAACGUUUCAUAAAACGUAGUCAUCAAAUCAUGUUUUUCAUGUAUGCAUUUCUACUAUCAAAACAUGCAUUUUUAGAAGGGGUCCACUCACAGAUACUUAGCCGCCAAAGAGCCACGCAAACUAGCAAACACGGAAACGCCACAAUAAUUGCUCCUAAGCACGUAAAUGGUCCAAUUAAUAAAACUAUACUCAAACGAUUUAAUUUGGGAAAACAGACGUCGAAAACGGAUUCAGAACAUCAAAUUAUCUUAAGAAGGGUCCCGGAUAAAUUUCGUAAACGUCAAUAGAAUAUUCCAAAGAAUAUUCCUUGACGGAAUAUUUUCUGAUGGAAUAUUCCACAAAAAGGUUUGAGCCGGUUAGGGUUUAGGGUUGGAAGGGUUAAAGGGUUUAGGCUUAGACUUUUAGGUGGGUUGGGUUUAGGUUUUUAAACUGAAAGGGUUGCUUUAACAUAUAAGGGCCAAUGGCCUUUAAAACCAAAACAAAUAAAAUAGAAAAUAAAAAGGGCUGGAGGGUUCUAGGCCCAAAGGCCUAAACUAAAAAAGGGUUUGGGGUUUAAAGUGUAUGGGCCCUAAGCCCUCACAGCAAUGGCCCAAAGGCCUUUAAUUAAACAAAAUAAAAUUAAAACAAAAUAAAAAGAGAAAUGGGUUUGGGUUGGGCUCGGCAGGAAAGGCCCGAAGGGCCUAUGUUUGAUGGGUCGCUAGACCCAAGGAAGAAGAAGGCUGGAAUUCGGCCGAAAGGUUCUCUAACUUUAAACGUUCAUAACUUUGUCAAUACUCAACGAAAUCAAGUGAUUCAAAAACAGAAAUCGUAGCCCUCGAAGAGACGAAGAGAAUGGUACCUUGCACGACGUCUAACUCAUCAUGGUUUGGCCGAAAAUUUCCUCGAAAGGGAUGAGUCCCUAGUCGGAAAAUCUAGGGAAAGCUCCCCAAGUUGUUUUCACGUCUAAACCUUCACCAAAUACCAUAUUUUAACAACCUCUAAGCCUUCUAGACUACUAUGAAGGAAGAUCGAAGGGUGUUUUUGACUUACCUUGUCAGAAAUCACGUGCACCGUGACUGUGCACAGUGCCUAGACGAGAGAGAGAUCGCAGGGUGGUGAGGAAGAGAACGAUGAAGGUCAGAUGAUGAAGAUGAUGGUGAAGUUCUCCUGUUGGCUGUGUGUAUGUAUGUAUGGGUGUGUGUGUGAUGAUACUCGGGGAAGGAAGGAGAGAGUGCAGAGAGAGUUGAGAGAAGAAAGAGGGAAAAAGAGAGAAAGAAGAGGAUCACGGGGAGGGAACACAAAUAAAGGGGUUGGGCUCACCAAUUAAGAACUAAAAUUCAUUUUUAAAUAAAAUGGGGGUGGGGUGUAACAUUUGGUACUACUAAAGAACCGUAUAUUUAUUCGUAGAUGAUCAAUUGAAACACCCCACGGAUCAAUUAAUUCAAAUCAUAAUUAAAUACUAAUAGUGGCUUUAAAGAAUGUGUUACAUAUACAGAUGAAAAAGAAGAUUCAACAUCGUUACCAUUCAAAUACAAACAUACAAGACAAUAACAUGUUUUAACUCUUUUUGCAGCCUUGUAAUAGAUUUGGAUGACUAAGAACUCCUACGCUCAAGCCUUUGGUACUACCAAAGAACUGUAGUUUUCUUCCUAGAUGAUCAAUUGAAACACCCCAGAGAUCAAUUAAUUCAAAUCGUAAUUAAAUUCUAAUAGUGGCUUUAAAGAGUAUAGGCGUGUUAUAUAUAUAGAUGAAAAAACAGAAUCAACCUAUCAUAUAUACAGGAUGGCAACUUGUUUGGUGAUAGAUUCAGAACAACAGAGAGAAUUUUUUUUUAAAGAUAAGAUACCUUAAUGGUGUUUGAGUAAUAACACAUACAGACAUUAAAGGUGAAACCUUUUCCAAGCAGAUGCAGACAUACAAAAAGAUAUUAAGCUUAAAGACCUUAAUAUCCAGCUUUGGGUAUUGGCAAGUAUCUGCUAACCUUCCCUUAUACGUAAAAAAUUCUGAUAACCACAAUCAAGGCAACAACAACAAAAACAAAAGCAAAAAUUCCAUGCCUUAAGUAGAAAAAGUUCACUUAUGUUGUAAAACCCAUUCAUAAAGAUUUAGUCAACCAUUAACAAUCAUUCACUGUUGUAUCAACAAAAAAAAAUAGAAGGAAACAAGUUCUUAUGAUUGAAAGAGAUGAUUGUGAAAGGGUUAGGAUAUACCUGCUGCUAUGAAUUAUAGAUUCCAGUGGAUGAGGCUCUCUGUUUUUGAAAAACGUGCGUAUGGUUGAACGGCAACGAUACAUGACAUAGCAAAAAAUUAGAGGGAAAAGGAGUUUGUAUUCAAACACAGUAAAGAGAUUUGUAUUAGAAAUUAGUUUGUAUAAAAGUUAACAAAACAUAACAAAAUUUAAAAAUGGAUAGACAAAUACCUCAGUGUUUGAAUGAAUGGUUGCUGUGUGAAUGAAUGGUUUGAUCUGUAUGCUUGUGUUGGAUCUACAUGCAUAUGAAAAAUUAAAUUAAAAAGUGCAUCACAGAGAAAUGGAAAAACAACCUAGCAACAUAGAGAUAUUCGAAUGAUGUGAAGUGGAAAAGGAACCUGAAGGUGAUUUGGUGAGAAGCAAAUAGUAGGAAAGCAUGAAGAAACACACAAAUGAGCACAGUGCAACCCCUUUAUUUAUAAAGACAGAAAUCUCACACUAACAAUGAACUAAACGGCCUAAACCCACUAAUUAAAAAAUAAUAAACUUAAAAAGGAGUCUAAAUUUUGUUUACUCAUAAACAAAGGAAAAAAAAUUCUGAAAAACACAAAUAUCAAGACAGUGUAGUCCCCUAAUUUACAAAGACUAAGAGCAAACUCUAAUAGUUAACUAAACAAUUUAAAAAUAUCUAUGACAACUUUAAUGAAGGGAAAAUUAGCCAUGACAAUUUAACAGUGUAGCCCCCUAAUUUACAAAGACUAAGAGCAAACUGUAAUACUUAACUAAACAAUUUUAAAAUAUGUAUAGCAGUUUUAAUGAAGGAAAAAUGAGCUAUGACAAUUUAAUGAAGGGAAUGGCAAAUCAAACAAUGAACAGCAAAUUGAAAACAAUAAAUUGUAUAAAUUUACAUAUGUUUUACUCAAUUUUUUUUUUCCAUUAAGCUUUCAUGUUGCUGUAAAUUUAGGCGUUUUCUCUCUGUGUUGGUGUAUCUGCCUAAACUUGUAAAAUGUUGGUUCAUCUUAUGCAAUUUUUGAUAUACUUAACAACCUACUGCCUAUGUGCAAUGGAGCACCACAAAUUUAUCUACAUUAUGGUUGUUAGGACAAUGGAUUAGGUUGUAGGAUAAAUUCGGACAUACAGCUAACCCUAGAGGUGAUCUAAACAAUCUACAAAAGACUAAGAGCAAACCCUAAUAGUUAAGUAAACAAUAUAAAAUAUAUAUGAUAGCAUUAAUGAUAGAAAAAAUAUCUAUGACAAUUUUAAUAAAUGGAAUGGCUAAUCAAACAGUAAACAACAAUUAAAAACAAUAAACUGAAAAAGAGUUAACCCUAAGGUGAGCUAAACAAUCUACAAAGAUAUAUGACAAAUUUAAUGAAGGAACAAAAUAUCUCUAACAAUUCUAAAACAAAAAAAAGGAUCAAUCACACAAAAAUUAAUCAAGAAACAAACAAAUUAAAUCAGUGGAAGACCCUAAUUGAAAAAAAUAGAGACAUAAUCCUAGCACCCAAUUGAACAAUUUAUAAACAUCCAUGACAAUUUGAAUGAAAGAACAAAAUAUAAAUGAAAAUUUUAACAAAGCAAAUGGCAAUUGGAUACUAAACAAUGAAAAAAAAAACAGUGCAUUACCUUUUGAAUCAAGGGAGAAAGUUGAAAACCCAGACCCUGCCAUUCGUCCCUCAGCCAUCCCCUCUUCACCGACUCUGUGCGUAACCCGUUAACCCUAAAGAAUACACACACCCAUGCUUUCCGCUCUGUAUCUAUCUCCCUGUCCAUCUCUCUCUCUAAAAUGGGAGAAAAUCCCAUAGAUCCUAGCAGAGGACCUAGCUAAAUCUAUCUCUCACUCAGUCCAAACCCAUAGCUCCCAUCUCUCUCCAAUCUGUCAGGCCUUGUGUCUCCCUCCUCUCUAGUCGCUCCGUCCCCCUUUCUCCGCUCGCCACAGCCACAACCACACCCAGCUGUCUCCGAGUAAAAAAUAGGAACGAUCGUCUCUCUCCAAUUUGUCAGCCGUGAUGUCCCCCUCCCCUUUCUCUCCCCGAGUCAAAGCUGAAAUGCAGCCAACGGCUGAUAAUCGGUUUUUAAGCCUGAGUGGCAUUUUUGUAAUAAAGCGAAAGUUGGUUAAAAGCACCCUGAGUGGCAAUCUUGUAAAUAAACUGAAAUGUCUUCCAAAACACUGCUCAAUUGUACAAUGCAAUUUCCCCUCCUUCAUUAGACUAAAGUAAUAAUAAUUCAGACAAUUUAUACCAAAAAUAAAAAAACAUCCCAAAGCAUAAAAAAAGAUAGCAUCUGUUACAAUAUCAUUAUGUUUGAAUUGUGUAUAUAGGUAAUUAUGGGGGAUUCGGGAAAGAUGGAAUAACUAUACAAAGAAGAGAAAUGAUUUGAAGUCUAUUGUUCGCUUUUCUUAUUAGCACAAAAUUCAAUCAAGCAAGGAUGAAUUCUUUCAUAAAUUACAGUUACGGAUCAUGACAUUCAACAAGCAGCAGCUGAAAUAGUUGUACAAACAUAAAAAAUCGAUGCUGACUGACAUCUUUAAUUAAAGAUUAAGGCCCUAGGACUGACAGGAUUUAUAAUAGUAAGGGUGUAAGAGACAUCCUCAUGUCAAUGGGAGAAUUGAUGAAUACUUGACAAGGUUAAGGCCUUUCAAAUAUGUAGUCAAAUUUUUCUGCAGUCUUAAAGCAUGCACAACACAUUCAAAUUUGAUGAAGUAUAUAUGAAACAACCAACAUGUCUUCGUUGAUUCUCAAUUUCCAACACAUGUUUGCAAAUUGAAACAUUCUCUCUAUGGUCUUAAACAAGCCUCAAGGGCGUGGUUUCAAUGUUUUUUCCAACCACCUAGAACAUCUCGAUUUUGUGUCUUCUUAAGCAGAUUCGUCUCUAUUUGUUUACUGUCAUGGUUUAGUUCGCAUUUAUUUACUAAUCUAUGUUGAUGACAUCCUUAUCACAGAAAAACAUGAACAUAAAUAACCAUGAAUCAGAAAGAUGAUCAAUAACCUGGGAGUAUAUAGAAAACGAAGUCACAGUGUUCGGGCGAAGAUUUCUCCGGAUAGGGCUCCUCGGCUCUCAGCACAGCUCUCCAAGGGAUUGGCCUUUUGGAUGUGUAGUUAAGCUCUUGCUUGUUGAUGUGUUGCAAGAAGAGGAUAGAGUUAGUUUUGAAAGGUGCCUUUGUAGGGCCUUAAGUGUAGGCCUUGAGACUCGCAAUCAAAACUAACUGAAUGCUAGGCGUGCCACUGCUAUCUCAGUAUAGCAGAUGUAGAACAAAUGUGUUUUAGUCGAUUACUUACCCCCCAAGUUACUCAGACUUCUUGUUAUCAAAAGAUUGUCGUGGAUGGGUUAAGUCCACAUUAAGUUCUUUUUCUUGCCUUAUGACCAAGGACUUUCAGUUCAUAGUCUUGUAUGUUCAAGUGAGGGAAGUCCAAAUCUCCUUAAGUCAUCUACUCGGUUCUUGAUUGGUUUUUAAUGAAGGCAUAUUCAUUUAGGUAACCAGAUGCGAGCACAAACGAGACUCUUAAAAUAGGAAAACAGAUGGAUAUGACUUGAAUACAUGAUGGAGAAUACAUUAAGUAGUAGAUUUAUUAACUUAUAAAACAAACAAAGAGCUUUGAGCAAGAUUUCACCUUGUCGGGCAAGGUUGAACUUCUUGCAAUCACUUCUCUUUUGAGUUUACAAGGUUUAUUUGCUAAGAAGGGAUGAAUGGUAAACAAGUUUACACAAGAGAAUCGAUACUACGCCACUAGGGGUGAUAACAGAGCUUCUAAACUAGACAAAAGAUGGCUUUUGUGGGGAAUGAUCAUGAAAAGAUGGCUAACUACAGCUUUUAGAUGCAAAUCCGGCUUGAGAUAAGAGUUUGUAUGAUUGGUUGAGUGUCAUUGUCUUUGGGGCCUCUUCUUCCUUUUAUACACAGAUUAGCCCGACUAUUGUAGCUUUGCUCUUGCCCAAAAGUAAUUGAAGGGUAGUGAGUCAUCAACUUUUUACUUGUAUUGCCAUUAAAAAGUGCUUUUUGGCUAAUUAUGGGUUAGUCCCCAUCACUUGACACUUAAAUCAUAGGCACAUGACCAAUGCAUUAAUGAGAAGGCGCCAAUUUAUCUCUGGGCUUGAUGCUGGGCUUUGGGCAAGUCUUCCUUUAAUUGGUGUUUUUGCUUCUACACACUUGCAGCCUAAAGUUCAAAUAUUAACCCAAACAAAACUUCUAACCCACGAUCAUAGUGGUCACUCCUCACACCCCAAGCCAGAUCCCUCGAUUGGAUGCAGCUAAUGAAUCUCUCUCUACAAAAGGGACUAGCAUCUUCCCUAAAAGCGUCAUGGAAGACCGAAGUUGUAGAGGGCAGAGAUGUCUCCGAGUUGCUUGGAGAUUUUGAGGACGAAGCCGAGCUUGUAGUUGAGUGUUGGCCUACAUGUCGGACUCCGGCAAUGGUGGUAGAAACUUCAGAGUCUGAGCCCGAAGCGUGGCUGGCUCCAACAAAGAAAAAGAUGCGGGCACAAACUUCCACAGCUUCAAAGUCUUCUACACCAGUGGCUGAGGUGGGUAGGGAGAAACGGAAAGCUUUUAGUAAGUAAUCAUUGCUUCAUUUUAUUCACAACUUCAUGAUGAGAGUUGACAACUCUCUUUUCUUUGAUUCCAAGGCCCCAAGUGACUAAAAAGCCUACCAUCGCUUCAAGGGAUGACCCAUUGCGGGCUGAGAUGUCUCAAAAAGCAAAAAAUCUGCAAGAUUUCACCCUGGAGGAACUUGAGGUACAUCUUGCAUAUUAAAUUUUAUUCCAUUGGGUUCUUCCCUUUUCCUUCUUACUCUCCUCCAUACUAUCUGCCUAUUUUCUGAUUUAGGCCAUAAGGGAAGGAAAGAUCUCUCCGCCCGAGGCCUCCUCACCUCCAGCCCGAAUGGUACAAACUUCUCCCCCUCAGGCUAAGUCUUCAAAGGUAUAUCUUUUCUCUUCUUUUAGACUUGUAUCUUUAACAAUCCCAGAGUUCUAACACUCGAUUUGUACUUUCGUAGGCCAAGGUUGGAGAGGUUGCUUCCUCACUGGGCAUAGUUUUACCUUCAUUCUUCCAGCCUCUCUUCCACUGGUGGUGGCUCCUACUUCCUAGUUUGAUCCAAGCACUGCAAAGUUGUUACACUUUGUAGAAGAUAAUAGUCGCCCAGUAAGUACUUCCAUUAUCCUUUUUAUGUUCAGAGUUCCUUUUUUUCUUCCUUACUUAUCAUCUGUUGCCAUUUGUAGCCUUCCUUAUCACAGACAUCUCACCAACCAGCCGUGUUUGCUUUUGGAGAACCCGUAGUCCCUGAGAUCCCUGUGGUUUCAGAGGUGACUAGCCUGAGGGCUUCUCGGGCAGAGUCUCUUGAUGUAGUUGUUUCUGAAUUACCUAUUUCUCAACUUCAAGUAUAUCAUUAUCUUAAACUUUCGCUUCUUGUUUUCUGCAAAUUGUCUUUUUGACACUUGUUCUCUUUGAUGUCUAAAGGCCUCAGGUAAAGGCCCAGGCAUUAUUCCUUCCUCCUUAACAACCAAAAAUGGUCCCUCUCCACAACUAAAGGAAACAACUCUUCCUCCAUCUCAUUCCUUGGCUCCGAGCUCAACCCAGGUAUAUUGUCCUUACUUGUCUCGCCUUCCGCCAUUCUGAAUCAUAAAUUAUUUCCUUAAUUUUUCUCCAUUGGUUGCAACAGGGCUUUGGGGAAGGCUCAGGCAAGUCUUCACCACGCUUGGUGCACAAAAUAGAACUCCCUCGACCUUCUUUAGCUUCUAGGGUCAUAGGGAUUCCUAUCCCAAGGCCGAAAAAGAAGACUAAGACCAUAACUGCUUCUAUCUCUCAGGUUCCUCCCUCGGUUGAAACUUCCUCCAUUGCUGCACCCUCUGAAGUAGCUGGAGUACGACCUUCUUCUCCUGUACCGGUUCCUUCAACAGUAUCUCUACCCGAGCUUUUUAAAGAAUUCGGGCAACUCAAGACAAAGUUAAGAUCUCCCAAGCAUCCAGGCAAUUCAAAACAAAGCUAAGAUCUCCCAAGCAUCCAUCUGAAUCUUCAGGCCUCCAAGAUCAACGCCGAGUCUUCCGAGAAUGGUUUAGAAGGGAUUUCUCAGCAUCCUUUAGCCUCAAGGCCCUCCAUGAUGUAGAGAAAGUAGUGACCGACAUUUUCAAGGCCGAUCAAUUAUCAAAAGUUCAGUAUGAGUCAUUUAUCUCAUAUUUUGAAAACUUGAAGGCUCUUAGAAAUCAGCAUAGUCGGGCUGAGAGGCAAACCAAUUGAGUAAGGUGCUUCAAGGAGAAACAAUCUAGUACUUUAACUCAAAUUUAGCAGCUAAUAAAUAAAGGCUCAGCCACGGAGGAGAAGAUCAAGAUGGUCUCUUCCAAUAUCCAGAAGUUAGAGGAGCAACUUGCUGUGUUGAAGGCUGAACAUGCGACUCUCAUUGGCAAGCUUCAGCAGCAAAUUGAAGGAGUAAAAAAGGCCAACAUGGAACUUGAAGACGCCGAAUCUCAACUUAUCAAUAGCAGCAUUGUUUUGACGGAGCCUACCAAAAUUUUCGCGCUCAUGUAGACUUAUUACUCCAGAAUAAUUACUCUGGGUGAAGAUGUACAUCUGUUAGGCUAUGAUCAAAUAUAAUCUUUUCUAAAAUAUACUUCUUUUCAUCUUGACUUGUAUCACUUUAAAUUGAAAUUCUUAUUGCCUUUUUUACUUCACCUCUUUUUUGAAAUCAUUAACUUUGUUUAAUAUAACGAUUUCUAACCCUCAAACAGUUGGAUGUCACCUCUUUAAACACUUAAUACUAACUGGAUGUCUUUGUAAGUUUUCUCUAAAUUGGUCGAUUAAUAUUUCCCUUUAUCUUGUGUUUUUCUCUCUUCCACACACCAAUAGUCUUUUGAUUAAGUACCUGACUGCAACUACCUGGUCAUUUCUUCUUUGUUCUGACAUUACUGGUGUUGGGAAAAUAUGGGGUCGGUCCCAUUCUUCCCUUGUAAGGAACAACCUUUGUUCCAAAAGCUUUUGGGCCGUCACCUUAGUCGGGCGGUCGUUCUCAUCAGCUCCUAAACACUGGAGAAUCUCAAUGCUAGGAUUAUAAAAAUUGACUUUUGCAACAUUGGUAGUGGGAAGGAAUGGCCGUGACUCGGCCUCUACCAUCUCCCAAAAUCCAGGUCCCAUAGCGCAUUCUUCGUGAUAAACUGCUACUUGUUGAUGUAGGGUGGAUGGCACCGAGAGACUUUGAUGAAUCCAAUCUCGGCCUAGUAAAGCUCCAUAUGUGGAAGUACUAUCCACAACGAAGAAAUCUAACAUGAUUUGCUUGAAACCCAAGUUAACCUCAAAGGGUCAUAUCCCAUGGGUUUUAAUGAUGGCUUCAGAGUAAGUGGAAACUGUUAAGUCCGUGGGGAUGAGGUCCUCCUCAUUUCUACAUACCCGCUUCAUCUGCUAAAGGGCAACACAUUGACCGCGGCUCAUCCAUCAAUCAAAACCCUCUUGAAGGGCACUCCCUCCAGAUGAGCAGUUACAUAAAUGGGCUUGAGAUGGUUGGCUAGGGUCAAACUCGGAUGACUGAAGACAAUCAUGUAUGUGUACACUCUCUCAGGCUUUCUCUUUGUGGGCUCGGGCACAUCUACUCUGCCCGAUUCCUCUUUUCCCACCUCUUCAACACUAACAUGUGCCAUCAUCGGUUCCGUUGCUAAGUAGUCAUCCUCCAUUAUGGCAGGUUGAUCAUGUUUCAGCACAAAACAUGGCGGAUAAAACAUAUUUUAUGUUUACGUGGAAGUUGCUAGGUUAAGAUAAGUUCUCAUUUUUGCCCCCAAUGCGGCUCAUGAACUCAUCUAACCAGGCCUGCGCUUCUUCUGGCAGCAUCAGCUCAGGCACCCUUUCUUCCCAGGUUAUGCUAAAGUUUGGGAUUUGUUGUGGAGCAUCGCAAAGAGUAUCAACCAACAAUGGUGCGGGCAACCCUCUCUCAGGUGAGAUAGUUCCAAAGCAUAUUGGUUCUAGGCUCCACCUUGGGGUUGGCAUCAUUACUAUAUCCUGUUGAGCUCUCUUAAAGAUUUUGUGUUUCCCAGGAUGGGGGUUCUAUGGCACAUGGUCUUCUUCCCUUUCGAUCUUGCUAUUAGACUUUUUCACCUCCUUCUUGGUUCUCCAAUGGAGUUGAUUUCUUCCAUCAACGAGUACUUUCUCAAACUUUACAUUCUCUGAGGUUUAUAAGGCAGUUGGGACUUUCAAUGAGUUCAUGUGGGCUUUAUGUUGCCUCUGGACUCUCCUAAUCAUGGAGGCUCUCAUUUCUUUAACGGGUCUCCCAUCAUUUCCGACCACAUACCAUUUCCUCCCGAGUCGGGCAUGAUUCUUCUUCGUGACUGGAUUCACAAUUCUACCCUUAACUCUGACAUCUCCACCAGCAUAGCUUGGUUGGGGUGGCCUCACAUCCACCCAUCUUGGCACCUUGGCCUCUUUGUCGUCCACCUCUUCAGAAGCUUCGUAAUUUCUGAAUACUUAUGACAAACCCUUUGGUUGGGAAUCUCCUUCCAACCUUUGGAAAACAUUCCUAGAGGUCUCUCAUUCAGCUGCCCACAUAACAUUUUUGCGUGCUUCCUGCUCUUAUUUCUUUCUUAUCUUGAUCAGCUCUUGAUCAAUAAUGGCUCCUAGUGCUGGGACUUCCAGCUCGUACUCACAUUGGCAUCUACUGCACAAUAUCACUCCCUUGAUUAUGGCCGCCUUGGGUUUCUCGGGCAACUUGAUGGCUCCAUUGGUUGGCCUAUCAACUUGCCUCCGUUAUGCUUUCACCUCACAUGUAGCUUUUCCUUUUCCCUUCUUAGCCCACGUCAAGUUGAUCAUGUUUAUUGGUACUUCUGGGAAGGGGUCAGAGUCAAUCAUCAUGUUGGCCUACGUUUCUCCAGCAACAACUUUCCUUUUAAUAUAAGGUCUUGUAUCCAAUCCCUGAUCUGGACAGAGUUGGUUAUAGAGUGAUUGAAAGUGUAAUGCAGCUUGCAAUAUUUUUUCCUUCUCAGUUCUCCGGCCUUGGGCAGUUUUUUGGCAUUGUCAGACACGAUGACUCUUGCUUGAACCAGCUCCUCAUAAAUCUCCGCUGCCUUGGUUAAAUUAAAGGAAUAACUCUGGUACUUGGGGGGUUUCAUGAGGAGCAAUCCACCAUCAUUCGUGACCACUUUCUAGUCUUUAAUUGGCUGUACUAACCCCUUUACAGUCAAAGGAUUAAAUGGGGUAGUCAUCUCUGCUGCGCAUACGUCCAUUCUCUCUCCUUCAUGACAUUAUUCUCUUCUGGCUUUCCUUCAAACUCCACUUGGUGAAUGGCAGCUUUGCUCUUAUAGAAAAGAGGCACCUUAGAUGAGUGCUUUACUUACUAUUCCUCCAGCAACAGCCUCUCAUACUUGUUGGUCGCAAUCACUAACUCAUUCAGCUCAUUGAAUUGUACAUCAUAAAACUUCUUCAUCAAAGACAAUCUUAACGCCCUCUGAGCAAUGGAUAUGAGAUGUGCAUGAUUUAUGGGGAACCGUCACCUCAUCCUCGUCUUCCUAAACCUCAUCAUGAAGUCUUCUGUAGACUCAUGCUCGUACUGCUUCGCCUUCACAAGGUCAUUGAUAACCAUCUCAGGUUUAACCCUGUAAAACUGCUCAUGGAAUGCCAUCUCCAUUUGCCCCCCAAUUGGCAAUAGAAUUAGAGGGCAACAAAGAAUACCACUGAGAUGCUAAGCCCACCAAGGAGUUCCCAAACAAUCUCAACUUGUAGUUGGGAUUGUCUUCAAAUGCCACACAGUGAUUAAAGAACUUGAAAAUAUGAUCUCUAGAAGACACAUUGCCAUCUUCUCCGCUGAAUGUUGGGAAUGCGGGCAUCUUGAAGUUGACUAGAAAAAGGUUUUGCUCGUCAACGUACUCAGGAUAAGGCUUCUGAUAAGUGCUCCUAAACAGCGGGCGAGCUUGUGGCUGAUCAUUCCGGGCCACCAUCCUCCUCAACUCGGCUAACUCAUCCCUGAGCUGUUAGUGAGUUGUAUUAUCAGGAAGAGUAUGAAGAGGUUCCUAUUUCGGGCUACGAUCAUUGCCCGAGAACGUCUUUUUUCUUGGCUCAGGCUUUCUCCACCUAGCAUCCCCUCCCUUACUGGCUAAUGACGAGGGCCUAUAAGGAAGAGGCUUGUCUGGCUUGGUAGGCUUGCCUUUUCCACUGGAUUUCCCAAUCAACUGGGGCCUCCCAUACUUCGUUCUUUCUUGCUCGCUCUACCCCUACUAUUAAGUGGAAAUAGUGAAGGGUCGGGCAACUCCACUUCUAGGAUUUCCUCCAAAACUGGCCCACUAGUGCCAGAUUCAUCAUUGUUUUUAUGUUUACCAUUCUUCCCCCUGACUUCUCAGAUGAGGUUGGGCUUCUCAAAACAGUUGGUCCUUGUAAAGAGGGAACGUUCUCUAGGCGGUCUGCCAUGUUUGAUUUUGGUAGUUAUUGGGGUAGCUUGUACUCUGUGUUCCACCUGAAGGUUUUCUCCUUCCUUCUUCUUCUUGACAUACAAGACUAAUGUGAUCUCACCGGGCAUGCCAAAACUAUGUUUGGGCGAAGAUUUCUUCGGAGAUGGCUCAUUGGCUCUCAGCACAGCUCCCCAAGGGAUUGGCACUUUGGAUAUGUAGUCGGGCUCUUGCUUGUAAGAAGAGGAUAGAGUUAGUUUUGAAAGGUGCCUUUGUAGGGCCUUACGUGUAAAACUUAAGGCUCGCAAUCAAAACUAACUAAAUGCUAGACGUGCCACUGUUAUCUCAAUAUAGCAGAUGUAGAACAAAUGUGUUUUAGUCGAUUACUUGCGCCCCAAGUUACUCGGACUUCUUGUUAUUAAAGGAUUGUCGUGGAUGGGUUAAAUCCACAUUAAGUUCUUUUUCUUGCCUUGUGACCAAGCACUUUCAGUUCAGUUUUGUAUAUUCAAGUAAGGGAAGUCCAAAUCUCCUUAAGUCAUCUACUCGGUUCUUGAUUGGUUUUUAAUGAAGGCAUAUUCAUUUAGGUAACCAGAUCCGGCACAAAUGAGACUCUUAAAGUAGGAAAACAGAUUGAUAUGACUUGAAUACAUGCUGGAGAAUACAUUAAGCAACAUAUCUAUUAACUUAUAAAACAAAGAAAGAGUUUUGAGCAAGAUUUCACCUUGUCGGGCAAGGUUGAACUUCUUGCAAUCACUUCUCUUUUGAGUUUACAAGGUUUAUAUGCUAAGAAGGGUUGGAUGGUAAACAAGUUUACAUGAGAGAAUCGAUACUACGCCACUAGGGGUGAUAGGGCUGAUUACAGCUUUUAGAUGCAAAUCUGGCUUGAGAGAAGAGUUUGUAUGUUUGUUUGUUUGAUUGGUUGAGUGUCAUUGUCUCUAAGGCAUCUUCCUCAUUUUAUAGGCAGAUUAGCCCGACUGUUGUAGCUUUGCUCUUGCCCGAAAGUAAUUGAAGGGUAGUGAGUCAUCAACUUUUUACUUGUAUUGCCACUGAAAAGUGCAUUUUGGCUGAUUAUGGGUUAGUCCCCAUCACUUGACACUUAAAUCAUAGGCACAUGGCCUAUGCAUUAAUGAGAAGGCGCCAAUUUGUCUCUGGGAUUGAUGCUAGGCUUCGGGCAACUCUUCCUUUAAUUGGUGUUUUUGAGCUUCCACACACUUGCAGCCCAAAGUUCAAAUAUUAACCCAAACACACUGUCUCACAGAUCAAGUCAGAUUGGGCAUGAGAAGGGCUGAAGGUCCAUCAGGAAAAAAAAAAAACCCCUUCAUCUCUGUGUGUUUGCUACAAGUCUGUCUGUAUGUCGUCAAGUCCAAUAAAAUGUUCAUCUUUUCCUGUAAAGAAACAGUGAAGAUGCCAAGCUUGAUGAGGGUUUUAACUUUGGGAAAAAUAAUCAUUAUUAUAAUAUUAUGACAUGGACACACUAGAUCUAUAGACUCUAGCAAACCACCAAUUAAAACACGACAUCUAAUUUGAGGUGCUAUUUCGGUUUCGGUGCGAUUUUCAAAAGCCAAAACCAAAACCAAAACCAAACUGUUUCCUACACUGCGGUUCGGUUUCCAAACCACAACCGUUUCAAAACUGCAAAACCGAACCAUUUGGUGCGGUCCGAUUUGGUUCAUGUUUGGGUUUUGGUUUUCGGUUUCAAGUGCCCACCCCUAGUACUAAGUGGCUUAUCACAUAAGUUUUAUGUAAAGUGAUUAAACAAUUUAGCAUGUGUCAGUUUACUAGAGAUUCUUUCGAAGGACUAUGAGAGAUACAACUCACGAUCCAGGAAGGAAGUCGAAUCUAAGACAGUGAAGAGGAAUAUUACUAGACCAUAUUAAGUGGCAUCAUAUCUUCUGAAUUUUUUAAAAUCGACUUUACUAGAAACAACAAACUCACUCAUAGUUUUGGCCUAUCAAUUACAUUCUUCAAUGUACAACCCCUCACUCCAACUUUCUCAGAAACCUGUUUGUAGCCUAACAGGGGUUCCUUCAGAAAAUCUGAAUUCAAAGGAAGGACAUUGCACCACUGCCCCGUCAACGUUUUUGAUGAUUCAAAUAUCCCUUAAAUUUUAGGGGUCCAUAUUUUUUUAUGGUCAACGUUAGGCGUCCAGAUGAUGGGCAAUUUAUCAAUUUGGAUAUCAUUGAGGACUGAAUUCGGAUGCAUAAGGUCUAAGCAAGAAGUACAGACAAAUCAUUCCAAUGCAAUUUACACUCAUUAAACAAAUACAGUUGAAUCUGAUUCUCACGGAUGCAUGGUUAAUUACCUUAACGCCUUUCAAGCAUUUCACUCAGAAAAAAGAAACAACUAUCAAAAUUGUGCAUGACGUCGAUUAAGAUAAGAUACAUGAGUUAAGAAAAGACACGUCCUAUUUGCAUAGUUCAUUUACCAGGUAAAGAAAGUACCUCAUCUCAUAACCGGUUUCCAGCUUCCUUGGAUAAACGGAUGUUCUUUGAGACUGCAUCGCACUCACUGGAGUUGCUUGUUUUUGCUUGUUUCCUCUAGAUGAAAGGAUAGUCAAAUUCAUGAUUGCACACAAGCGAUGUUUGGUCAAUAAGGUUGCUUUAAUCCAACCAAAUCUCUCUCGUAGAUGAGACGCACCCCACACCUCUUCACCUCCAAACCAGGGCCUAAGGUUUUAAAUGUAAACUCAAGGUGAUGACAACUGUCUUGCCAUGUUGUACCAAAGUAUUCACCAGAUACAACGGAUAGCCAAAUGUGCUCUUUCUCAAUUUGCCCUAAUUCUUCGCUGCAGGCGAAGGAAGGACACCAGCCACCUACACCCAAAUUCCCAGGCUUAACUUCGCAACGAAGACCAUGUGCAGUGGUAUGGGUUCCGUAGUUCCAUUUGCCAAGCAGAUUAGGUGGGAGUCGUCGACGGAGAGUGAAACAGCACACAAUGCAUAUCCCAUCCACUCGUUCUUGUACCAGUGUUGAGGGAGCUCCACGCUUACCACAGGCCUCUCACUUCGAUAACUAAACCACUCAGAAAUUUCACUGCCAGGAUAUAUAGCUUCAAAUUUAUUCCCUACGUAAGGGAUUCCCUAUAUAAUACAAAAUUACAAAUAGUGAAGUCAAACAAUUGAUACGACCGUCUUAUAAAUAAGUACAAAAUGCUUUUAGUUUAUUUUAUUUUUUCUGUGUGUGUGAGAGAGAGAGAGAGAGAGAACCUCAAGAAUAAAUCGCAAUAGGAGAACAAUAACUCUGUAGAAUACAAAACCCAACUAUUAGGUAGUAAAUCACCCCUGUUAGUAGCAGUAAGCAAAGAAAGACAUAAUGAAUUCCAAUAACUAGAAGGAAUAGAAUUAAAAGUAACCAUAGGUUCAUAAAUGCAAACCAAUCCGAAUGAUGGGAAAGGCAAACAUUGGAAAGCUCCAUAUGCGUAUCUGUUUGGGCCCAAAAUAAUAGUUUGGGCUGAGGGUAGGAUCACUCUCGGCCCAGGAGGCCGUGCGGCGAAAGGGCCAUGGAUCGUUCAGCUCAUGGGCUUCCAAGCCUAGGUCGGUUAAAUCAGAACGCAAGCCGAGUCCUAGUACAAUAGGGACUCUCGACAGGAUCAGUAAUCCAGAAAGCGAAUCCGGCUCAGUUAAGGACUAGAUUCGUAGUCCUAGUGGAGAUAGGAUUGGUCGAGGUGAUGUUGAUCCAGGGAGGGAAACCUAGUCCGAAUAGGAUUGUAACUCGGGCUCGAGGACCAGCACUAUAAAUAGAGGAAGCUGUGCAUUAAGGAAGGACCCCUGCAAAUCAAUACAAAAUUGCCCUGCGCAAAUUCUCACAACUUGUGAUUUUUCUUUUUCCUUUUUCGCUGACACAUCUUCCGUUGGCAUCAACAGCACUGUGGAAGCAACCGGUGAUAUCUUAAGUCGGCAUAGAUAGCUCUGUCACCGUAGAAUCAAUCGGUCUCGCAGUAUCUACCGUUGGCAUCAACAGCACUGCGGCGAGAACGGUUGAUUACCUAUCCAAGUCUCGGUCGAGAAGGGUUUCUGAACCCUUAUUGGUCGAGGUCAUCUCAUCAGCCUUCUCGGCGAAGUGAGGUGUUACACGUUAUUACAUUCAGCAUAUUGAAAGCCGAAUUUGAUAUUGAACUUCGUAAGAAUAGUAACCUUGUCUUCAGGUUCGAGAGCCCAAGAGGCCGAGACGUGUUCCUUUCUCGGCCGCAAUCGCAAGACGUAGAAGUCAGCCGCGCACCCAACGCAACAUCAACAAAUUUACUCCUCGGCCGAGCUCGGCUGACGAGUUGGCACGCCCCGCAUUCACCGAAGGACGUAGUUAGCUCAUUAAUUACUCGACCUGCGCGCCACGUAGGCUUUGUAGUUUUUAGGGUCAAUAUUUUGGCACGCCCAGUGGGACCCAGUGCUAAACUACGAAGUUCAUGCCAAUUGAAACAUGAUCGGUAAAAAAGAAAACAACUAUGGGAAAGUCGACAGCCGAUUUGCCGAAUCAAAGCCUGGGACAAAGUGUGCUGCAGGCGCAGAAUCCCCUUAGCGCUGUGACACCUGAGUCCAUGAGCGCGACUCGCCGAGAGAGAGAAGUUAAUCUCGGCAGUCAACUACGCGGUCUAGAAAUCCCUAACAGGAACACUUGCGUUCUCACUGAAGGGAUAGUAGAGGAGUGCGACGAGGAUGGUGGUGAAGGAUCUGAUCCACCAACAAGGUCGUUUCUUCGAAAACGACUAGACGAGCAGUCUCGGUCAGUCGAGCAGACGUUUAGUCGAGGCAUUGACAAGCUGCAUGAGGUGAUACUCAGUUCCAAUGAGCGACAAACCAGGCUGCUCGAGAUGUUGGUUAGUAAAGUCAGUGGCAGCAAGCCUUUUGACCUUCUUCAGCAUUCCACCAGGGAACAAUCCGAUACCAAUUGUACCGACCGAGCCUAUUCCUGCUCAGCUCAAACCAAUUGACUUGGAAAAAGAAGGAGGGUCGAAUAGUAGGUCAGACGGAACCGACCAGAGGGUCGAAGCAACACCUGUUGAUAUGACCGAAGUUCAGCGGAUGAUCGACUCGGCCAUGAAGAAAGGGCCGAAGUUUCCUAAGUUUAUUCAUCCGUACUCGGCUUACAUGGAAACGUUUGGAUACCCGAAAGGUUUCAAGAUCCCAGAUUUUAGUCUUUUUGCCGGUGAGUCGUCCCUGUCUUCGUUGGAACACGUGGCUCGUUUCACCGCGCAAUGCGGAGACGUUAAUAGUGAUUUCCAUAAAUUACGGUUGUUCAACUUUUCAUUGACCGGCUCAGCGUUUGCCUGGUAUAUCAAUCUCCCUCCUAAUUCCGUCCAAAACUGGGAGGAGUUGGUAGAGAAAUUCCACGAGCAGUUUUAUCGGCCAGGGAUGGAGAUGUCAGUUUCUUCGCUAGCACGGAUGGCUCAGGCAUCUGAUGAGUCACCAAUGGAUUAUCUUACCAGGUUUAAAUCGGCCAGGAAUUGGUGCCGGGUGUGAUAGGAGCAUUUUUAUGCAACUUAAUUGGCUUGUUCUCAUGCAUUUAUGUUGUUUUUCCUUAGUUAGUUUAGUGUUUAAAGUCAUUUCGUGCAAUUUCAGGUUUUAUUGUCAAAGUAUGCAAAAAUGAGCAUUUUGGAGCUUUUAGGAGCAAAAUUGGGCUUGGAAUGAAGUGCAUAUGCAUGGAGCAAGGAGUUUGGACGAAUUUGAAGUCAAAACAUCAAAUAAACAUGCUAAAAAUCUGGUGAAACAAAUACAAGUUGCAAGAAGGGAUAGGUUUCUAGAAGGAUUGACCAAAAUUCCACUCAAAACCAUGUUCACACCCCAGAAAUUCAUCUUUGCCGUGCAUCCUUGACUCACUUCCACCAGAUUUUUGAGUGGAUGAUUCAACACCUACUCUUUAUUGCUUUUACUUUGCCAUAUUUGCCAUGUUUGCUAGUUGUGUUAUUUGCUUGUUUUUAUGUGAGUCUAUGUUUGAAACAUUGAGGACAAUGUUUGGUUUAAGUGUGGGGGGGUGAACAAAGUGUUUUUGUUGCAAAAUUCGUGGGAUUUUACCACCUAACAUUUCAAAGGUUGUUUUUCAUUGUUUUUUUUAGUGUUUUUAGAAUGUUUUGAUGUGUUUUUAUGUGGCUUUACCAGAAAAUACGAAAAUUCAAGAAAAAAUUAGAAAAAUUUUGAAAAAACCCAAAAAGAGUUGUUUUUGUGUGUUUGUUUGUGUCUUAGGGUACCUUCCAACACAAUGAUGAGGAUUUGGUUUUUAAUUGCAUGACUGUUAAAGAGAGUUAUAAGCAUGGAUGAAAGUUUGAUUUACUCUUGGUUUAUGCUUGGUUGUGGUUAUAACUUAUGAAUUCACAUGCAAUCUUAAAGGAAAAAUCAGUUUUUGUUUGUAACAUGCUUGAAGGAAGCAACUCAAAUUAACACUACAACCUUGUGAGACUUGAGCCUAAACGUUUAUUUGGAGAGUUAUUAAUCUGUGCAUUCUUGUUUUCUAAAGUCGUUGCAUGAUCUCAUUAUUCUUUGCUUGGUUGCUACUUAGAAUGCGUUUCAUCACUUUAGUUCCAAAUGCUAGAACUCAUGCCAAUUUCAUUCAAAACAUGUUAUUGAAUUGCAUAACACAUAACAAGAUGAAGUUGUUUAGUAGUUACCACCAUAGCCAAAAAGCCUUCAUUCCAUACAUUUGUUUUUGUAGGUUUAACCCCGUUGAGCCUUAUUUAGCCUAUAUUGUUUGUUAACCCACGUUAUCCUUACCUAGCCUAGAUUAGGAUCAUCCAUACCCUUGUUCUUAAAGCAUAGUAAGCAUGACGUAAAAUGAAUUCCUUUUGAUUGAGGGUGUGCAGAAAACAAGUGUGGGGGAAGUGUUUUUCAUGAAGAAUUGUGUGCCAUAGGCACGGGUAGAAAGAAAGAAAGAAGAAAAGAAAAAUGUUGUGAAAAGUGAGAAAAAGAGUUGAAAGAGCAUGAAAAUGAGUUCUAAGGUGUGGAUUGUUGAAGAAGGGGUCCAAAACAUUGAAUUUGACCCUAAGUGUUGCAUGAAUUUCCCCUUUGAGUUUAAAAGUUGAUUCUUGCACCCAAAAGUGAAUUCUAAGUGUCAAUUUCAAUGCUUUGCUUACUAUUGUUUUAAGAACGUUUGUUUAUCCUUCACCUUUCUUAGCCAAUAUCCCAAGCCCCGUUACAACCCUCAACUUCUAUCUUGAGUGUUGUGUAUUUCAAUUUGUGGAGUUUGGGAUUGGUAUGAGCAUAUGGUGUCACUGGUUCUCGCGUCUAAGUAGUAGCAUUCUUUUCAUGUGAUCAUAUACAUUCUUAUCAAAUUCAGAAAAAACUUUCCUUGUUAUAACAUAUGUGAGCAUUCGUUUUCAUAUCUACAUCAAUCCUCUCACAUAUAACUAGCAUAGGGUGUGUAGUCAGAAAAUCUGUGCGAAAAUUGAGUGCAUAUCUAGUAAGGAAUUGAGCAAAUUCUCUAAGGCAUGUUGCUACAUUCAAAAUCAUGUUUUAAUUGGUUAGAUGCGAACGAGUACGUAGUGACUAUAAUUAAGUAUGUGCUUAAGUGUAAAGAUGGCUAAAAUCUGUGGGAAUGAUGAUCUUUAACAUGUUAUGUGCAUUGGAAAUCCCUAAGGCAAACGUUGGAAGGUUUAGGUUGUUUUUGUUUGUUUGGUUUCGUUUUGUUUUUCUUUUGUUUCUUUGUUUUGCUCGAGGACUAGCAAAAGCUAAGUGUGGGGGAAUUUGAUAGGAGCAUUUUUAUGCGACUUAAUUGGCUUGUUCUCAUGCAUUUAUGUUGUUUUUCCUUAGUUAGUUUAGUGUUUAAAGUCAUUUUCGUGCAAUUUCAGGUUUUAUUAUCAAAGUAUGCAAAAGGAGCAUUUUGGAGCUUUUAGGAGCAAAAUUGGGCUUGGAAUGAAGUGCAUAUGCAUGGAGCAAGGAGUUUGGACGAAUUUGAAGUCAAAACAUCAAAUAAACAUGCUAAAAAUCUGGUGAAACAAAUACAAGUUGCAAGAAAGGAUAGGUUUCUAGAAGGAUUGACCAAAAUUCCACUCAAAACCAUGUUCACACCCCAGAAAUUCAUCUUUGCCGUGCAUCCUUGACUCACUUCCACCAGAUUUUUGAGUGGAUGAUUCAACACCUAACAUCCACUUCUUGCUGUGCAUUCUUGAUUGUUUUCCCACCAGAAAAUUGAAUUAAACAAGUCCAUCCUCUCCCUAUAAAUACCCAUGGCAGCAACCUUAUUGAGGACAUCCAGAAAUUAACCAUUCUCCAAGCCUUGCCUUGCCUCUCCCUACAUAUCCAAACUCCUUCCCAUCCAUUCCUCCACCACAGCCGUGCCUUCCCACCACCAUCACCACCUUAUGCAGCCACCAUUGGAGGAGAAAGAAGUAGUGCCAUGCAGUCCAAAGGAGGAAGACACCUUGCACAUGCAAUCUGCCAUUAGUGGAGUGUUUGGAGUUCUUUCUUUUCUUGUUUCUGUUUUCAUGUUUAAUUUAACUUGCUUUCCAAUUAUGUUAAACAUGUGGAACUAAUUUCUUUUUAGUUAGAGGUGAAUUUGAAGCCAUGGACAUAUGUUGGUUAUGAUUUGAUUUACUCCAGUUAUGAAUUCAUGAACUUUAAAUGUGGUUUACUUUUCUGUUUUGAUUAAGAACUUGUUUAUGUAUGUAGGUUGAGGGUCGACACUUAAUUUGCAUGCCUAAACUUGAUACUAGGAUAUAAGGGAAUUUCACCUAAUCGUUAUGAACUUAUAUUCAUAAGUAGUAAAGAUCGCUAGUCACGAUUGUGUUAAGUAAACCCUAGGUUGGAUUAACAUGCGUAUUCCAUAGUUAUGAAUGCCUAGUCGAUGUUUAUGAUUUCCGUUGAACUUAAUGAUCUUUGUUGAAUGUCUCUAUCAUGCGUAUUCCAUAGUUAGGGAUUUUGAUGAGGAAUAAUUUGGUUGCGAUGCGUAUUCCAUUCAAUCCAAUGAAUCUAGGGAAAUCGGAAAGUUAAUUUAAGCGGACCUAAUUAACUUGGAGCAUUGUCAUUCAUCGUUUGUUGAAGUCAUAACUGGGAGUCAAAUUGUAUGCAUAUGUUCAUGUGUGGAUAAGGAACCCUCUAACUAGCUUCUCACCAUUCUAUUUAAUCAAAAUCUGUUUUAGUUUGCUUUGAUUUGCAAUUUGUUUAGUUUUAAUUCAAUUUCGUCAAAAAUCAAUCCCCCAUUUAUUUUAAAGUAUUAAAUUAGUUAGAAAUCAAUUUAGUGUUAGGUACUCAAAACUGCCCAGAAAGUGCUUUGAGUCAAGUUAUAGUCCAAAUUCGUCCAAAUUAGUGUUAGGUACUCAAAACUGCCCAGAAAGUGGUUUUAAGGCAGUUUUGAGCCUUUUAGUUGCUGUUUUGAGUUUUUAGUUUGUUUAGGUGUUUUAAACUCUAGUUUUACAUUAAUUAAGUCUAGUUUAGUGUUCUACAUUAUAUUUUUUAUGUUCUUGAGUCAGUUUUACAUUGAUUAGCAUCCCUAGUUAAUCCCCGGUCUAGAACGAUCCCUAUUUGCUCAUAUACUACAAUUGUCAUCCAUAGGGUUUAAUUUGUGUGUCAAGUUAAUUUUCACAUCAGGGUGCCUUUACCCGAAGUCGAAUUUGUCAGGCUUGCUUUGAACAGCCUCAACGUCGAAUACAAAAAGAAAUUCUUGGGGGCGAACUUUCGGGAUAUGUACGAAUUAGCCCAACAUGUCGAACAUUAUGAUUAUUUGCUCCGCGAGGAAAAGACUUCGAAAGCUCCAACUCGGGGGACGAUUUACAAGAAUCCUACUGUCAAUUAUGCAUCAGCCGAGGAUGAAUGUGUUAGUGUGGAUGCAGCUGAGAUAGUGAUCGAUAAGCCAUACGUUUGCAAGGCAUUGACUCAGGUUGAUUCUAGAAAAGCCAAAAGUCCCUCGGCCACUGAAGGAACAUCAAAAUCGUUAAAGGUUUACACUUUUGAUAUUACCAAGGCGGACGCAAUUUUUGACCAACUGUUAUCAGCAAGAAUCAUCAAGCUUCGGCCUGGUCACGACAUUUCUAAGGCCGAAGAACUUAAAGGAAAGGUAUAUUGCAAAUACCACAAUUCGAGCAAACAUACGACAAACAAUUGCGUCGUAUUUCGCGACAACGUCCAAAGCUGGAUUGAUAAUGGCAAACUGAAGUUUCCCGAGAAGAAGAUGAGUGUUGAAACUGAUUCGUUCCCCACGGCAACAGUAAAUAUGGUCGAUGCGUACCUACCCAAGGACAAAGGGAAAGGCAAGGCCGAAGUGGUUGAACGCCUGCGGAAUCAGAAUUCUCGGCCACGGUUCAUGGCCGAUUUUCGUUCAAACAAACCACCCACGGCUUUAACGGGGCCCGCUAUUGUCAAACCUAUGAUGGAUUAUAGCACCGAUGAAGACAGUGGAACGGUGGUUUUGUGCAGGAAAUGUAGAGAAAAGGUCGACAGUGAACCAGAGGAGAAGCCCUCUUCGCAACCUGUGGCCGCAACCCGGCAAAAGGUAGCCAAUAAAGGCCAACAUCAUGGGGUCUUUGAGAGGCUCGGUCCUAAAGUACAGAUGGAAGAGACACCCCCAGUCAGACGGCGCCUCGAUUUUGAUGCUUCAUUCUAUGACGAUGAUUACUAUAAGCGUAAUUCUAGCAGUUCAGAAUCAUUGCGGAGCAAAAAGACCUUCAAGCCUCCCGAGCCUAGAGAUCAACGUUGGUAUACAUAUCAUUCUUCGAGGGGGGUCUACAUCGCGUUGUCCAAAUCUCAGAAACACCGGCAUCAAAGGAUAGAUUGCAUGGCCCGUCGACGAGCAGCCCAAGAAACUUUGGCCCCGAAGUGGCGGUCGAAGAACAUAGUUGCCACUGAUGAUGAGCGACCACCUCCAGCAAUUAUGACAGAGUUGGCUCAAGGGAAACGGCUGGUCGACCAAGAUGUCGAGACCACGUUUGAAGAGGCUGAUAAAUGGAUCAAACUUCUUCUUCGACCAGGGGAGAUGAAGGCACGCCUCGAGCAUUUCAAGCAAGAGGCCGAAAGAAAAUUUCCUCCGCCAGCUAUACAAGAACCUUUGAUCAGAAUUCGACGGAAUUUGCAUCCACCAUUUCUUGGGGAGGCUUUAGAAUAUAUGCGAGAAUUUCAUAAGAAACAUUCGGCCAACGAUCUGUAUGGUUUGCCGAAGGCAUGCCAGGACACCAUUGAUCUAGUCCUGACUUGUCCGGAUGCCGAGCGAAUCAUUCAGAAGACCUCAGAUCCAGGAUUGAAAGUAAGGUUCUAGCAUAUACGAAAAGCUCGUGUCCUUGGAUUUGAAGUUGACCCGUACACCGAUAUCGAUGCAGCCGACCUUCCUUUCUCAACGGAUGACCUUCAGUAUUUACGAUAUCACUUCGAAGUAUUUUCAGCUGUUUCUCUCUUCGGCCUUACGGCCGAUGAAAUCGCACGUGUUGCACGUUUCGACGCUUAUCUCAACACCAGGGAUGCCCGAUUACAAUACCAAGAGCAGGUUCAGGUUCUGAUCCCAAGUGCACCGUCAAUCUCAACCUUACCUGAGGCGGUCACGCAGGACCAACAAAUCGUCGAUGCAGCACCGCCGAAUGAAGCCAUCAAAGAAGGAACAGAAGCGUCUCGUUGUCCGACUCUGACGGCAACGGAGUCCGUAAUCGCUGACCAACCGAGCGAGGAGGGUAUUGACCCAAUGGGCCCGUCAGUCCUGGAUAAUAUGGAAAUCAGUAUGGUCCAUGUGUUACCUGCCAAUUUUCAAUCAAGCACGGCUCAACCAAAUUUCCUCGACGAAGAUGUGGUGGCCGAAGAGGCCGGCCAUGUUGAUUUUGUAUUUGUUGCUGAAGUUGAGUUAGCAACAAAAGCUGACAAUCUAAAGGCGGCUUUGGCUGAAUUGUUUCCUCGUUCAUCAUCGGCCAAACUUCGCCAUUUAAAGCCUUUGUAUGUGACGGCCCAUAUCGAGGGGUAUCCAGUUUCUAAAGUUUUCGUCGACUGUGGAGCUACCGUCAAUAUCAUGCCUCUGAACAUCAUGAAGGCCUUACGUCGCUCGACUGACGAGCUUAUUCCUUCAGGGAUCACAAUGAGUAGUUUUGUCGGCGACAAAUCCCAAACCAAAGGUGUGCUUCCGUUAACUGUAAACAUUGCCGGUCGCACCGCCUUUUUCGUGGUUGAUUCCAGAACCGAGUAUAAUGCACUGCUCGGUCGAGACUGGAUUCAUCAAACCAACUGUAUUCCUUCAUCAUUGUAUCAAGUGCUUGUCUUUUGGGACGGUAACUCGGUCACUGUUCACCCGGCCGAUAGCCAGCCUUUCGAAGCUAACAUGAUCCAAGCACGGUAUUAUAAUGACCAUGUCGGCUACAUUACAUUGCAAGGCUUCAAUGAAGAAGGACGACCGACUCGGAUUUCGGUUCAUAAAGCUAUCGAGGUUGGCGCCGAAACUGUCCAGCAGGAUUCGGCGAGACUCGGAUUAGCCAAUUUCCUCCCCGAAGCUGAUGUUUGACACCGAUCGGGAAACACGUAGGGCCGCGGUUUCAUCUACUAUGGAACGACUGCUGGCCCAUUGGUAUACUAUAUCCAAACAACCAAAUUCGGGCGUUAACCUCGUCGAGUUCCUUGCCGAAGAAGAUAAUGGUCCUGUUUUGUCUCUUGAUAAAAUUCAAGCCGCCCCGGCCGAACUCGAAGAUCAUCGGCCCCAAGUUAAGGACCCCUUGGAAGAGAUUAAUGUUGGGACGGCCGAUGAUCCACGACCUUUGUUUGUUAGUGCGUUACUUCCCCAACAAAUGAAUGACGAGUUUCGUGCCUUGCUUACGGAGUUCAAAGAUUGUUUUGCUUGGAGCUAUCAUGAAAUGCCCGGCUUAGAGCGCACUCUGGUCGAGCAUGAAUUACAUAUUAAGCCCGGAUGCAAACCUUUCCGUCAGCCACCUCGUCGAUUCUCGACCGAAGUGCAACUCGGCAUCAAGGACGAAUUGGUUCGGCUUUUGAAAGCCGGGUUCAUUCGGACAGCUCGAUAUGUUGAAUGGUUGGCAAAUAUCGUGCCUGUUUUAAAGAAAAAUGGUGCCCUACACAUCUGUAUCGAUUUCAGAAAUCUGAAUCUGGCAACUCCCAAAGAUGAGUAUCCAAUGCCGAUCUCAGACCUCUUGAUCGAUGCUGCGGUGAGUCAUGCAAUCUUAUCCUUUAUGGAUGGACACGCCGGAUACAACCAAAUAUUCAUUGCCGAAGCCGAUGUGCACAAAACUGCUUUCCGUUGCCCGGGGGCACUCGGGACUUACGAAUGGGUUGUUAUGCCGUUCGGCCUCAAGAAUAACGCCGCCACAUACCAACGGGCGAUGAAUACCAUCUUCCAUGAUUUAAUUGGAACCAUCGUCGAAGUUUAAAUCGACGAUGUUGUCAUCAAAUCUAAACGCCGACAGACACAUCUGGACGAUCUCCGACAGGCUUUCUUCCGCAUGCGUUGGCACAACCUCAAGAUGAAUCCCGCCAAGUGUGCUUUCGACGUAUCGGCCGGAAAUUUUCUUGGCUUCCUCGUGCAUCACCGUGGGAUUGAAGUCGAUGAGAAUAAGGCCCGCGCAAUCAUCAAUGCCCCACCCCCAACAACGAAGAAACAACUCCAGUCCUUACUCGGCCAGAUCAAUUUCCUCCGCCAAUUUAUUGCCAACUCUGCAGGUAAAAUGAAAGCGUUCUCCACGCUUUUGAAACUCAAGGACUCCGAUAAAUUUGUGUGGAACGAUGAGCAUCAGGCGGCGUUUAUGCAAAUCAAAGUCUCCCUCAUGAACCCACAUGUCCUGGUUCCUCCUCGGCGCGGUAAGCCUCUUAAGCUCUACAUCUCGGCGGUCGAAGAGUCCAUCGGCUGCCUCUUUGCACAAGACAGCGACGCCGGCCGAGAACAGGCUAUUUUUUAUCUCAACCGCAAUCUCAGUCAACCGGAGAUCAAUUAUCCAGCCGUCGAGAAGCUGUGUCUGGCCGUGUUUUUCGCCGCUUCCAAGCUUCGGCAUUAUAUGCUCCCAUCGGUCACCCAAGUUAUUGCUCAGACCGACGUCAUCCGCUACAUGCUCACCCGACCAAUCGUAAAAGGCCGCAUUGGGAAAUGGACCAUGGCACUAUCCGAAUUUAGCUUGCAGUAUGUAGCCCAGAAAACUGUCAAGGGCCAGGCACUGGCUGAUUUCCUUGCUCAACAUCCUUCCCCAUACGGGUGUGGGGGCAACGACGUUGAAAUCGGCAUGGUUCAGACGCGCAACAACCACUGGACGAUGUACUUUGACGGCUCCAGUACGUCAUCUUCGGCGGGUGUGGGAAUUGUCAUUCAAUCCCCGAACCACGAUCGCUGGUUAUUUUCGCUUAAGUUGGAUUUCGAAUGCACCAACAAUCAGGCCGAAUACGAAGCCCUAAUUGUCGGCCUUGGAAUCCUUCAUGACCUGCGGGCGACCCGCGCCCUCGUCCUCGGCAACUCCGAACUUGUGAUUAACCAACUCAAUGGUUCUUUUCGUUGCAUGAGUUGUACCCUGGCGCCUUACCACACGAUCGCCAGCUAUUUGGCCAAGUCCUUCGACGGUAUUACAUUUAAACAUAUUUCCCGGAGUCAUAAUACCGACGCAGACGAAUUGGCUCAAAUUGCCUUCGGCGCACAUCUCUUGGGGGGCAAGCUAGGCCGAGAAAUACCCAUGUUGUGACAGCUAUACCCAGCCUUGGUUAACCAACAAGUCCUCCAGCGCGACAACGUGAUACGUACAAGAGUCAUGUCCUUACCUUCGUUGUUAGAUCGAGACGACCCUGUGGAGAUUUGCACGACCGAGGCAAUACCAGAUGAUUGGAGAAAGCCCAUUAUGCAGUACCUCGACAAUCCCAAUGGUAAAUAUGAUCGCAAGACAAGAGUUCACACCACGAACUAUGUCAUGUAUCAGAACGAGUUAUACCGAAAAGGCGAAGAUGAUUUAUUAUUACUAUGCCUCGGCCCCCAAGAGAGUGCUCAGGCGAUUACAAAAGUCCAUGAAGGGAUAUGCGGAGCUCAUCAAUCUGGACGGAAAAUGCGAUGGCUACUUCGACGGCACGACUAUUUUUGGCCAAGGAUACUAAAGGAUUGUAUCGAGUUUGCACAAGGAUGUGUACAAUGCCAAAUCCACGGGCCUAUACAAAGGGUCCCGGCCGAAUCUUUGCAUUCGGUCAUAAAGCCAUGGCCAUUUAAAGGAUGGGCCAUGGACGUAAUCGGCAAAAUCACGCCGUCUUCUGGAGCUGCUAAGCACGCAUGGGUAAUAGUCGCAACCGAUUACUUUACUAAGUGGGUCGAAGCGAAAUCAUAUGUCGAACUAACAUCUAAAGAAGUUUGAGAUUUCGUGGAGGAACACAUCGUGACCAGAUUUGGUGUACCAGAAAUGAUCAUAACUGACAAUGGAACAAUCUUCACAGCCGAGAGGUUUAAAGAGUAUACGGCAAAUUUAAAAAUUCAGCUUGAACAGUCUACACCGUAUUAUCCACAGGCGAAUGGGCAGGCCGAGGCAAGUAAUAAAGUGUUGAUCGGCAUCCUUGAAAAAAUGAUAAAAGAAAGGCCUGGCAUGUGGCAUUUGAAGUUGAACGAGGCAUUAUGGGCAUACCGAACGACGCCCCGGUCGGCGACCACGACAACCCCAUACGCAUUAACCUACAGACACGAUGCAAUGUUACCAGUCGAGUUAAGCAUAAAUUCGUUGCGAUUAAUUGAACAAAGUAGUUUGUUUAGCGCCGAAUACAAUCAGUCCAUGAGACAAGAAUUAGAAGAUUUGGAAGAAGUGCGACUUGACGCUUAUAACUUACUGGUGGCACAGAAACGGAUUGCCGAACGAGCAUACAAUCAAAAGGUGCGACGGAAAACAUUCGGUGAAGGCGAAUUGGUUUGGCAAACGGUGUUACCCGUAGGACUAAAAGACCCUAGGUUCGGCAAGUGGUCGCCAAAUUGGGAAGGACCGUUCGUUGUACAUAAGGUAUACGAAAAAGGGGCGUAUCAUCUUCAAGACCGGACCGGUUCAGUUCACAAAUUACCAAUCAACGGGAAGUUUUUUAAAAAGUACUACCCGGUAACGUGGGAAAUGUGAGAAUAAACAAAACCAUCUCAUUAAGAUUGAUGAGCAUGUACAAGCUAAGUAAGUCAUUCAGGUUAAAACUAAGUACAUUCAAGGGGAAGAAGGUAAGAGGGUGCCGAGAAGGGCCUUCAAUUCCAACCACCGCACCUCGGCCAUGAUAACUUCAGCUUGCCGAUUCUUCUUGUCCAGCUUCAACCGCUCGACCCGCUUUGUUGUCGCUGCGUACUCAGUUAGGCGAUCCUUUCCACCCGACUCGAAGUCUCUAGCAAGCUCGGACGCGAUGGCCGAUCGACGUUUUGCUAGUUCAGCCAUCUGACGGUCGAGCUCGGCUAAUACUUCUCCUUUUGCCCUUAGAGCGUCGAUUUUCGGACGGAGAGUGUCUUGAACGGCCGUGGCAGCUUGCAGGUCCUGUUUGGCCUUUAGAGCGGUCUGGAAGACACUAAAUGUCUCCUGAACCCGCUCCAAAGCAGACGAUGCCCAAACGAUGGCAUUUCCGCUCAGGCGACCGUCGGCCCCAAGAUCGUUCAGACACACGCCAAGCAGAUCAAGACCGUUGCGCUCGAGUACUUGCGGUGCUGAAAGCGACAGAACUUCUCGCAACUGGGUUAGAGCGGUUGGAUCGGCAGCCUCAAUCGGAGCAGCCGAAGGCCCGGACUCGGCAGUUGUGCUGGAGAUGAGGGCUUUGAAUUCGACCUCCCACGAAGCAUGGACAUAUAAAUCAGUUUAGGCUUAAAGGAAGGCAGUGCAAGAAUAGCAAGAAGGUUUCAUUUUUUAACCUGCCGAGAGGAGACCUCGGCCAUGUCCCCAAGAUCGUUGCUCGAACCUAAAGAACUCAACGGCCGAGCCCAGUGUCUCAGAUUGCUUCUCAGUUCACGCGGUCGAUGGAGGUUAUCUACGUUUGAUGGCCACUGAGGCGGCCAAGAAAUAUAGAUAACGCCCUUCGGCGCGUAGAAUUGUCGGUGAAAAGAAUGUACAGGCACCUGACAUUUAGUAUUUUCCUCGUUUAGAAUUCUAAAGCGGAAAAGCAAUCAAGGAAAGACGGUGGAAGAUACUUACGAAGGCCGAAGUAGCCUCCUGCGGAGGAAUGUGGAAGCCCUGGUCUUGAGGAUGAACGAGCGAUUCCGCCGUUGCCUCGGGUUCCUCGACUGGUCGUUUGCCACGGUCGGCUGUGGAGGGGCCGACCGGGACAGCUGCUUCUGAGGAAGGAACACCCUGGUCCUAAGAAGGAGCAAGGGGUUCGGACACCGCCGUUGGUUCCUCGACCGGACGCUUGUCACGAUCGACCGUGGAGGGGCCGGCUUGAACUGCCAUCUCGGACACUGGAGGAGGUUGUCGGCGAGUAUGAGGACGAUGUGCCAGCGGGACCUCGUCGCUCCCCUCACUCUCUUUCAGAACGAAGACCGAGGGCUUUGGAUUUUUGGGAGAGGUGCCCUCGGUCGCAGAAACCGCCUUCUGUGGGACAGGUGCCUCCUCGACGGAGGGAGGCAUGACUGGUGUGCCGGCCCCAGAGACAGGCUGCGCUUGAACUAUCUCUGCGACCGAAGCUGGCGGUUUCUCGACCAAGGAAUGGCCGACGGCGGGAGAAGGGGAAGCACUGGGAGUCGUCAUCCCCGUAGUAUGACUGGAGAUGACGUGGAUGUCUCGUGCACCUUUCUUCGCCAGUGUUUUUACCCGCUUGCAGGCGGGGGAGACUCGACAGCCGGCUCGACCUCUGGGCAAGGCCGUUUGAUCAGCACGGCCCGACCAGCAGUUUUGUUCUUCUUGGCCACGACCGAUUUUUUCUCGGCCGUAGCAGCGGCAACUGCAUCCGUUUUUCUUGAAGGCCGACUACCUGAGAAGAUAAAAGCAAUUCAGCAAGGCAAAUCAGUAUGCAGAGUUGAAAGAAAAGAGGAGAAAUGAACAAUUACCUUGAGAUUGGGGGGCCGAGGCCUUCUUCGGUCGGUCACCGAAGAGUUUGUUCAGCACCUCUUCGACCGGAGCACCAAAGAACUCUUGGGUCUAAUUUUCCCACCAUUCACCGAAGGUGUCGGUGCAAAGGGUUUCUGGGGUGGCCGGUCGAAGGCGGAAUUUUUUGCAGUACUCUUGGAACUCCCUCGCGACAGUUUUACAUUCCUUCUCCGAGGAACGAGGUUCACGUCCACGGCUUAGGACUGUUCGGGAGGAGAGAAGGGGAACAGGGCAGCCCUGAAGAUAGCCGAGCUGUCGGGCAAGGAAGUUCGGAUGGUACACUUCCCAACCCGACCAUUUCCCAUCGCAGCCAAGAGGGAGGUCGCGAGCGAGCACAAACGACCCCCAAGUCUGACGAAGCUCGGCAUCCUCCUCCGCGCCCCACACAGAGGUAGGUAGUCUGAUGGAGGAAGGAUAGUCCCGAUGACGACAUAUCAAGAAUUCAUCGUUGGAGAGAUCAUCAAGAGCGAAGAGGUACCGAAAUACCUCUUCGGCUUGGUGAGGAGGUGUCGGUCGGGAGGCCAGCUGAGGUCCAAGAGCCUCCGUUGGCGAGAAGUCAGCUAUGGCCGGCCGAAGGGAGGCGAAGUACACUUGUAACCAGAGCUGGAAGACCCAGAGGGGACCAUUCUGGUGUGGGUCGACCUUGUGGAGGGUCGUCUCGGCCAGGCAACGGAAGAGAUGGGCGAGAAUGUUGGAACUCAGUGCCAGGACGUGACCACUAGCCAGGGCUUCGGCUACCAGCAUGUUCUCGACCAAACACUUGUUCGACUUGGUACAACAAAUGUAUUUGUUGUACCAAUAGAAGAGGAAGGCUUCAUGCUCUUCCUCUCGCAGGUCCUCUUCUCAUCGGCCGGCGAAAUGAAGAUAGAGGGUGUUGUAAUUAAAGAAGUUCUUGUGGAGCUUCUGAAUGUCUUCCUUCGACGGGAUUUGACCGUCACGGUUCAAGGUCUCGAAGGCUCGUCGAUCGAAAAGCGUCUUCAGAUCAAUAUUCGAUGGGUGCCCAGAGAGGGCCGCGUCGAUAGGGAUCCCGGUUGCCGAAGUCCCCAGAAUGGCGGUGACAUCAAGGAUGGUAGGACCGAGGGGACCAAGAGGAAGAACCAGGGUGUUGGUGGCCGAGCACCAGAAGCACAAGGCGGCUAGGAGAAGCUCCUUGUCGAGAAUGACAUCCAUUGACGAGAGAAUGAUGGCGUCGUAAAUGCCGAGGGCUCUCCAUUGCUCGCCGAAGAACCAUUCCAGGCUGCCCAGGUUGUGGUCGUCGAGGGCCAGGAGCCUUGGGGUUUCGCCGCAUCCCAUCUUGACCAUUCAAACCCUUGGAACAAGGGUGUUAGGCAGUGCUCCUGGAGAAGGCCAGUAAUGGUCGACGGUAUUGCAGCCUUGAAGAGAGGACCCAAGAUUUGGUGGACAGUGCUCAUGUCACUUUCAAACCGUAUGGUUUUGAUCGAGCUCCGAUCAAGGAUUUUCUGGUGCUGUUCACAUUCCCUGGAAAGCUUGGAGAUGAAAGACGCCAUUAUAGGAAGGAAGCACGGCGUAAAAGGUUUUCUGGGUUGGGGGAUUUGAAGAUGAAGACCUGGAACAAGAAAUGUGCUGGAGAAGAAGGGCAAGAGAUUUCAGAAAAUUUUGAGAGCAUAAAGUGCAAAUGAGAGAAUUCGGUAUUUAUAGAGUUGUGGAGGGAAGAGCAAUCGUUCGAAAUUCAAAACAAAGGGCAAAAUCAACCGAAGGAAUCGUUGAUCAUGAUGAACAUUUGGGAAAUGCAGUUGAGAAGACCGAAGGUUUCAGGUUUUGGGGGCGCACGAUCGCGUGUGAUGGCGAAAUUAAUGGCAGAAGACAUUUCGACGCUUGCACGAUGACAGGUGGACUCACGGAUUGAGAAAGCGGCUCGUGAAUUGAGGUAAUGGUUAAGUUGACGGUUCAGGUAGCCGCACGCCUUAGACGUCAUCAUUGGGGUUGGCCGUGUUGGAGAACGCCACGUGGCGAGUUUGGUUAGCAGGAUCAAGAUCGUGCAAUCAUGUUCAAUAAAUGCGCCUUGGAACUUGGGCAUUAGGGUUCUGAGUGGUAGAUUCGCUUCUUCAAGGCCGAAACUCGGCCAAAGAAUUCAGGCCGAGGACCUCAGAAGCGAGGGGGCAAUGUUUGGGCCCAAAAUAAUAGUUUGGGCCGAGGGUAGGAUCACUCUCGGCUCAAGAGGCCGUGCGGCGAAAGGGCCAUGGAUCGUUCAGCUCAUGGGCUUCCAAGCCUAGGUUGGUUAAAUCAGAACGCAAGCCGAGUCCUAGUACAAUAGGGACUCUCGACAGGAUCAGUAAUCCAGAAAGAGAAUCCAGCUCAGUUAAGGACUAGAUUCGUAGUCCUAGUGGAGAUAGGAUUGGUCGAGGUGAUGUUGAUCUAGGGAGGGAAACCUAGUCCGAAUAGGAUUGUAACUCGGGCUCGAGGACCAGCGCUAUAAAUAGGGGAAGUUGUGCAUUAACGAAGGACCCCUGCAAAUCAAUACAAAAUUGCCCUUCGCAAAUUCUCACAACUUGUGAUUUUUCUUUUUCCUUUUUCGCUGACACAUCUUCCGUUGGCAUCAACAGCACUGUGGAAGCAACCGGUGAUAUCUUAAGUCGGCAUAGAUAGCUCUGUCACCGUAGAAUCAAUCGGUCUCGCAGUAUCUUCCGUUGGCAUCAACAGCACUGCGGUGAGAACGGUUGAUUACCUAUCCAAGUCUCGGUCGAGAAGGGUUUCUGAACCCUUAUUGGUCAAGGUUAUCUCAUCAGCCUUCUCGGCGAAGUGAGGUGUUACACGUUAUUACGUUCGGCAUAUUGAAAGCCGAAUUUGAUAUUGAACUUCGUAAGAAUAGUAACCUUGUCUUCAGGUUCAAGAGCCCAAGAGGCCGAGACGUGUUCCUUUCUCGACCGCAAUCGCAAGACGCAGAAGUCAGCCGCGCACCCAACGCAACAUCAACAAAUUUACUCCUCGGUCGAGCUCGGCCGACGAGUUGGCAAGCCCCGCAUUCACCGAAUGACGUAGUUAGCUCAUUAAUUACUCGGCCUGCGUGCCACAUAGGCUUUGUAGUUUUUAGGGUCAACAGUAUCAGAAUUAACAAUACCGCGAAAUAUUCCAGUAAACUAGCUUCAUUUGGAGGUUGAAAUAACUUGUCUUCCUGCCCUAGUAACAUAGGGUUCUUCUUGCCUAUCUGCGUUAGCUAAGCUUUCCCAUAACUGUAGGAUUACAUCAAGGCUCAUCCUUAAGUCCUUACCUUUUUGCGUUGGUAAUGGAUGACUUAACAGGACAUAUUCAAGAUGAUAUUCCUUGGUGUAUGUUUCGCAAACGAUAUAGUGUUGAUAGAUGAAACUCAGGAAGGGGUAAAUGCAAAGCUUAACCUUUGGAGAGAAGUGUUGGAAUCUAAAGGUCUUCGCCAAAGCCGAUCAAAGACAGAAUAUAUGGAGUGCAAGUUCAGUGCAAAUGGAGGCCAAAACGAAUUAGGGGUGAGGAUCGGAGAUCAAGAAAUACCAAAGAGCGACCGUUUUCGUUACCUAGGAUCUAUCUUGCAAAAGAACGGAGAAUUAGAUGGAGAUCUCAACCAUAGAAUACAAGCUGGAUGGAUGAAGUGGAAGAGUGCAUCCGGCGUGUUGUGUGACCGCCGUAUGCCACUGAAGCUCAAGGGAAAAUUUUAUAGGACGGCAAUAAGGUCGGCGAUGCUGUAUGGCACAGAAUGUUGGGCAGUGAAGCAUCAACACGUACACAAAAUGGGUGUAGUGGAGAUGGGGAUGCUUCGUUGGAUGUGUGGGCACACGAGAAAGGAUAAGAUUAGGAAUGAGGAUAUCCGGGGUAAAGUAGGAGUAGCUGAAAUUGAAGGAAAGAUGAGAGAAAAUCGGUUACGAUGGUUUGGACAUGUGCAAAGAAGGCCUACUGACGCUCCGAUUAGAAGAUACGACUAUGGGACAAAGGUUCAGGGCCGAAGGGGUAGAGGAAGACCUAGGAAAACUUUGGAAGAGACCCUAAGAAAAGACUUAGAGUACUUGGAUCUAACGGAGGACAUGACAAAUGACAGAACAUAAUGGCGUUCUAAGAUUCAUAUAGCCGAUCCCACUCAAUGACUUGGAUUUUCCAAGUCUCCAACCGAGAAGUUUUCCUCACUCGGGAAAUUAAGGGAACACUACCUCAACCUACAUGCUCCACUCACAAAGCUUCAACAUGCAAGUUUUAACAAAAGAAAAUUCAAAGAACUUAGCGAAGAAAGCUUUGGUGUAUUUAACACAAUACGUUGAAAUGAAGGAAAACUUAUUUAUUGAUAUCCCCGAUAAGUUACAAAUAUGUACAUAUACAUGAGUCAAAAUAAACAAACAAGAGGGAGCCUUCACAAAGGUUGUUUAGGAGAAGUCUCAGCAGUCGGUAGAGCCCCAGAAAGAGAAGGCACCGGAGGGGGAUCAUUCGGAGCCUCAGUACUGGACAGAACCCUAGAAGGAUGAGGCAUCAGAGGUUGAUCAUUUGGAGCUUCAUUACGCGGUACAACCCUAGAAGACGAAGGCAAUAAAUGCCUUUGGAACAAACCCACAAAUCUCUGAUGAUCAAGUAAAACCUGACCAUCAGAUUCCUUCAUUACGCGCCAUAUGUUGUCUGGAGAAGGCGGGGCUGCCUCUUCAACAAGGUUCAAGUCAAAACGACAGUCGGAGGGGCCAGACAUUUUCAAAGGUGUUGAAGAGAGAAGAGGUCGGACAAAGCAAGAUCUUAGAAGUGCAAGAAUGGAACUUCUACUGGUGGAGAUUCAAGUGUGUUUUGGAACUUAAUGCCAGCCCUAUAAAAAUCUGCACUCGACGAAGCUUCAAAAAUCGAAGAGGCGUCUGCUCAGAAAUCGAAGAGGCGUUUGCUUUCUCAAAAGAUGGGCUGCUCAAAGACCACGAAGGCCGAUCUCAGAAAUCGAAGAGGCUUGCUUUCUCAAAAGCUGGGCUGCUCAGAGACCACGAGGGCCGAUCUCAGAAAUCGAAGAGGCACAUACUUUUCCAGCCUUGUCAGCACUUGUCACACGCACACUCAGCUUUGCGGAAAUUAUGAGCAUUCUGUCGAAGAUUUCUGGUGAAGUAGAAAUCACAUGAAUCGUACUGUUUAAUCACCCACUUCCCACACGCAACAGUAGCUCAUGGGUACCACAGAUAACUUUGCCAAAGUUCUCUGACAAAGUUGAGACACGUGAAGCUUGCAGCUCCCACUACCUUGCUCUGACCAAGAAGGGUAAAAGAAUAGCAAAGAAACAACACUAACAAAGUUUAGACACGUAAAUUUUCAAGGUCUAGCUACCAUAUUAUUACCCACAAGGGUAAAGGAACAGUACCACUGUUGGAUAAUUGGAAGGUCCCGGUGUGUCAACCUCUGUACUUCGUGGCAAGGUAGACUAGCAAACAUGCCCAACCUUUACUCACAUUCGAGAAAAUACUCCCAACAAGAUUGCUUGCUCCAAAAUUGAAGAGGCACCGUCUUCCAAAUCUCGAGAGCCAGACUCCCAACAUGAUUACUUUCUCAAAAUCGAAGAGAGGGUAAAGGAACAGUACCACUGCUGGAUAAUUGGAAAGUCCCUGUGUGUCAACCUCUGUGCUUCGUGGCAAGGUAGACUAGCAAACAUGCCCAACCUUUACUCACAUUCGAGAAAACACUCCCAACAAGAUUGCUUGCUCCAAAAUCGAAGAGGCACCGCCCUCCGAAUCUCGAGAGCCAGACUCCCAACAUGAUUACUUUCUCAAAAUCGAAGAGAGGGUAAAGGAUCAGUACCACUGCUGGAUAAUUGGAAAGUCCCUGUGUGUCAACCUCUGUGCUUCGUGGCAAUGUAGACUAGCAAACUUGCCCAACCUUUACUCACAUUCAAGAAAACACUCCCAACAAGAUUGCUUGCUCCAAAAUCGAAGAGGCACCGCCCUCCAAAUCUCGAGAGCCAGACUCCCAACAUGAUUACUUUCUGAAAAAUCGAAGAGACGCCGCUCUCCGAAUCUCGAGAGCCAGACCCCCAGCAGGAUUGCUUUCUCAAAAAAAUCGAAGAGGCAUCGUUCUCCGAAUCUCGAGAGCCAGAUCCCCGACAGGAUUGCUUGUUCGAAAACCGAAGAGGCACCACUUUCCCAACUUCAAGAGCUGAAUCUCCUUGGAUAAAGCUUGUCUGUAAUCUUCACAUGCAACAUCAGCUUUCCAGAUACCACAUACCACUUUUUCAAAGUGCUCUGACAGAGUUAAAACAUGUGAAGCUGGCAGCUCCCACUACCGUGCUAUGACCAAGCAGGGUAAAGGAAUAGCAUUAUUACUUGAUGUUAGGGAAACUUCUAUAUAUGUCGACCUUCAUCCCCAACGGACAGGCAGACCUGUAAAAAUGCUCAACCCUUCCUCUUAUCUGAAAGGGACGAAGCCUUUCGAAAUAUUCAGCUUUCUUUCCCCCCGAUAAUACCUCUGCAAACAAGCUAUACUAGAGCAAGAAUAUCUCAUAUCAUCAGGGUUAAAAGCAAGAGUAUCCCAUAUCAUGCUUUUUCCCUGUCUUUUCCUUUGGCCUUGUUCUUACCUGCAAGACAAUGAGAAAGAGAGCAAUCAGUCAGCACUUGGAAUCAAGCUUCCAGCCAGGAACUGACUGCCUGGAACCCCUUACCUGAGUACUUACCUGGCAUUGCUCUCGAGUACUCAUCUUCAACAUCUUAUGCUUCCAGGGAAGAUACCGCAUCUGCCUGAGGAACAGAUAGGGCAAGUGAGAAGGAUACAAAGAAGCAUGUGGAGACAAGCGUAACAGCACACGUGCCGAUACAUCCACUACUCUGUCAAAAGCAAAAGUAUCCCAUAUCAGCAGGGUCGAACGUACUCUAGAUUUGAUGGACUUGUUUUUACCCUCAAAUUCUUCAGUCGGCCUUAUACUCUGGAGGAAACCAGAAAACCCUCCAGCCCAGUUCAAGAAUAAGCAUGUGGAAAGUUAUUUAUUCAAAAGCAAAAGUAUCCCAUAUCAUCUCUUCUCAUUUUUCUUCUCUUUAUCCUUCAUGCUGCCUGCAAGAUAGGGAGAAUGUGAACAAUCAGCCAGAGCUCUGGUUGCUUACCUUGUCUGUCACCUCUUUCAACAGAUCCCCUAGCUCGGCGACUUGGGGGACUCCUACUACAUGGUUUGUAUCGCGCUUGAUCAAGCCUGAAAUUGAUACAUUACCUUGUGCAUCUCCACCAGUUAAAGAUACCACCCCUGGAUGGAGGAAGAGUACUUCCAGAGAAGAUGCCACAUCUACCUAUGAGACAGAUAAGGCAAGUCAAGACGAUACCACACUCCGGUACUUAGAAGUUUCGUGAUUACGAGAUCAUUCUCCCAAAAUAUUUCCUAAUGUCAUUUGUACUAAAUCAUUCACUUGUACUCACUAAAGGAGAGCUUGAACCUAUGUACUUGUGUAAACCCUUCACAAUUAAUGAGAACUCCUCUAUUCCGUGGACGUAGCCAAUCUGGGUGAACCACGUACAUCUUGUGUUUGCUUCCCUAUCUCUAUCCAUUUAUAUACUUAUCCACACUAAUGACUGGAGCAAUCUAGCGAAGAUCACAAAAAGCGACCGUUUUCGCUACCUAGGAUCUAUCUUGCAAGAGAACGGAGAAUUAGAUGGAGAUCUCAACCAUAGAAUACAAGCUGGAUGGAUGAAGUGUAAAAGUGCAUCCGGCGUGUUGUGUGACCGUCGUAGGCCACUGAAGCUCAAGGGAAAAUUUUAUAGGACGGCAAUAAGGCCAGCGAUGUUGUAUGGCACAGAAUUGUUGGGGUGUGAAGCAUCAACACGUACACAAAAUGGGGUGUGGCGGAGAUGAGGAUGCUUCGUGGGAUGUGUGGGCACACGAGAAAGGAUAAGAUUGGGAAUGAGGAUAUCCGAGGUAAAGUAGGAGUAGUCGAAAUUGAAGGAAAUAUGAGAGAAAAUCAGUUCCGGUGGUUUGGACAUGUGGCAAAGAAGGCCUAAGACUCUGACGCCCGGUUCGAAAAUGUGACUAGGGGACAGAGGUUCAGGGCCGAAGGGGUAAAGGAAAAGACCUAGGAAAAAACUUUGGAAAGAGACCCUAAGAAAAGACUUGAGUACUUGGAUCUAACGGAGGACAUGACACAAAACCGAGCGCAAUGGCGUUCUAGGAUUCAUAUAGCCGACCCCACUUAGUGGGAAAAGGCUUUGUUGUUGUUUGUUUGUUUGUUGAGAUUUACUAAGAACGAGAGUAAAGUCAUUGGAUCCUACAUGCAUCCACAACAUUGACCUCUUUCGUCGUGCCAAAACUAGGUGGGACAUCCUCAUCAUCAUCAUAUUCAACAUACGUAUUACCUUUUCCGAUGUAGUUUUGAAGCCAAAACCGAAAUGAAACCAAACCAUUUGGUUUGGUUCGGUGCCGUUUCAAACGGUUUUGGUUCGGUUUUAGAAAAGAAAAAAAUUUACAAUUUAAAAUUUAUACCUAUAUACGCAUAACACGGUCUCAUUUUUCACACAAUAUAUUAAUUAAUCAACCCAUAUGAGAAUUCUUUUCUUUACUGCUCUCUCUAUUCUCUAAUGUACAUUUGAUCACAACAAGAAAAUGGUACGGGAGAAUGAUAUAUAAACAACUAGCUUAGCAUAGCUAGCUAAUUGCACGAAUGAUGGACUCUGUGACUGAGCAGGAAAAAGCACCCAAAUGGAGUGAUGUGGCUAGGGAUGGGCAAAAUACCAUGGAUUUGGGUAACCGCGGUUACCCAUCCAUUUAAAGUUCACGGUUACGGUUAUGGGUAACCGUUUAGACGAACAAACGGUUAUGGGUAUAAACGUUUAUCCAUGAAAUUUAAAUGGGCGGUUAUGGGUAUUAUCCAUGGUUAUAACGGGUAUCCAUCGAUUAUGGGUAUUACUAGCGGUUAUAACAGGUAUCCAUUUACCCAUUUAAUUUAAUAUAUGUAAAAUUUAAAAAAAAAAUUUAAAUCCUAAAUUUUCAAUCACUCCGCCAAACUCAGAGUCUUAAACGCCUUGUCCCCCGCUCAUCUCUCCCUCCUCACUGCCCUUUGUCUCAUCUUCGCCAUUGUGAGGCGAAAACAAUUCAAGUAAACAGUUAAGUGCUAAAUCACCUUGUCCAUGUAACGAUUGAUGAGAGCAGGGAUAUCCGAUUUAGGUUCGAGUCCUCCAAAUAAGGAUCCCAUGAGGGUUUUGCCGCUGUGAAGGAUAUCAUGAAAGGGAAGGCUCGCCUUUGAGGCUCUGACCCUGGCUUGUCGACACCUACCAUAACUGUCUCUCCCCAACCCUGAAGUUCAAAAGAACGAUAAUAUUUCAAUGCGUAGUGCAGACAAAUUAUAGUUGCCUAGGUUCAUCAUGAUGGUUGAUCAGUACGAUGCAGAGCAUAUUCUUGUUUUGUAAUUUUCAAGUUGUUAAAAAAAAACAUGUAGAUGGAUGAAAAAAAUGGGUAAAUAGGUAAAAAAAAGAUAAACAGAUUCAAAAACGGAUAAAUAGUUAUGGUUAAAUGGGUAAACGGUUAUGGUUAAAUGGGUACACAGUUAUGGGUAUGGUUAACCGUUUAUAAACGGUUAUGGGUAUGGGUAUAACCGUUUAUGCAAUUACCCAACGGGUAAACAGUUAUGCGAGUAUGAACAUAAACGGUUAUGGGUAAAUAACUGCAGUUACCCAUCCGCUAUAAUCGUUGCCCAUCCCUAGAUGUGGCUUAUUAUUUGAUCAGAGAUUGGUCUUUGUAUCUCUCAUUUUGUGACUAACUCUUACUUGAAAAUUAGGAUUCUGAGGUGCUUUUACUGGUAAUAAAAUGUUCAUCUUUUCCUGUAAAGAAACAGUGAAGAUGCCAAGCUUGAUAAGGGUUAUAACUUUGGGAAAAAUAAUCAUUAUUAUGAAAUGUAAACACUAGAUCUAUGGACUCUAACAAACCACCAAUUAAAACACGACAUCUAAUUUGAGGUGCGAUUUCGGUUUCGGUGCGAUUUUCAAAAGCCAAAACCGAAACCAAACCGUUUCAUACACUGCAGUUCGGUUUCAAAACCACAACCAUUUCAAAACCGCAAAACCAAACCAUUCAGUGCGGUUCAAUUUGGUUCAUGUUUGGGUUUCGGUUUUGGGUUUCAAGUGCCCACCCCUAGCACUAAGUGGCUUAUCACACAAGUUUUAUGUAAAGUGAUUAAACAACUUAGCAUGAGUCAAUUUACUAGAGAUUCUUGCGAAGGACAAUGAGAGAUACAACUCACCGUCUAGCAAGGAAGUCGAAUCUAAAAUAGUGAAGAGGAAUAUUACUGGACCAUAUUAAGUGGCAUCAUAUCUUCUGAAUCUUUUAAAAUCGCCUUGACUAGAAACAACAAACUCACUCAUAGUUUUAGCCUAUCAAUUACAUUCUUCAAUGUACAACCCCUCACUCCAACUUUCUCAGAAACCUGUUUGUAGCCUAACAUGGGUUCCUUCAGAAAAUCUGAAUUAAAAGGAAGGACAUUGCACCACUGCCCCGUCAAAGUUUUUGAUGAUUCAAAUACCCCUUAAAUUUUGGGGUCAAUAUUUUUUUAUGGUCAACGUUAGGCGUCCAGAUGAUGGGCAAUUUAUCAAUUUGGAUAUCAUUGAGGACUGAAUUCGGAUGCAUAAGGUCUAAGCAAGAAGUACAGACAGAUCAUUCCAAUGCAUUUUACACUCGUUAAUCAAAUACAGUUGAAUCUGAUUCUCACGGAUGCAUUGUUAAUUACCAUAACGCCUUUCAAGCAUUUCACUCAGAAAAAAGAAACUAUAAUAAAAUUGUGCAUGACGUCGAUCAAGAUAAUAUAAGGAUUCGACGUAAUCAUGGAGUGCCGGCUGUCGACUACCUGACGUCCUCCCCCUCCUCCUUUAUCCGGGCUUGGGACCGGCAAUGUAAGAUAAACUUACACGGCGGAGUUCAUUUACCAGGUAAAGAAAGUACCUCAUCUCAUAACCGGUUUCCAGCUUCCUUGAAUAAACAGAUGUUCUUUGAGACUGCAUCGUACUCACUGGAGUUGCUUGUUUUGCUUGUUUCCUCUAGAUGAAGGUUGCUUUAAUCCAACCAAAUCACUCUCGUAGAUGAGACGGACUCCGCACCUCUUCACCUCCAAACCAGAGCCUAAGGUUUAAAUGUAAACUCAAG
rnacentral:lncRNA from 1 species